rnacentral:lncRNA from 1 species
GUGAAAAUGUAUGGCAUUUUGGCACCUUAUCUAUCUCUGUACAGAUAUACAAAAGAACCUUUUGUGCAUUGCCGACAAGAGGAAGCAUAUGCAAAGCAGCCACAAGCCACAAGGAUCUCAACACAGCCAGAUGCCAAGUAGCCACUAGACACAAGGAUCUCAACCUAACCAGAUGCUGCAAAGCUGCUAAAACCAAAAGGCCUACAACGGCAGCCACUGCCUCUAGUUACACUUUCCAAACCAAAUGUCUGUCACUCAUAACUCAUCUGCGCAGCAUGGUCUGUACAAGAGGUUGUCCGCAGAAUUUACAGCAAAAGGAGAAGUGUUCAAAAACACACGUUACAGAAGACAUGCUUUUCCUUAUUAUUCAUUUACUUUUGACCCGGGCGGGUCGAAUGAAUCCUGGGAGCGCCUCGCUCAGCCCGAUUUCUUACGUCGGAUCUCGAUGCCCUGCACGAUGAGGCCGCUCUUCCACCUCCCACUUUUGGUCUCCGUCAGGCUGAUGGACACCUCGCCGUCGUCGCCCCCCUCGUUCAAGAACUCGCCCAGCUCCAGCUCCAGCCACCCGUCGGCUCUUUUCUGAGGGAACGUGACAUUUUCUUUGUGAGAUACUACGCGCCGGUCCGUCAUCGCCCGAUAGUACUCGUCGUCGUCCUCCUCCUCAUCAUCCUCAUCCUCCUCCUCCUCCUCGUCGUACUCGUACUCGUCCUCGUCCCCGUCGUCAGCUUGUAGGCAAACCUUCCGAGUCAAGUUGGUAGCUCCGGAACUGACUGAUGCCUCCUGGGCAGGAAAAUUCAGCCCAUAGGAAUUCUCGUCCAUCUUGAAGACCAUGUAGGCUGCAUAGGUUGUGCCUUGGGAGAGCAUCUUGCCAUGUAUCUUCCCAUGGAUCUCGAACCAGCAAACAUUCACGAGUUCAGCACCUUCGGAGAACCUGUCGCCAACACAUGGUUACAACUUGUAAAGAAGACGAAAACCAAUCAACAACAUGAGUUGAACUGAAACUCAAUACUGAAAAGAAGUCUGCAGUGAACAAGGUGCACCGUAGAGUCGUAUUCUUUAUGCAAAGUGUCAUUUAUGACUAUAGUUGUAAAGGGUGUGCGCUUUGCUUUUGAAAGUAAUGAAAAUAAAAGCAAAUGCUUAUGUGUCAAGCAACAAGGACUUAUCAUGUACGGGAGUACUCUGAUUUCAAAGUGAAACUUGAAGAUCGUUGAAAACCGAUAUCAAGCAUCAUUCCAAAAUUUGCUAGUGAGGAACCAUGUCGAAAUCCCCAUUCUGGGUUUUUAUCCACAGGGUAGUUUAAUCUUCCAUCCUACAACUUACACUGCUGCGGAUUGCACCAAUAAACCCCGAAAUGCAAUCGAGUGAGAUCACAAUGCAACAGCAAAAUCAAAUCAAAUCCAAUUGCAGUCAUAUAAGAAUAAGAUAACAACAUAGAAACAGUCAGAUAAGAAAAAGAAUAAGAUAAAGCACAGAAACAUUCACAGCACAAAAUACUCAAAGAACUAUGUGCUGCCUAUAGUUGAUAUAAACAAAGUUGAAAAGGUCCUUAGCUUUUGAAAGUAAGGAACAUAAAACUAGCACCAAGUUCGCUUAUGUGUGAAGUAACCAGGACUUUAGAGUGUUACAGCGUUAUUCCGAUAUCCAAAUGAAACUGGCUUCAACUAAGUCCCUUUCAAACAGUUUUAAGAUGACCAAAAACAGAUUUCAGGCACUGUGCUUACUCCAAAACUUGCUACUACCCGGGAACUAUGCCGAAAUCCCCUUUCUGGGUUUUGGGUAUUGGUUGACAGGACCAUCCUACAGUUACUGUUGAAGGUUGCAGGAAUUAACAUGGUCAAAUUGAUUGCAAUCGAAAUGGUGCGACCGCGAACCAACAGCACAAUCAAAUCGAAUGCGAUUGCAAUUAGAUAAGAGUGCCAUCACCAGGCAGCAACAUUCAGAUUCAGACACACAAGCUAUAUGGAUGUAUGGAUAUGGAAGAGCGAACGAACCUGGAGUCUUGGAGUGGGAUCCAGGUCCAGUACUGCGGCGUGUCGCCCCACACGAUGAAGAGGUUCCUGGCGGACAACAUGUAGCACUUGGCGCCGGUCUCCCUGUCCAGCCACACGCUCUGCGGGCGCGCGCACAACCACCGAACAAUCGAUUAGCGAUCAACCCAGGAUGAAUCUGUUAGAAGAGUUGGGGGAUUGAUGACUGCAGUGCAGACACGUACGACGAGCCUGUCGGGGAGGAGGGCCGGGCCGGCGGAGAGGCGGAGGAAGAGCUCCUUCUUGGACGAAGGCGGGGCGGGGGCGGUCAGCUCCCCGUCGGCCAGCGGCGGGAGGCCGCCGGGGGGCAGGAAGGCGGCCCAGACGGCGUCGGAGUCGGCCGCGGCGCGGAAGGCCGGGGAUACGGCGGCUGCGCGGCAGGCGUCGCGGGGGGUCGUGCGGGCCAGCGCCGCCGAGAGGAGCUCCUCCGGCAGGCGCGCGAUCUCGCAGGCCUCCUCCAUGGGUUCCUCCGUCCGUCCGUCCGCCGGCCGGCCGGUGUCUUCUGGUCCGAGAUUCGUCGUCGUCGGAGUGUGCGAGGGAGUUGCGACUGGUUUGGGGAUGAGAACGCGGGCGGAGGCUUAGCGACGAAGCACUCGGUGGGGAGAAGCAGCGGUUUGAUUGUGGAUUAAUUUGGGACGAAGCAACAGAUGGCACAUGGCAGGACGCGGACGACAGUUCAGUUGGAGGAGGGCCGGUUGCGGCGGCCUCGUGGGCGGCACUACGUGGUGAAGACUCUCUUCGCAUACGUGUGGCUCGUCUAUGUCAACGCAAAGUACACGAGACUAGAGAAUAUCACAUGAAAAUCAAAUUUUCUUUAAAGAAAACUUUGUAAAUACCAUGUUUGAACGUUUUGAGAAAAAUCUGAAAACAAUGCAUGAUGUUAAGAGGGCGAUGUUCUAUUGUCAUGCAAAAUUUUAAGUUCAAGCACAUUACCAUUUACAAGUUUUGAAAGAACAAAUUUAAGAGCAACUACAACGGGGCGACCCAAAAGGACGGCGAUUUCGUCCGCUUUUUGUCCGUUUGGGUCGGCCGCCCGCCCGGCGUUCGCCCUGUUUUAUAUAUGGAUCGGCAGGGCGCCCAACGCGCUGACCCAUAUGUGCCGUCGUGGCUGCCUGGUCCCCCUAUUUUUUGCAUGAUUGCAUGGUUUGAAUCAAAAUAAAAUCGUUUUGAACCGAAUAAAAUUGCAUAGUUUAUUACAAGCCAAAUGAAAAUAAAAAGGUCUCACGUAGGUCUCACAUAGUUUUGCAAACGAAUAAAAGAAGAUACAUCUAUUGGUUGCCAACAUGAGCCCACAUAUGCUCAACCAAAUCAUUUUGUAGUUGCACGUGGGUUUCUCAAUCACGCAUGUCUUCAUGAAAUUGGGUGAACUGUUCAAACAUUGUCGCUACUCCAUGCUCAGGCACAACAUUCCCAACGUUCUGUACGCUCGUCUUCUACGAUCAUAUUAUGCAUGAUCACAUAAGCAGCCAUCACCUCCUACAGUUUCUGCGUGCUCCAGGUAUUAGCAGUAUACCGAACGAUGCCCCAUCGAGAUUGCAAAACACCAAAGGCACGCUCGACAUCCUUCCUAACACUCUCUUGCUCUUGGGCAAAUCUUUUCCUCUUCUCUCCGACAGGGUUGGGUAUUGUCUUCACAAUAGUGGUCCAUUGAGAAUAGAUAUCGUCACCCAGAUAGUAUCAUUUGUCGUAGGUGUGGUCGUUGACAGUAAAGUUCACGGGUGGGCUGUUGCCUUCGGCAAGCCUAGCAAACAACGACGAGCGCUGAAGCACGUUGAUAUCAUUGUGUGAUCCGGCCAUGCCAAAGAAAGAGUGCCAGAUCCAGAAAUCUUGAGACGCCACGACCUCAAGUAUGACAGUGCAAGCCCUGACAUGGGCCUUAUACUACCCUUGCCAAGCAGAAGGGCAGUUCUUCCACUCCCAAUGCAUGCAGUCUAUACUACCAAGCAUCCCUGGGAAGCCCCUGCUGGCAUUCAUCACCAACAAACGGGCUGUAUCUUCAGCAAUCGGCUCUCUCAAGUACUCAGGGCCAAACACAACAAUAACAACCUUGCAGAACUUAUACAGGGACUCUAGGAAAGUAGACUCGCUCAUACGAACGUACUCGUCAAUGAGAUCAUCGGGCACUCCGUAUGCAAGCAUUCGGAUGGCGGCAGUGCAUUUCUGAUAAGAGGAAAAAACAAUCUUGCCAACGGCAUCCUCUUUGCACUCGAAAUAGUCAUCAUAGCCGACCACCCCCUCUCUAAUACAGUUGAAAACAUGCCUACUCAUACGGAAACGGCGGCGGAAUUUCUGAUGUUUGUUGUAUCAAAGUAGUCCUUCCAAAGAAGGAAAUGCCCGCUCUCUCGGUUGCGAUUCAGCGCCGGAAGGUGGCCCGGAAUGGAGCCAAGGAACAAUGGCCGCUGGUGUUGAGGUGGUGAUAGACCAACACGGUAGCCAACAUCUCCUCCUCGUCAUUGGAGGACGAAUCGUCGGAGUCGUAAAGAAAAUUGUGAAAAAAGAACUCGUCGACGAAGUCCAUUUUGUACCUUGGCAAACCGUCGAAUAGCUUGCAGGCGUCGGCGAAGGAGACGGCCGGCAAAGGAAGUCGCGGCGCGCACGGACCAACUAGUUGUCCUGCCGGCAUCCGACAAGCGUGCCGCCGUCCGACGAGCAUGCCAGUGAGGAUCUGGCCGGGCGGCGAGGCGGCUUCUUGGUCGGGGGCGGCUGUGUGGUGGGGAGGCGCGGGGGGUGAGAAGCUGUCGGCUGCCCGGCGGCAAGACGGCGGUGGCGGGCGACGUGGGAGUGCGCGGCGUAGCUGGACGGGUGUGGAGGCCCCGGCAGCUGGCCGAGUCGCCGACAAAAAUGGGCGUCGGCGUCGGCUACGAAGGAGGACGGCAAGGGUUGUUGUUGGAUGGGGGAGGGCAAUGUGACACAGACCAGCGGGCCCGGGAAGGAGAGAGCGAGCGUACGCGCGUCCGGCUGGGUCGGUGCGUUGGGCCGCCUUUUAUGUCCGUGCCGACCCAAAUGGACGGCGGCGGACGAAAUGGGUCGCCCCGUUGGAGUUGCUCUAACAUCCCAUAUUUUUUUAUUUCUUUUGAAACUUCUUUUUUGAAACUUUAAAACGUCAUUUUUAUGUGGUUUUUAUUGGUUUUCCGUCGAAACUUAGUUUCCAUGUGAUAUUCUCUGCAGCAUCCACAUCGCCGUCCAACUCUCCGUAGUUGUAAAAUUUGUCAGCCAACUCCAACCAACCGUUGGUCUCUUCGAAUGGGUGGGAUUCUAGUCGAGUCGGCUCGGCUCGUUACAGCUCAUUACAAUAACACGUGAGCUCGACUUGACUCGUUAAUAUAACGAGUUCCGAGUCAAAUUCGGCUCGACUCGUGUAACUCAAGAGGUAGCUCGUUUAACUCGUUAUAGGCGUCAAUAGCAAUAUUGAUAUUGGGUGUGCAAUUAUUCUACGAAAAUAUAUUUACAAACACAUACAUUUCUCCACAAAUCACAACAAUCAAGAAUUUACAUUAAAGGAACACUUGGCACACUUUAUGAAUGACAAGAAUCUAUAACAAUGUUUGUAUUUAUCUCACGUCCCUUUUGAUUAACGAGCUUAAUGAGCUAAACAAGUAACUCAUUAGCUUGGCUCAUUGAAGUCAUUUUGUUAACAAGCUUAGAUUAAAACUCGACUCCACCCGUUAGUCAUCAAAAUUGAGUUGAGCCGAGUCACGAGCUACUCCUUUAUCUUGUGAUUUUCGAGUUAAAAUUCCAUCCCUAGCUCUGGGCCACCAAGGAAGAACCGCAUUGCCUUUGAUAAGAAGAAAAACCAUACAACAUAAGGGCAACUUCAACGGGGAUCAUCAAACCAUCUUAACAUUUGGAACAUUUUUUUGCCAUCCAGCGUGGUGCCUCAAAUGUCCGUGGACGCGUUCGGGCUUUCAGAAUCCCACAAACCGGUCACCACUCAUGGAAGGUUUCAGGGAGUCCGGACCUCCGCUACAUAGGCCUCCGACACCUCGUCUUACCCAAAUCCUCUCUUUUGGACCCCUUUCCCCUCACCCCGCCCCCCUUGCUUUAUAUCCGCGCUAUUCUAUUUGAACAUCGUAGCUCUACCACCUCGGCUGUCGCACAUGCCUUGUUGAAUGUUCGCUGCCCCACCCACAUGCAUGUCCGCUUUGAACUACGACACCAUUGAUCACCCCCAUCCUCGUCCAUAGCCAGGUAUCCUCCGCCCCUAUCAACACCGUCCAUGGCGGACACCACGCCCGACAAAGUAUUCGGUUGGUCAGUAGUACAAACUUUGUAGGCAUGAAGCAAGGGGGCGCGUUUUUUUGGCAAAAUAUGCAUUCUUGGUUUCAUGAGAAAAAGCACUUCGCUUCCUACAACUUGCAUAUGAUCUAUGAUCAUAAUGUGAAGUCUCUAUCUCAUUUGUGGUAAACUAUCUCAAACUCCAUCAUGAAGUAUCGCGGUGCGAUCACACGGGUGGAAAGAAGGUGGCCACCAGGUGCGUGAAUCAUGGAGAUCAUAGGUUUUGCUCUUGUUGCUCAACAUGUUAAUCAAUUCAUUGAAUAACACUCAAUGUUGUAACUUGAUGAUCAUGUUAUUGCAUAGCCCGCACGCGCUGCCGUAUCUAUAUAUCUAUCCACUACAUGUUGGGGAUAUAACUAUUAGGUAUGACCCGCCCUGGAGGGGCCGGGUUAUACCUAUGGCGAUUCAUCAUCAUGAAGCCCACGAAGACGUUCUGAAGAUGUCGGUUUAGUUAAAGGGCCCAAGUCCCAAAGGCGGCUUAAGGCCCGUAGAGAUAAACCGCCGUAUAUGUCUGACUUGAAUUAUAAGGCAGGAAUAGAUAGUCACCGAGCCGGACACUGUUUAUGAGCCAGUCGGGACUCUGUAAGCCGCUGGGCGUCGACCUCUGUAUAUAAAGGGACGACCAACGGCGGUUCAGGACAAGAAACAAGAGAUCGAAAGCUAGGUCAAGCGGAUUCGCUCCCUGGUAACCGAGACAUAAGCAAUCCCACCUAAACUGGAUCGUAGGCUUUUACCUUCACCACAAGGGGCCAAACCAGUAUAAACUCCCGUGUCCUUUGUCCCGUUUAACCCCUUUAAGCUUCCUAGUUGCGAUGGCUCCACGACUAAGUCCUUUUGCUAGGACAUCUGUCGUGACCUUUCCACGACAGUUGGCGCCCACCGUGGGCCAGUGCACGGUGGAUUUGAGUUCUUAAAGGGCAGCUUCGAAGUCCAAGGGAUACGCUAUGGGCCGGAUGACCAAGAGUUGUCGCGGCAAGCUCUACAUCGACGAUGCAGGGUGGGGCCCUGAGGCCGGCUCAAUUGAGUACGGGUACCGGGUCCCCUUUGGUGGAAUCCACGUCUUCAUCGGCAAGAUUGGCGAACCGGGCCCUGAGCCGGACAUCUGCACCGACAUCAUCGAGACGGCUCAGCGUGCGAGACUUGCCCGAGUUCAGCCCGCCGUGAAGCGUGCCUUCGUGAGAUGCCUCCAUGGAGCAGAAUUUUCUGAAGAAUCUAUGUCUGGUGGUGAGACGGCCAUCUACUCUGAUGGUGAGUCAUCCACGGGUGAGACUGAUUUGUUGUAUCAACUGCAAGAUGGCGGGCUUGGGGGCUAUUCCGAUGGCAAAAGUAUUCCGGACCCCUAUGAGCCGCCAAACAGAGUCGGAAUCUUCAUGGCUGGUACCCAGCCUGGGCUAAAUUCUUCAACUACAACGGCGAUGACUUCCGGGUCAGCAGCGGUGAUGGCAGCCGGGGCAGGACACUCUGUGCACCCGCCGGCUCAGGUUUUGAUGGCUUUAAUGGAUAAAUUGACGACUUUGUUAACAUCCUGGUCAACACGGUGAAUCAAGCUCAACAUGAUGCGGAGGUGGCACAAUUAUGUGAGGAGAUAGCACAAGCUAAAGAAGACCUGGCGGCAGAGGACGUCAGGAUGGCCGCAUAACGGGCUGCUUUGGAUGCUCAGGCCCAGCGGAUUCAGUGAGAGGCUUUCCAGCUUACGAUGGAUCAGAACGUAUCAAAUGAGAUUACGAGGAGAAUGCACCAGUCCCGUCUGCCUAUGGUUUAUGAGCCUAGAAACCUCUUCCGCACACCCGGUGCAGGGCCCAGUAACCCGCCGGAGGUAAACCGGACUGCGGCGACUGGGGCAGGAACACCGGUUCAGCCACGCGUGACGGAACCCCCUCGUCUGAAUACCGCUCCACCUCAGCAUGUACCGACACCAUCGGGUCAUUAUUCUAAUCCAUUGGAAAACAUGAUUGCUGCGGUAGCACGAUUGGCGGCUCUCCCGGUGGAUGGCGACUCUCCAAUGGCGGUUGAAACACGAAGGGUCAAAGAACUUCUUCAGACAGCCUUGGCACAGUAGGAGGCAUAUUCUUACAGUCGAGAUAGGAUUCACUCAACCCCUCGCCCAAGCCGGAGCCGGAGUUAUAGCAUGCAUAUGGACUCACCGGCCGUUUUAAGCAAUGCCCGACGCUGUGAUCAGCCGCGCGGGCAUGACCCGACACGUGAUGGAGCUCUUAACUUGCUUGAUCAGGACAGAGUGCAUCAACAAGCCGAGUAGACGGCUCAGCAAGCAGCCCAACAUGCGACUCACCAGCCCUUUCCGGUUUAUCCGAUAACCUCGGUUGAGGCGGGCGUGAUCUCUAGGUCUACAGGUGUACCCUGUCUGGUGCCGGCUCUAUGUAAUGAGCAUUUGCCCAAGGAUAUCAAAGGACCUCGAAAGGUGCCUAAUUACACAACCGAUUUACCCCUGAGGCAUGGAUUGAAAGUUAUGAGAUGACCAUGGAGCUACUGUAGGUCAGUGAUGCUGCGUGUGCCAAAUACUUCACCAUGAUGCUGGAUGGAAUGGACCAUACUUGGUUAAAAGGGCUACCUACCAACUCCAUCGGGUCGUGGGAAGAGUUGAACGCUCGGUUUAUUUAGAACUUUAAAGACACAUGCAAGCAGCUGCUACCUCUUGAGCAUGCGUUGGUUUUUCCUUUGAAGAGGAAAGGGUGAUGCAACAAAGUAGCGUAAAUAUUUCCCUCAGUUUUGAGAACCAAGGUAUCAAUCCAGUAGGAGGCUCCUCCCAAGUCCCACGCGCCUACACAAACAAACAAGAACCUCCCAACCAACGCGAUAAAGGGGUUGUCAAUCCCUUCAUGAAAACUUGCAAAAGUGAGAUCUGAUAGAGAUAAUAUAAUAAGAUAAAUAUUUUUGGUAUUUUUAUGAUAUAGAUUGGAAAAUAAAAGAUGCAAAUAAAAGUAGAUGGAAAACUUAUAUGAUAAAAGAUAGACCCGGGGGCCAUAGGUUUCACUAGUGGCUUCUCUCAAGAUAGCAUAAUUAUUACGGUGGGUGAACAAAUUACUGUCGAGCAAUUGAUAGAAAAGUGCAUUGUUAUGAGAAUAUCUAGGCAUGAUCAUGUAUAUAGGCAUCACGUCCGCAACAAGUAGACCGAAAUGAUUCUGCAUCUACUACUAUUACUCCACACAUCGACCGACUCCUAUCUGCAUCUAGAGUAUUAAGUUCAUAAGAACAGAGUAACGCAUUAAGCAAGAUGACAUGAUGUAGAGUGAUAAACUCAUGCAAUAUGAUAUAAACCCCAUCUUUUUAUCCUCAAUGGCAACAAUACAAUACAUGCCUUGCUGCCCCUGCUGUCACUGGGAAAGGACACCGCAAGAUUGAACCCAAAGCUAAGCACUUUCCCAUUACAAGAAAGAUCAAUCUAGUAGGCCAAACCAAACUGAUAAUUCAAAGAGACUUGCAAAGAUAACCAAUCAUAUAUAAAAGAAUUCAGAGGAGAUUCAAAUAUUUCUCAUAGAUAAACUUGAUCAUAAACCCACAAUUCAUCGGAUCUCGACAAACACACCGCAAAAAGAGUUACAUCGAAUAGAUCUCCAAGAAGAUGAAGGAGAACUUUUUAUUGAGAAUCAAAGAGAGAGAGAAGAAUCCAUCUAGCUAAUAACUAUGCACCCGAAGGUCUGUGCUAAACUACUCACAACUCAUCGGAGAGGCCUUGGUGAUGAUGGAGAGGCCCUCCGUGGUUGAUUCCCCCUCCGGCGGAGCGCAGACGAAGGCUCCAAGAUGGGAUCUCGCGGAUACAAAAGGUUGCGGAGGUGGAAAUAGUUUUUCGUGGUGCUCCUGGAUGUUUUCGGGGUCUGUGGACAUAUAUAGGAGGAAGAAGUAGGUCGGUGGAUGCUCGAGGGGCCCACGAGGGUGGGGGGCGCGCCACCCUUACUGGGCGCGCCGGGCACCCUCGUGGCCUCCUUGUUUGCUUCUUGACGUCCACUCCAAGUCUCCUGGAUUGCGUUUGUUCCAAAAAGAUCGCUCCCGAAGGUUUCAUUCCGUUUGGACUCCAUUUGAUAUUCCUUUCCUUCGAAACACUGAAAUAGGCAAAAAAACAACAAUUCGGGCCGGGCCUCCGUUUAGUAGAUUAGUCCCAAAAAUGAUACAAAAGUGUAAAGUAAAGCCCAUAAACAUCCAAAACAAGUAAUAUAAUAGCAUGGAACAAUCAAAAAUUAUAGAUACGUUGGAGACGUAUCAAGCAUCCCCAAGCUUAAUUCCUGCUCGUCCUCGAGUAGGUAAAUGAUAAAAACAGAAUUUUUGAUGUGGAAUGCUACCUAGCAUAAUUCUCAAUGUAAUUUUCUUUAUUGUGGCAUGAUUGUUCAGAUCCAAAUGAUUCAAGAUAAAAGCUUAUAAAACAUAAAAAUAGUAGUACUUUGAAGCAUACUAACAAAUAAUCAUGUCCAAUCAAAAUAGCAUAGCCAAAGAAAGCUUAUCCCUACAAAAUCAUACAGUUAGGCCAUGCUUCAUCUUUAUCACACAAAAUACUCCCAUCAUGCACAACCCCUGUUUCAGCAAAGCAAUUGGUUCAUACUUUUCACGUGCUUCAGCUUUUUCAACUCUUACGCAAUACAUGAGCUCAAGCCAUGGACAUAGCACUAUAUGUGGUAUAUGGUGGUGGUUGUGAGGACAAAAACGGAGAAGAUAGUCUCACACCAACUAGGCAUAUCAACGGGCUAUGGAGAUGCCCAUUAAUAGAUAUCAAUGUGAGUGAGUAGGGAUUGCCAUGCAACGGAUGCACUAGAGCUAUAAAUAUAUGAAAGCUCAAUAAAAGAAACUAAGUGGGUGUGCAUCCAACUUGCUUUCUCAUGAAGACCUAGGGCAUUUUGAGGAAGCCCAUCAUUGGAAUAUACAAGCCAAGUUCUAUAAUGAAAAUUUCCCACUAGUAUAUGAAAGUGACAACAUAAGAGAAUGAAGAUCAUGGUGCUACUUUGAAGCACAAGUGUGGAAAAAGAGAUAGUAGCAUUGUCCCUUCUCUCUUUUUCUCUCAUUUUUUUAUUUGGUGGGCUUCUUUGGCCUCUUUUUUUGUAUGGGCUUCUUUGGCCUCUUUUUUUUAUAAAGUCCGAAGUCUCAUCCUGACUUGUGGGGGAAUCAUAGUCUUCAUUAUCCUUUCCUCACUUGGGACAAUGCUCUAAUAAUGCAAAUCAUCACACUUUUAUUGAUUUACAACUCAAAAGUUACAACUCAAUACUUAGAACAAAAUAUGACUCUAUGUGAAUGCCUCUGGCGGUGUACCGGGAUAUGCAAUGAAUCAAGAGUGACAUGUAUGAAAAAUUAUGGAGGUGGCCUUGCCACAAAUACGAUGUCAACUACAUGAUCAUGCAAAGAGCAAUAUGACAAUGAUGGAGCAUGUCAUAAUAAACGGAACAGUGGAAAUUUGCAUGGCAAUAUAUCUCGGAAUGGCUAUGGAAAUGCCAUAAUAGGUAGGUAUGGUGGCUGUUUUGAGGAAGGUAAAUAAUGGGUGCAUGCUACCGGCGAAGGUUGUGCGGCAUAAUAGAGUGGAAGGGUAAGUGUGCGUAUAUCCAUGGACUCACAUUAGUCAUAAAGAACUCAUAUACUUAUUGCAAAAGUCUACUUGCCCUCGAAGCAAAGUACUACUAUGCAUGCUCCUAGGGGAAGGGUUGGUAGGAGUUAACCAACGCGAUCCCGACCUCCACUCAUAAGGAAAGCAAUUAAAAGAGCAUUCCAUGCAACAAAUUUGUCACAUAACUUUUACCAUGCGUGCAUGCUACGGGACUUGCCAACUUCAACAAAAGUAUUUCUCAAUUUCAUAAUUACCCAACUAGCAUGACUCUAGCACUACCACCUUUAUAUCUCAAAACAAUUAUCAAGCAUCAUAUUGAUCAUAGUGUUUAAUGCUCUUUCUAUGAUAGUUUUUAUUAUACCCAACUUGGAUGCUCAUCAUUCUAGGACCAAAUUUAUAACCAUAGAAAAUACCAUGUUGUUCUAAAGGACUCUCAAAAUAAUAUAAGUGAAGCAUGAGAGAUCAACAAUUUCUUCAAAAUAAAGCCACCGCCGUGCUCUAGAAAAUAUAAGUGAAGCACAUAGAGCAAAACUAUCUAGCUCAAAAGAUAUAAGUGAAGCACUUAGAGUAUUCUAAUAAAUUCUAAAUCAUGUGGGUAUCUCCCAAAAGGUGUAUACAGUAAGGAUGAUUGUGGUAAACUAAAAAGAAAAGACUCAUAUCAUACAAGACGCUCCAAGCAAAACACAUAUCAUAUGGUAAAUAAAAAUAUAGCUCCAAGUAAAGUUACCAAUAGAUGAAGACAAAAGAGGGGAUGCCUUCCAGGGCAUCACCAAGCUUAGGCUUUUGGUUGUCCUUGAAUAUCUUGGGGUGCCAUGGGCAUCCCCAAGCUUAGGCUUUUGCCACUCCUUAUUCCAUAGUCCAUCAAAUCUUUACCCAAAACUUGAAAACUUCACAACACAAAACUCAACAGGAAAUCUCAUAAGCUCCGUUAGUGCAAGAAAGAAAAGCCACCACAUAAGGUACUGUAAUGAACUCAUUAUUUAUUUAUAUUGGUGUUAAACCUACUGUAUUCCAACUUCUCUAUGGUUCAUACCCCCCGAUACUAGCCAUAGAUGCAUCAAAAUAAGCAAACAACACACGAAAAACAGAAUCUGUCAAAAGCAGAACAGUCUGUAGCAAUCUGUAACUUUAGAAUACUUCUGGAACUCCAAAACUCCUACAAAAAAGGAAGUCCUAGGAAAUUUGUAUAUUGAUCUACAGCAAAAAGAAUCAACGCAAAAUCACGUUUCUGGGAUUUAUUGAAUUUUUUCUCGUGCGUGCAAAGUUUCUGUUUUUCAGCAGAAUCAAAUCAACUUUCACCCAAGGUUAUCCUAUAGGUUCUACUUGGCACAAACACUAUGAAAACAUAAAAACACAUCUAAACAGAGUCUAGAUUUAUUAUUUAUUACUAAACAGGAGCAAAAAUCAAGGAACAAAAAUAAAAUUGGGUUGCCUCCCAACAAGCGCUAUCGUUUAACGCCCUUAGCUAGGCAUAAAAGCAAGAAUAGAUCUAAGUAUUGCGAUCCUUGGCAUUCAAUUCUUCAAUAGAACACUUAUAACCCAUAGAAGUUCCUUUCUUUUUUGUAAUUAUUAAACUCUUAGGCAAAAAAUCAAGAUAUUCAUUUGUAACAAAAGGUUCCUUAAUAAGAGCAAAGAAAUCGGUAUGUACGCUUAUUGAUUUGAGAUCCGCAUUUUCCUUACUAGAAGAUUCACCCUUAUUUUUAGGAACAUACAUUAAUUUAGAAAUUUUUGUAGGAGGAGUUGGAGUAUUUUCAUGGAUGAAAAGGCAGACCCUAAAUUAGUAAUAAUAUCCGCAAGUUUACUGAUUCUUGUGGAAUCUUGAUCUAUCUUUUCAUUAACUAUAGGUUCUUUCUCUUUAAAACUUUUCAAAGUAACUCCAACCUUAGAUCCAUAUUGAGUAAUUUGGCUGUGGAUAUUUUUAUCCAAAUUUUCAAUUAACUCGAUAGUAGCAACUUUAUUUUCAAUAAUUUCAGGCCUUUGCAUCACAUGUUCUAAAGUUAAAACUGUUUCGUUAACCAAAAGAGGCGGUAGACUGAACAAAUCUGUCAUGGCAUUGUAAGCAUCAAAAGUAUGGCUACCCAAAAAAUUCCCUGUGGUAAUGGUAUAAAGAAUGUAUCUAUUCCAAGGGGUAAUGUCUACAUAAAAAUUGCAAACAAGAACGGAAGUGGAUUGCUUCCUAGUAGAUCUAUUUUGAGCAUUGCAAAUUCUAUGCCAAGCAUCUUUUAGAUUUUCUCCCUCCCUUUGCUUAAAAUUAAGAACUUCAUGAUAGGGAGUAUUAAUGAUGAUAGGAGACUAGCCAUGAUAACAAGAUAGAUAACUGACACACAAGCACACAGAAGGCAAGCGAAGAAGAGAGGAGAACGGGAAAGAGAGGGCGAAUAAAACGGCAAGGGUGAAGUGGGGGAGAGGAAAACGAGAGGCAAAUGACAAUUAAUAUAAUGCGAGGGAGAUGAGUUUGUGAUGGGUACUUGGUAUGUCUUGACUUGAGCUAAGACCUCCCCGACAACGGCGCCAGAAAUCCUUCUUGCUACCUCUUGAGCAUGCGUUGGUUUUUCCCUUGAAGAGGAAAGGGUGAUGCAACAAAGUAGCGUAAGUAUUUCCCUCAGUUUUGAGAACCAAGGUACCAAUCCAGUAGGAGGCUCCUCCCAAGUCCCACACGCCUACACAAACAAACAAGAACCUUGCAACCAACGCGAUAAAGGGGUUGUCAAUCCCUUCAUGGAAACUUGCGAAAGUGAGAUCUGAUAGGGAUAAUAUAAUAAGAUAAAUAUUUUUAGUAUUUUUAUGAUAUAGAUUGGAAAAUAAAAGAUGCAAAUAAAAGUAGAUGGAAAACUUAUAUGAUAAAAGAUAGACCCGGGGGCCAUAGGUUUCACUAGUGGCUUCUCUCAAUAUAGCAUAACUAUUACAGUGGGUGAACAAAUUACUGUCGAGCAAUUGAUAGAAAAGUGCAUAGUUAUGAGAAUAUCUAGGCAUGAUCAUGUAUAUAGGCAUCACAUCCGCAACAAGUAGACCAAAACGAUUCUGCAUCUACUACUAUUACUCCACACAUCGACCAACUCCUGCCUGCAUCUAUAGUAUUAAGUUCAUAAGAACAGAGUGACACAUUAAGCAAGAUGACAUGAUGUAGAGGGAUACACUCAUGCAAUAUGAUAUAAACCCCAUCUUUUUAUCCUCGAUGGCAACAAUACAAUACGUGCCUUGCUGCCCCUGCUGUCACUGGGAAAGGACACCGCAAGAUUGAACCAAAAGCUAAGCACUUUCCCAUUGCAGGAAAGAUCAAUCUAGUAGGCCAAACCAAACUGAUAAUUCGAAGAGACUUGCAAAGAUAACCAAUCACACAUAAAAGAAUUCAGAGGAGAUUCAAAUAUUUCUCAUAGAUAAACUUGAUCAUAAACCCACAAUUCAUCAGAUCUCGACAAACACACCGCAAAGAAGAGUUACAUCGAAUAGAUCUCCAAGAAGAGGAAGGAGAACUUUGUAUUGAGAAUCAAAGAGAGAGAAGAAGCCAUCUAGCUAAUAAUUAUGGACCCGAAGGUCUGUGGUAAACUACUCACAACUCAUCGGAGAGGCCUUGGUGAUGAUGGAGAGGCCCUCCAUGGUCGAUUCCCCCUCCGGUGGAGCACCGACGAAGGCUCCAAGAUGGGAUCUCGCGGAUAUAGAAGGUUGCGGCGCUGGAAAUAGUUUUUCGUGGUGCUCCUGGAUGUUUUUGAGGUCCGUGGACAUAUAUAGGAGGAAGAAGUAGGUCGGUGGACGCUCGAGGGGCCCACGAGGGUGGGGGGCGCGCCCACCCUUACUGGGCGUGCCGGGCACCCUCGUGGCCGCCUCGUUCGCUUCUUGAAAAGGAAUAUCAAACGGAGCCCAAACAGAAUGAAACCUUUGGGAGCGAUCUUUUUGGAACAAACGCAAUCCAGGAGACUUGGAGUGGAUGUCAAGAAGCGAACGAGGNNNNNNNNNNNNNNNNNNNNNNNNNNNNNNNNNNNNNNNNNNNNNNNNNNNNNNNNNNNNNNNNNNNNNNNNNNNNNNNNNNNNNNNNNNNNNNNNNNNNNNNNNNNNNNNNNNNNNNNNNNNNNNNNNNNNNNNNNNNNNNNNNNNNNNNNNNNNNNNNNNNNNNNNNNNNNNNNNNNNNNNNNNNNNNNNNNNNNNNNNNNNNNNNNNNNNNNNNNNNNNNNNNNNNNNNNNNNNNNNNNNNNNNNNNNNNNNNNNNNNNNNNNNNNNNNNNNNNNNNNNNNNNNNNNNNNNNNNNNNNNNNNNNNNNNNNNNNNNNNNNNNNNNNNNNNNNNNNNNNNNNNNNNNNNNNNNNNNNNNNNNNNNNNNNNNNNNNNNNNNNNNNNNNNNNNNNNNNNNNNNNNNNNNNNNNNNNNNNNNNNNNCACGAGGGUGGGGGGCGCGCCCACCCUUACUGGGCGUGCCGGGCACCCUCGUGGCCGCCUCGUUCGCUUCUUGACAUCCACUCCAAGUCUCCUGGAUUGCGUUUGUUCCAAAAAGAUCGCUCCCAAAGGUUUCAUUCCGUUUGGACUCCGUUUGAUAUUCCUUUCCUUUGAAACACUGAAAUAGGCAAAAAACAGCAAUUCGGGUUGGGCCUCCGGUUAGUAGGUUAGUCCCAAAAAUGAUAAAAGUGUAAAGUAAAGCCCAUAAACAUCCAAAACAAGUAAUAUAAUAGCAUGGAACAAUAAAAAAUUAUAGAUACGUUGGAGACAUAUCAGCAGCGCAUGUCAAUUGUGGACUUGACUAAUUGCAAGCAAGAGGAGGGUGAAUCCACGACCCAUUGGGUCCGCCGGGUCAAGUCUAUCAUACAUUCAUCCGAUAACAUGAACGAUGGUUCUACGGUCUUAGUGUUCGAGAAAAAAUGUCGUUUUUUGCCUCUUAAUCAGAAGCUGGGGCGGCUCAAGCGUGAUUGUAAUGACAUGGGCCAGCUGAUGGCGGCUCUAGUCAAAUAUGCCGACUCUGAUAGUACCAAGGACUCCGUGUCUGACCAUGAGAAGACAGGGAAGGGAAAGAAGAAUGGCAACGCUAAGGGCCCGCAGCCUAACCCGGCGAAUGCACAGGGCAACGGUAAGCGCAAGGCUGAUGGUAGCUCGAAGUUUGUGGCUAACACCAAUGCGUAGGGCAACAAUCAACGUCGUAAGGGGAGGCCGCCUCCUCGGACCAUCGGGUCGGGUCCUACUCUUGAGCAGUUGCUGAAUGAGCCUUGUCCAAGGCAUGGCUCGCAGCGGAAGCCAGCCACUCACCUUUGGAAAGAUUGUACGAUUAUGAAGGCUUUUAAAAAUUCCAACACAUUUGACAAUGAUCAAGGGCCGGGCGGCAGCUCAGGGGGUGGCGGUUCUCAUGGCCCCGAUUAUGGAGGUGGCAGUUCUAAUUCCGGCUUCCAGGGCCAUCAAGGUAAUCAAGGCGGUUUUAAUCAAGGUAACAAAGGUGGUUACAAUCAACAGUCUGGCCAGGGGGGACAGCAGCAGCAGCAAUCUAGGUAUCAAAGUCAUCCAAAGCAGUUAAACAGUGGGCAGUAUCACGUUUUUACCACAAGUUUGUGCAAGCGGGAUCAGAAGCUUCACAAGAGGGCAGUGAAUGCCGUUGAUCCGGCAGUUCCCCAAUACUUGUGAUGGCCUGAGCAGCCCAUUAUGUGGAGUCGGGCGGAUCACCCGCCCCGGGUUGAUAAUCCGGGUCACUUGGCUUUAGUGGUGGCACCUCAAGUCGGUGGAUACAAGUUUACUAAAGUACUCAUGGAUGGAGGUAGUAGCAUUAAUAUCCUUUAUUAUGAAACCUUCCGUCGCAUGGGGUUAACUGAUAAGAAUCUUAAGCAGUCCAAUACUAUUUUCUAUGGUGUGGUCCCUGGUAACUCAGCAUACCCGGUUUGGAAGAUUGAACUAGAAGUGGCCUUCGGAGAUGAGCAUGACUCCAGGGCUAAGAAAUUAACUUUUGAAGUGGUCAAGAUCAGAAGCCCGUACCACGCUCUAUUUGGACGGCCGGCUUAUGCCAAGUUCAUGGCACGACCGUGUUAUGUUUAUCUGUAGCUCAAGAUGCCGGGUUACAAAGGGACUAUCACAGUACAUGGAAGUCGGAAGAUAGCCUUGGAGUGUGAAGAGGGUGACGCGGCUUAUGCUGAGUCGGUCUAUGCAGCGAAAGAGUUAAAGUUUUACAAGGAUAAUGUUGACCCGGCUGAUAUGACGUCUUUGAAGAAGCCAACUACGGAGCAUGACCCGGUGACGAAGUUUAAAUCGACCGAUGACACCAAGCUCGUUGACUUUGUUCCUGGUGACUCAUCCAAGCAGUUCAGUAUCAGUGCUAACGUGGAUCCCAAAUAGGAAAACGCACUCAUCGAGUUCAUCCUUGAGAAUCGGGACAUCUUUGCAUGGAAACCUUCUGACAUGCCGGGUGUACCGAGGGAACUCGCUGAGCACACUCUCAAUAUUAAUCCGAAAAUUAAGCCUGUCAAGCAAUUCCUUCGUCGCUUCAAUGAGGAGAGGCGUAAGGCCAUUGGUGAAGAGGUGGCCCUACUCUUGGCAGCUGGGUUUAUUAUUGAAGUUUUUCAUCCUGAGUGGUUGGCUAACCCGGUGCUAGUACUCAAGAAGAAUGGCACGUGGCGUAUGUGCAUGGAUUAUACAGACUUAAACAAAGUGUGUCCGGCUGAUCCUUUUGCUCUCCCUCGUAUUGAUCAAAUCAUUGAUGCUACGGCAGGUUGUGAGCGUUUGAGUUUUUUGGAUGCUUACUCUGGUUAUCAUUAGAUCAAGAUGGCAGUUAAGGACCAGGAGAAAACAACUUUUAUUACUCCCUUUGGAGCCUUCUGCUAUGUAUCUAUGCCUUUUGGGCUCAAGAGUGCCCAGGCGACUUAUCAGUGCUGUGUGCAGAAUUGUCUUCACACUCAGAUUGGGCGUAAUGUUCAUGCCUAUGUGGAUGAUAUUGUGGUGAAAUCAAGAGAGAAGGAAACUUUGAUAGAUGAUUUGAAGGAGACCUUUGAUAAUCUCUGGGUUUACAAUAUGAUGCUUAACCCGGCCAAGUGUGUCUUUGGUGUGCCCGCAGGCAAGCUCUUGGUGUUUGUGGUUUCUAACAGAGGCAUUGAGGCUAACACGGAGUCUUUGGCAAAACUAAAGUGUAUCAAUGAUGUUCAGCGUCUGGCGGGUCGUAUCACUGCUUUAAGCCGAUUCAUAAGCCGGUUAGGUGAGAAGGCCAUACUGCUGUAUCAGAUGAUGAAGAAAAACAGAUGACUUUGUCUGGAGUGAUGUUGUGAACGACGCAUUUGAAGACUUUAAGAGGCAGCUCGCUGAGCUGCCGGUCCUUCCUGCUCCCAUUGACAAAGAACCAUUGUUGCUCUACAUGGCUGCUAAUGCCCAGGCUGUCAGUGUGGCUGUUGUAGUGGAACAGAAGGAGGAAGGCAAGGAGUAUCCGGUUCAAUAGCCGGUUUAUUUUAUCAGCGAGUUGCUCAUCGAGUCCAAGCAUAGGUUUCCACAUUGGCAGAAGCUUGUUUAUGGGGUGUUUAUGGCCAGCCGGAAGCUUAAGCAAUAUUUUCUGGGUCAUCCCAUCACUAUGUUCAGUUCUGCUCCUUUGGGAGAUAUUAUUCAAAACAGAGAAGCCACAGGGCGAGUAGCCAAGUGGGCUAUCGAGCUUGGCCCUCAUGGUUUAAAAUAUAUGCCUCGCACUGCCAUCAAGUCUCAAGCAUUGGUGGAUUUCAUCAAUGACUGGACAGAGUUGCAAAUUCCUGAAGAGAAGCCAUAUAACACAUAUUGGACUAUUCACUUUGAUGGGUCCAGGCAAUUGGAGGGCUCAGGGGCUGGAGUGGUUUUAACUUCCCCUCGAGGUGACAAGUUUUGCUAUGUUCUCAGGUUGAUGAUUCCCUGUACGAACAAUGCAGCUGAGUAUGAAGCCUUGCUCCAUGGUCUUCGGAUGGCUAAGGAGAUGAACUUAAGCUGGAUGAGAUGUUUCGGUGACUCAGAGCUGGUGGCCCAACAAGUCUCAGGUACAUGGGAUUCUAAGGACCCACUCAUGGCGGCUUAUCGCCGUGAGGUUGAUGUUAUUGCUGGACACUUCAAGGGUUAUCAGGUGGAGCACAUUGAUCGCAGGAAAAAUGAGGCGGCUGAUGCCUUAAGCCGUCUGGGGUCUCAGCGUAAGCCGGUCCCGCCUAACACCUUGUUGGAUGUUCUUCAUAAUCCUUCCAUUAAAUUACCUACAGAGGAGGAUCUAGCUAUUUCUGACCCAGAGGCACAACUGGUGGCGACUCUUCAUGCAAUCCCAGAUUGGAUAGUGCCCUAUUUGGCUUAUAUGACCAGGGGCGAGUUACCUGAGGAUGAAAUUUGGCCAAGCAGAUAACCUGGCGGUCUAAGACAAUGACUAUUGUCAAUGGCGAGCUGCACCAUCGUAGCGUCACUGGGGCGUUUCAAUGUUGCGUCUCUCUGGAAUAAGGUCGUGAGAUUCUUCGUGAGAUUCAUGAAGGGGACUGUGGUCACCAUGCCGGUUCAAAGUCCCUUGUGGCUAAAGCUUUUCAUCAUGGGUUUUAUUGGCUAACGGCUCACGCUGAUGCAGAGGAUCUGGUCAGUAAAUGUGAUGACUGUCAGAAAUUCUCAUGACGAGCUCAUGUGCCGGCUCAAGAAUUGAGGAUGAUUCCAAUUACUUGGGCAUUUGCAGUCUGGGGGCUUGAUAUGGUUGGGACUUUCAAAAGGUCCAAGGAUAAAAAGACCCACCUUUUGGUGGCGGUUGAUAAAUUCACAAAGUGGGUGGAGGCAGAUCCAGUUAGUAAGUGUGACGCAGCUACGGCGGUUCAAUUCCUGAAAAAGGUGAUUUUUCGUUCUGGCUUUCCACACAGCAUUAUCACUGACAAUGACACUAAUCUGUCCAAGGGUGCCAUGGAGGAGUUUUGUCAACAUGGGCAUAUUCGACUUGGCAUUUCAUCAGUAGCUCACCACCAGUCUAAUGGUCAAGCCGAAAGAGCCAAUCAAGAAAUUUUGAAGGGCAUCAAGCCCCGACUUAUGGUUCCCUUGCAACGGACACCGGGUUGUUGGGUGGAGGAGUUACCUUUAGUGUUAUGGAGUAUCAAUACUACCCCCAAUAGAUCUAUGGGUUACACGCCUUUCUUCAUGGUUUAUGGAGCAGAGGCGGUUCUUCCUAGAGACAUCCGUCGUGACUCGCCCCGCGUGGCGGCUUACAUUGAAGCUGAUAAUGAGCAAGCGCGUCAGGAUGCACUUGACCUGUUAGAUGAGAAGCGUGACUUGGCGGCAGCCCGCUCGGCGAUUUAUCAACAUGACACGCAUCGUUAUCACAGCCGUCGGGUUCAGUCCAAAACCUUUCAAGAAGGUGAUUUGGUGCUCCGGCUCAUCCAGGAUCAAACUGAUGCACACAAGUUAUCCCCACCUUGGGAAGGGCCCUUUGUGGCCAGCAAGAACUUGAACAACAGUUCAUACUACCUUAUCGAUGUUCGAGAACACAAAGACUCACGUAAGUCGGAGGAGGAGACACGCCGACCGUGGAAUAUUGCUCAUCUUCGGCCUUACUACACAUGAGCCACCGGCUCCUAUGAUGUACAUAUUUUUAUCAUGUAUAUAUUAUGAUGAUUAUAAUAAAGCAGGGUCUCUAUUGUUUUAUCUUCAAAUGAUCAUGUGACCAUUGGGGGCUGAUCGUAUUCGAAUCUAGCUUAACUCCUUUGGCAAAACUUCCUGAUCGUAUUCGAAACAUAGCUGUUCAAACCUCUUGAUCACUUGGGGGUUGGAUCGUAUUCGAAUCAUGGCUUAACCCCUUUUGGUCCGACCCUGAUCGUAUUCGAAGCAGAGUCGUUAAAUAUUUAGACCACUGGGGGUUGAUCGUAUUUGAAUCUAGCUUAACUCCUUUGGCACAGCUUCCUGAUCGUAUUCGAAUCAUAGCUGUUCAAAAAAAUUGAUCAUUUGGGGGCUAGGUCGUAUUCAAAUCAUAGCUUAACCCCUUUUGGUCCGACUCUGAUCGUAUUCGAAUCAGAGUCGUUAAAAAAUGUCUCAAGGUCAUUUGGGGGCUUCCUAUUCAAACAUAGGUGUCAUUCACCAAAGAAAACAUAGGUGUCGGUACCCACUUGAUCGGCGCAAUGCCAAAAGCCACUUGGGGGCUUCCUGUUCAAACAUAGGUGUCAUUCACCAGAGAGAACAUAGCCAUUCACUACAAAAAAAGACACAUCCGUGACAUUUUGGGCCGAACGAAUUUUUUUUCUGUCAUACAUAUGACACUUCUAUGACGAUAAUUGUGACAAAACCCGGUAUCAUCAUAGAUGUGGUGGGCUCCUACUUCUAUGACAAAAAAUCAUGACAGAAAAUGGGCUUUUCGUCCUGGGCGGGCCGGAGAGGCAGCUACAUGACAUUCUUUGGGCCGUCCAUGAUGGAAAAAACCAUGGUAGAAGCGAGGGGGAGGAAAAUUUCGGGGAGUUGCCGGUUACGGUGGGAGGUCGGGGCCGGAGCGAUGCGCGUUUCUCUCGUACGUACGCGCGUGUGUGCGAGGCAUUGGCUCUAACUGAACCCGAGCGAGGCGUUGGGCUCUAACUGAACCCGAGCAAUUGCACUGCAGGCUACGCGUUACUGAACCCGAGUGAUCGAUCGAUGGCUGUUAACUGAACCCGAUGGAGCGAUUCCUUCGUUACUGCAGCUAACUGAAGCCGAUCGAUGCUGCCUCUGGGAUGAACAGUGNNNNNNNNNNNNNNNNNNNNNNNNNNNNNNNNNNNNNNNNNNNNNNNNNNNNNNNNNNNNNNNNNNNNNNNNNNNNNNNNNNNNNNNNNNNNNNNNNNNNNNNNNNNNNNNNNNNNNNNNNNNNNNNNNNNNNNNNNNNNNNNNNNNNNNNNNNNNNNNNNNNNNNNNNNNNNNNNNNNNNNNNNNNNNNNNNNNNNNNNNNNNNNNNNNNNNNNNNNNNNNNNNNNNNNNNNNNNNNNNNNNNNNNNNNNNNNNNNNNNNNNNNNNNNNNNNNNNNNNNNNNNNNNNNNNNNNNNNNNNNNNNNNNNNNNNNNNNNNNNNNNNNNNNNNNNNNNNNNNNNNNNNNNNNNNNNNNNNNNNNNNNNNNNNNNNNNNNNNNNNNNNNNNNNNNNNNNNNNNNNNNNNNNNNNNNNNNNNNNNNNNNNNNNNNNNNNNNNNNNNNNNNNNNNNNNNNNNNNNNNNNNNNNNNNNNNNNNNNNNNNNNNNNNNNNNNNNNNNNNNNNNNNNNNNNNCAGUAUCCCGUGGAGUCCCGUUUUGCGGUACGCCACACCCCUCCCCCCCGUUUCGACCGUAGCGCUCCAACACAAGUCCGUUUCGUUCGUUUUGCGGUACGCCACACCCCUCCCGAUCAACAGGACCCCCGUUUCGACCGUAGGAGGUCCGUUUCAUCCGUUUUGCGGUACGCCACACCCCUCCCGAUUAACAGGACCCCCGUUUCGACCGUAGGAGGUCUGUUUCCUCCGUUCUGCGGUACGCCAGACCUCGUUUGCAUCGCCUGUUCCGUCCAAGCCGGUUGGCUCCCACGUGUUCCGUUGCCUCCCGAUGAACACGACGCAUUCCGUUGCCUCCCCAUGAACACGGCGCAUUCCGUUGCCUCCCCAUGAACACGACGCAUUCCGUUGCCUCCCCAUGAACACGACGCAUUCCGUUGCCUCCCCAUGAACACGAGCCCUCGCCGUAUGUAUGCGCGACUAGGCGUUUGAGACCCCGCCCGUAUGUACACAUACGUGGCCAUAUUUUCUUUCUUGCACCCUGGCCGCUGUACGUACGUGUACAUGCUACGUGCGCGCCUCUACUACGACACGUACGCGCCUCUACUACGACACGUGCACGCCUCUACAUUGACCAAUAUAUAUGUACGUACAAGUUCGCGACCAGAAUGACAACGCUACGUACGCUUCGAACAGGUGGGUCCCGACUGUCAGGCAGUUCCUUGCGUACGAAAAUGUAGCUGGUGGGUCCCAACAGUCACAGGGGCGAAUCGUUUUUUUUGCCCGGACGCACUUCCUUUGCGUGCAAAGAUGUAGCUGGUGGGUCCCAGCAGUUAGGGGGGCGAAUCGUUUUUUUUGCCCAGACGCACUUCCUUGCGUGUGAAGAUGUAGCUGGUGGGUCCCAGCAGUCAGGGGGGCGAAUCGUUUUUUUUGCCCGGACACACUUCCUUGCGUGCGAAGAUGUAGCUGGUGGGUCCCAGCAGUCAGGGGAAACUUUUUUUCGCGAAAUACGGUGGCCCGUCCGGUGGGUCCCCGCUGUCAGGUGGAGGAAUCAUUAUUUUCCGCGUAAUAAGGAGGCACUUCCUUGCUGCGGCCGUGGACCCAGCUGUCAGCCUCUCCACGUACAGUCCACGUCCGAUGGAAUUCGUUACUUGACCACGUUGACCACGUCGCACCGAGAGCACCACGGCGGUGGACGACGGCGAGGCCUAGGAAGGGGACAACUCGGAGCCGGGGAAGACGCACCAGUGGAUGCCCACGCAAAGAGGAGUACGGGGGUUCACUGGUUCUGCUGCGGUGUGAGGCUGCUAUCGCCGUAGAUUAACAGGGGGUGUGGGUGAGUAGAGGGAUGGCCUGGCCAGCGGUGGGAGUAGUAGGGGGCGGUGAGGCCUCCGCGGCAUCACAGCCGGCCACGGGAGGCAGGAGCACGCGGCACGACCGACGCUGGUUUGGGCGGCUGGAGCAAGAAGACCAGAGGUUGAAGAAGCACUACAACCGUUGGAUGAACAUCGUACGAUAAUAGGAGCUAGAAUCGUUCAUAUUGACUAAGUUGACAAGGCCCUCCGUCCCCGACAACUUGGUAGGCCCACAAGUCAGCCUCCCAGUAUGCUGGGUUCCAGCUGGUAGGGGGAGUAUUUAUUUUUUGUGCGUAAUAAGGAGACACUUUCUUGCGUGCGAAGAUAGCUGGUGGGUCUGACAAGUCAGCGGGGGGCACAUUUUUUUUUGCGAAAUACAGAGUCCCUUCCAGUGGGUCCCAGAUGUCAGGUGGAGGAAUCAUUAUUUUGCGCGUAAUAAGGAGGCAUUUCCUUGUGUGCGGCCGUGCACCCAGCUGUCAGCCUCUCCACGCACAGCCUACUUCCAAUGGUGUCGUUCGUUAACCACAUUGACCACGCCGCGCCGAGCACAUCCAAGGUGGUGGACGACGGCGAGGCCCCGGACAGCAACGAGCCGGAGAUGGGAAGAUGCGGGAGUAGAGUCGCAGACGGAGAGGUGUACGAGGGUUAACUGGUUCUAGUGCGGUGUGGUUUGGCAGUCGGUGGAGAAGAACAGGAGGUGUGGAGGGUUGGAGGGAUAGCCUGGCCAACGAUGGAGUAGCGCUUCAUAGCGAAGCGUGCUAAGCAGAGCUGCUAGUAGCAGGAGGCGGGAGGUGGUCCCGGCGGCGCUGGAGGAAGAAGACGAGAGAUUGAAGAUGCAUGCCGGCCGUUGGAUGUAAAUCCAAUGGCUAACAUGUCAGAGUCAUUUGUUGACUAAAUUUACAACGACUUGCGUUGGCUUCGACCUAUUGGCCCACAUUUCAGCCUCCAAAAAUGUGGCACGUAUUCAACCCAUUUUUUCAGAAUUUACAGUCUUUUUUUGCACGGUAGAAUUUACAGUCAAUUUAAUAUUUUUUUGAAUUACAGCCAUUAGCUGGGCUGGGUGAACAAUUAAUGUAGCUUUCAAGCGGCCCAUUUAUUUUAUUUCCUAAAAAAUUACAGGUCAUUUGCACUUUAUCUAGAUACGCGAUUUUGCUGGGCUGAUUCUAAUUAUAAUGUUGGGUUGGGCCAGCAAUGUUAUCAAAAAUAAAAAUGGGCUGAGCAUUUUGUUAUAAAUAUAUUUAAAUAAUAAGUGAUAUUAUUACAUUCGUCCUUAAAUCUUACCAAGCUUUUGUACACAAUCACUAGGAUUUUCGUGCCAAAAAAUCCAGGAUUUUAUUUGUUAAGAAAUUAUUUUUAUAAGUUAAUAAGAUGUGUGAUAUUGUUUUCUUACAUACGUAAGUAUCUGUUAAAUAUAUGAUGACAAUAAAAAUAAUAUAUAAUAACAUCUAAAAUAAUUCAAAUAUAUAUAAUAUAGUUAAAAGGGAAAUAUAAGUUGUACCUGGCGUUCCUAUUCUUAUAUAGAAAAAUAGAACAGACCGCUGCGUUUUCUUCAAAAAAAUACAUAAAUUGAGUUGCCAAAAAUAAAACCUCGAAUGGGAGGUCCAUAGGCCGGUCGAUACAUGACGGCCCUAAGAAAAUACAAACAGGCCCUCCCAUCCGAGGUCGUGGGCUGCGCAUGUUAAAAAUGAAAGCCUAGACGGGGCAGCCCAAAACCACGUCCAACACUUGCCAAAACUCCGUCCCUCGUUUUCUCUGUGUUUCGCACAGUCAACAUUGUGUGGGCAUUUUGACUGUGCAUCAUAUGAAGAUGUGCUAUGCAUGAAUGUUGAUCAGCAUGAUGUUAACUGGCUAGUAGUUCCAUUUUCGACCACGAAUAAAACUUCCAACAUGAUGUUAACCCUGUUUGAAAAGGCCGUGUUAAUAUAAAUGCUCUGCCUCUGAAAGUUGCAGUUUCUUAUCUGAAACUGAACUUGCAGUUUCUUAUCUGAAACUGAAACUUGCAAUUUCUUCUCAUCUGCACUUUUAUACUCCUAUGAAACUACAUUUUUUUAAGUGCUAAAAAUAGAUCUCUAGAAUUCAUAAAAUUCUUCAUAUGCUCAAUACUGCAAAUAUGAAAUUCAAAAGACAUUCAUAUCUGAGAGUACUCUCAAAAUACACAACACAAAACACAAUUCACAACCUGCAAAUACUGACAACCCUAAGCUCCUCCUGAUAAUUCACAACCUGCCCGACUAUUGGGCUAGGGGGGCAGUCCCCUCCUAUUCCUCGGCGACAGACAGCCGCCCCGUGAGACGAUGUGAACGGCGAGGGAGAUGAUGGCGGGGAAGCGUCGUCAGGCCAACUGCUUUUCUCCUCUUGCAGUUGGGUUCGGUCGACGAAGACUCCACCGGCUCGCUCUGGCAGGACACCCUCACAAACGGCACCCUGUAGAUGCUCGAUCCUUCAAUCUCUGGUGGAUGCUCCAUCUGGGAUCGAUACUCCCACCACCGCUCCCUCACGAUUGGAGUGAAUCUGUUUGCUCCAUGGCCUAGAGGAGCAGCUCUAUGUACUCCGACGCGAAUCCCCCCGGGAGUAUCGCCGCGUUUUCGCUCUGUUUCAGAUAUUUGGCCAUGGAUGACGCCGUCGCCACUAGUUGGUCCUUGUUGUCAAACCAAGACUGUAUCUCGAACAUCCUAGCUAGCUUCACAGGGUCGCCGUCUGCAAUCCUUACGUAUCGGUUGUACUCCUCCAUCGAUCUACUUCUCCACAGCACCUUCACUCGCCGGCGGUGGUUUUUGAAUGGAAGAGGAGAGGAGCGGCGCUGGUUUUAGAUUAGAACAGGAGAGGAGCGACGCUGGUUUUGGACUGGAACAGGAGAGGAGGGGUGGUGGUUUUGAAAUGGAAGAGGAGAGGAGCGGCGCUGGAUUUAGAUUGGAACAAGAGAGGAGCGGCGGUGGAUUUAGAUUGGAACAGGAGAAGAGCGGAAGAGCGGCGCUAGUCUUGGAAGUAUUUUUUUGUUGUUUUGCGUAUUUUGGGUCAAAGUUUGACCAUGUACUGUAUGUGACAAGCAAAAUAUGAAUGCAUGUCACCAAAAAUUGUAUCGUUUGGUUCGUAUCUGAAUGUACUUUCAAAUUAUAUUAUUUUUGCAACGUAUAACAUAUAUUUUAUGUGCGAAAAUCAUGGUCAAUUAUGACCCAGAAUAAAAGAGAGACUAGUUAAUGUGGGGCCGCUUUCUUAAUUGAAGGGUAAAUUGAUUUUGAUUUUGAUCCAGUCACAGCGCGCCGGCCCUCUCACCCAAUCCUAAAUUGCUGCCGCACGCUCCUCUCCCUCUUCUCCAUUGCAAAACCACCUCCUCUCCUCUCUAUCAUCUCCAUUCCAAAACCACCGUCUCGCCUCUCCCUCUUCUGAUCUUCUCCAUUGCAAAACCACCUCCUCUCCUCUCCAUCAUCUCCAUUCCAAAACCACCAUCUCGCCUCUCCCUCUUCUGAUCUUCUCNNNNNNNNNNNNNNNNNNNNNNNNNNNNNNNNNNNNNNNNNNNNNNNNNNNNNNNNNNNNNNNNNNNNNNNNNNNNNNNNNNNNNNNNNNNNNNNNNNNNNNNNNNNNNNNNNNNNNNNNNNNNNNNNNNNNNNNNNNNNNNNNNNNNNNNNNNNNNNNNNNNNNNNNNNNNNNNNNNNNNNNNNNNNNNNNNNNNNNNNNNNNNNNNNNNNNNNNNNNNNNNNNNNNNNNNNNNNNNNNNNNNNNNNNNNNNNNNNNNNNNNNNNNNNNNNNNNNNNNNNNNNNNNNNNNNNNNNNNNNNNNNNNNNNNNNNNNNNNNNNNNNNNNNNNNNNNNNNNNNNNNNNNNNNNNNNNNNNNNNNNNNNNNNNNNNNNNNNNNNNNNNNNNNNNNNNNNNNNNNNNNNNNNNNNNNNNNNNNNNCCACCUCCUCUCCUCUCCAUCAUCUCCAUUCCAAAAGCACCUCCUCUCCUCUCCAUCAUCUCCAUUCCAAAACCACCGUCUCACCUCUCCCUCUUCUGAUCUUCUCUCCAUUGCAAAACCACCUCCUCUCCUCUCCAUCAUCUCCAUUCCAAAACCACCUCCUCUCCUCUCCCUCUUCUCUAUUGCAAGACCACCAUCUCUCCUCCCAUCUUCCAAAGCUAGCACCGGACCACUCAGAACAACAUCUAUGGAGAGGAUGCAGCAGCGAAUCAGGCAGAUCGCCGGCGGCGACCAGGCAAAGUUAGCUAGGUUGAAGGAGAUCCUUAGUUGGUUUGACAAUGAGUGGGAGAUUUUGAGGACGGUGCGGGCCAUGUGGCAAUGUAUGCGAAAGAGCGAGACGGCGGCGAUGUACAUGUACUCCUCGGCGGCAGUCACGCCGCAGUCCUCCAAGUUCAUCGAGUAUCUCCUAUGGGCGAUGGAGCAGACAGACUCGCCCAAGGCGACAGUUAGGCGGAGGUGGUGGGCGUACAGGUCGAAGGUCGAGCACCCAGAGGAUAACGAAUCGAUCGAGUAUGGUGUGCCGUUCAUGAGGGUGCAGAGCCAGCCGGAGCCACAGGAGUAUUCAUUCUCCCACCGCAAGAGGAGGCCGGAUGGCGCGACGUCGCUUCCCCGAUGUUCUCCAUGGUUCCCUCGACGCUCGCCUCAUUUCAACGGCGGCGGUAGGGUUUAAGGUAAGCUUCGCACUAACCUAAUCUUCCACCUGCUCAUGCUUACAAUCAGUGUGACAGCUAAUGAAAAUCAUGCUUACAAUCAGUCUCCGAGUACUAUGCCAAUCACCCUAAAAUAGCUCUGGACCUUUGGGUCAAAGUUGUGACACUGUGUACAAAUAAAGAAAAAUAGAUUGGUGCUUCUUUUAGAAAAGAGUACUCCCUAGAAAACUGCCAAUAUAAGCUACUAGUAUUUGGUUAGAGGAUUUGCUGCCGAGAAAGAUCCGUCCACAUAGAGCGCCACACAUCCCACUGGUUGUGGUGGAUGCCAAUGCGUGCAUGCAACAUGGUUGGUGUUGGUAAUUUUUACUUGGCACACCUCACACUCUGCAUAUAUGCCGGUUCCAUACGUACAUUUGUGCAGUUCCACCAAAAUGCAGCUGAAUAACCUUGUUUGCACAGAUAAUGAAAAAGCGUGAUUACAUUAUAGUGGCACUAGUUGAUGAAACACACAAAAUAAAUAGAAGAAAAUAUUGCGAUAGUAUCAUAGUAUGCCAUGCUGCGAAGGCGAGAUGGGCCCUGCGACGCCUCAUACGGUACGCCUCAUAAUGGACAUCGUCCCAAGUCUCCCAUAUACACCUUCUGCCAGUGAUGAACAUCAGUGUAGAGCAGUAGUACAAGGAGGCGCCUUGAGACAUUCAAAUCUCUAUUUUUGUACAUAUCAACUAAAAUUAAGCACCCCAGUUUGCAGAAACGCUUAAACAUUAACAAUGGGACUAGCCGAUGAAACAUACUUUAACAAAGAGAAGCACUUUCUUUAUCUACAUUGGAAAUGAAAUGAUAGAGAUGACACUUGCUCUAUUUUAACUGUAUUAUUACUUCAUUUAGCAGUGACACUAGGGUCGAGCAGGUGGCAAAUGAGGUGUACCGUGCGUCGCAAGGAUGGAGGCCGGGGGUGCUUAGACUGGGAUGCUGAAGUUGGCUCUUUCUGUCACCAACAUGGAUGAUUCAAUUCAUGGGACCUUUUGGUGCAGUUCACCUAAAAUGAAGCAAUGUCCCGUGAGCUAGCAGCUUCUUCAUUUUUUUAAGAAAAGGGCUCCAGCCCCGGUUCCAUUUCCAUCAGAAAACGAAACCCACAGAGCUUCUUCUUCAUUAGUUGCAAUAAAAUUGAGCAACAUCAAGGUUGGUUGUGAAGCUCCUGGAAUGCUCAACCAUAAUUUGGAUAUCAUUUGUGCAGUUCAACUAAGACCGAGCAUGAAAUGUAUAUCUCUGUUUGCACAAAAAAGGUGGAAAGGAGGGUGACUAACAAGUAACAAGUGAUGAAACAUGCAUCAAAUGAAAAGAAGCAUGUUCCUUAUCUGAAUGGAAAUCCUACAAGGACAGUAGCAAUUUCUAAAGCAGUGGCAUUGCUAGAUAUUAGUGUGGGCAUCAGGAUUAACUAUGACAAUCGUUAAAUACGACAUUACUUUGGGCACGGGAGAGUAGGCGGACCAAGACAGUUGCAUUUCUAACGAAAAGAACCAACUUAUCAUAAUGGGAAAUUUUAGCAGGACAUAUAAAGAAGUGCCAUUGAUCCAUAUUACUGGAGGCAUUACAUUGAAAACAACAUUAGUUUAACGUGUCCUUACUUUUAACAGUGCGACUGCUACAUUUUACCAGUGGCAUUACAUAAGAGUGGCUCGGGGCAACAAACAUCAGAACAGGAUAUCUGGGUUGGUCCCAUUUUUGUUCGGUAUAGCCACCUUAUACUGUGUGAGGCUAGCAAAUCUAGUGCUGGACUUACUCUGUUGACUUGUCCCCUAGUCCCCACUUUCUUUCCUUUUUCAACCAAUAGAUCGGGUUUAUAUUGAGUUUGUACUGCGUUUCCCUUUAUUUCCCUAUUAGACCUAGAACCAGUUGGAUAGCCAGUCUCUGCUACUUUUCGCCCCCAUUAUUUCCUCUUUUGACCAAGUCCUAGAUUCAGGUAACAAAUCCUCCCCCACCCCCACCCCCUUUCUUCCUUGUUUGAAGCAAGUAGUACUAGAUUCGAGUGCAUGAACUAGUUUUACCUCUUAAACCUAAAAAAAUUAGGUGGUUUUCGAAUAGCCGAUCGAUCCUAUCUACGAGGGGGCCUGAGAAAUAGUAAAAGUUACAAAUGCAGCGAUGUCAGGAGCUCGGGAAGUAGAGCAAGGCCGGUUUCUAAGGAAGUUAUACCUGAUGGUCGCCGGGAUGUUGCUAGGUGGGCGGCGGGAGGCCGGAUCUGCCCACACUACGACAACGAGGAAGAAGAGGUCGGAGGCCCUCCCUCGCCAGCAGUGCUUGGGAGAGAACGGCAAGGCAGGCUGAUCGGGACGCGCCCAGCAGUGGGUAAGAGCCGUCGCCGAGGACGACCGCGUGAACGUUGCACCUUCUCACCUUCCCCAGCGGAGAGGAUCCGGCUGGAUUUGUGACCAGCGGUGAGAAGAGAGAGAGAGAGAGAGAGAGAGAGAGAGAGAGAGAGAGAGAGAGAGAGAGAGAGAGAGAGAGAGAGAGUGGCCACCGCUGUCGUGUUUAGAUCUGGAGAGGCCGAGACGGUGUGAAGAGAGCAACACUAGCAAGCAAGCGCGGAGGCUCCUGCCUAUACAGUGGAGUAGUACUUAGUUUUCUUUUGUCUACCGGAGCCGGCUUGACCUCGUCAAUGACUGUCGAGAAGUCUUCAUGCACGUGGCCCGGAGGCGCAGUUGUCGUCAUUUUGAUCUGAAGCACCGGAUUAUAACAUAUAACACGAAAAAAUGCCACAUGACAAGAAAUCAUAACCUCACUGCCCAAAGGAGACAACAUGAAUCCUGACGGACAAACUAGACGAGGAACAAAGCUCAAAUUAAAGAUAAACUCGUAGAAAAGGGGUCCGUCGAUAGAUGUCUAAUUAACAUAGCCGAAUUGACCUAGAUGGCAGCCGAGUAGUCACUAUUCGUGCAUGUGCCCCCAAUGACUAGCCCAACUCAGUUGUCGCUGUUUAACCCUCGCAGUGAUCUGAAGCACAUGACACAUAAUUUUGCGAGAUGACAAGAAACCUUUUUUUAGAUUUAUCACCACAACUACAGCCAUGUACAACACAACCUGCACGAUAUGUAGACGAUAGCCAAUCCAGGCGUGUCUGCUGGAGUCUGGUCACAUGCAUGGACGAACUGAUCUUCCGUGUCUUGCAGGGAUCGUCCAGGCACCAACGUAGUACAACACUUCUCUAGUACUAUCGCUCGUCUCCCUCUUCUAUUAAGUCACCCGACUUGCGGGGCCGGGGAGUGUGCCUAUGGUCGGUUCUCAAUUGUCGUCCCACAUGUGUGCGAAUGCAAUAUGACGCGUGUUCCAUUCAGAGAGCAGCGUGUUGGACCGACCGACCGUCUGGGGUGCGACGUGAACGCGACGUGCGUGCUGUAUGCUCCGUACAUGUGUACCGCCGUUUUCUAGACGCUUUGCUUCAUGGCGCGGGCACAAUCCAUGGAUACAAAAUUACUAUACUAUAUACUAUUUAAAAGUCAAGGGCGGGGAUUUUCCUGCCCGGUAGGUGGCGGGACAGUUCCGCCUAGUCGGUUCGACAGAGACGCGAGAAGACGAGGGAGUAGGCUGCUGCAAACGUAGGGCUGUGUGAUUUGAUAGCGAGUUACUGCUGGACAGGUGGGGCCCCGUGAUUUGACUUGACAUUAUCAUUUUAACUGCGACGCUACGACCGGCGUGAGUCUCCCGAUUCCUGACCACCUCCAUACAGGUCCCUCUCCCAAUGCUCCACCAUGUAGUAGUAGAGGCUGGCUCUUGCAUGAGAGCCCACUUCUCCACUUUUUCCUUGCCUUUCUUUCCUCCACAUAUGCAAAAAUGCCAUGUAAAGCGCACUAUUGUACUUACUUGCUCCUACAGGUGCUUAAGCUUGCCACAUAGGCAUAAAGUCUGAUGUGGCAAGUUAAUCAAGAAGAGAGAGACUAGUUUGGUGACCCAAGGAAGAAACGGUACUAAGUGCGUGUACCUAGGUGAAAAGACAAUUUUGAGUCUAUAGCUAAUUAAAUGAAGCAAACUUAGCAACACCAUUUCAUUCGAAGAUGUCACUCCUUGGCAAAUGCAAUAAAUACUAGUACUCCAUGUGUCCCAUUAUAUAAGAACGUUUUUGACACUACACUAGCUAGUGUCAAAAACGUUCUUAUGUUAUGGGACGGAGGGAGUACGAAGAAAGAUAUAGAGAGGAGUAAAAAAAUACACUUAUAGCCAACCUUGUUGUAGUAUGAGUGACUAAGUGAUGACUAUGUAUGACAUGCCAACAUCAGAUAGCCUAACGCACAAUGUUAAAUCUCCAAGGGCGCGACCACGCGAGCGACGCGACGGUAGUGGUAGGCGCGACCAUGAUAUGGGCUGCUGGCAGCCCUUGGAUCUGAGAUCAAACGGUCGCAUGCUAAGUUGCCGAAAAUUUAAGAAUAACCCUCCAGGAUAGGAUAUUCACCCAUAGGUCUAGAAUCACGCCAUGCAACCGUUCGAUCUCAGAUCCAAGGGCUCUCAGAAGCCCGUAUCAUGGGAGAAUGGAAAGCCACUACCCUGCCGUUCGCACGCUGGCAGUUCGCUCCUACUCUUUCCCGCACGUCCUUUAAUACUAUGGCGGUUCGCUCCUAGUCGUCCCGUCCAUUCACAUUACGGCAGUUCCACUAAUCCUAACCCUCCUCCCAAAUCCAUGGCAUCCCAAAUCUCCCCGAUCGGCGGUGAGUACAAGGUUAGAACCAUCACCGGUGAUGAGUUCGACGUCAUCUACACCCGUACUUCCGCGACGGUGAAAGGAUCCCUUUCUCUCUUCAGACGCAUGUUCGAAAACUCACAUGAUGAGUGGGUCGCUGGGCUAGAUGUUGAGUACACCACAGUCGUGGGACGAGAGAAGGAUCUAAAGGACGAAGAGAGGAAGAAGCCCGCCAUGAUCCAGGUUUGCGUACAUAACGUUUGCUUGGUCUACCACAUAUGCCAUGCUGACGUUGAGUGCCAGGAUUUUAAGAACUUCCUCGAGGACAAAACAGUCAAAUUUGUUACUGUAGACUUUAAGAACGACAAAGAAGUCCUGCGUCGGAUAGGCCUCGUUGUAGGCAACCCCUUCGACCUCCAGAAGAAUCAACUGGUGCCCUCUCGUCAGCCCUCAAUGCUGACCCUGGCAGGAGCCAUGGUUCAUCCUUCGUACCGCAAACUAGAGAAACCUCAUUAUACGUUUCAUCGUCAUGCAUGGCAGCGAAAUGUACUAGAUAUAGACCACAUCCACUAUGCUGCAAUGGAUGGCUACCUUUGUUUCAAUAUCUAUAAGGGUUGGAUGAAGGGCAACAGCCAAGUUGGUGGUUCAAGCAAAGAAGUAUCGGCCAAGAGGAAGAGGUACAAGGACGAAGUCGAGGACGUGGACGAGGACUCCGAGUAAGGUGGCAGUGUCGUUUCUCAUGGCGGUUCUAAACUUCUAAUGCAGUGUCUACCGGAUUAGUUGCAUAGUUUAAUUUCAGGUGUGCUUAGUUUAAUUUUAGGGGUGUGUUGUGUUGAGCCCCCAGCAGAACUAUGUUAUGUUUCUUCUCAUUAAUUUAACUCUUCAGUACUAUUUCAUAUAUAAAUGUUUCUCUAAUUCGGUUUCUCAUUUACGGUUGAGCCCCCAGGAGAACUAUGUUAUGCGCAUAACUCUUCACUACAUCCAUGGUAACGAAUUAGAGAAACAUUUACGGUCUAUUCUGGUACUAUUCUUCUCAUUUAUAUAUGAAAAAGAUGCGCCUAUAUGAUGACCAUACUUAAAAGGCUAGCGUACUGUUCAUCAUAUAGACCGUAACGAAUUAGAGAAACAUUCAAAAUAUUAGCAGAAUAACUAUUCUGCACACCACUUCCGCACUGCACGUUAAACGCAAGUGCACUGCAUCUUCUUGACGACGAGCACUGCAAUAUAGACUAGUGAACUUCGCGUCGGAAAAAACUGCAUGCAGUGUUUUUCUGGUACUGUUUUCGCUCUAAUUUUUUGAUUGUUUACCGGAACGAGGCAUAUAAUAUAACGUUGAAAAGUUAUGGAUUAGGCGCAACUUCGACAUGUUGAACAGUUUUCGAGAUUCCACACGGUUUAAGAGCAGUUUUGAAAAUGGUGUGGCGGAUGACGAGUGGCAGCGAGCGUUUUUUUCGUGUUUUUUUCUAAACCGCUUGUCGGAAUGAAGCAAAUGAUACGCCGUUGGAUAGAUAUCGUCAAGGUGCAUCUUUUUCAUAUAUAAAUGUUUCUCUAAUUCGUUACGGUUUAAGAGCAGUUUCAAAUUUACUAAAUCGCGGAACUCUGUUUUUCAAAUAUUUUGAAAUUUUUGGUACUGUUUUUGCUCCAGUUUUCUAACCGUUUGUCGGAACGAGACGUAUGAUACGCCAUUGGAAAGCUACGGACAAUUCACAACUUUCAUAUGUUGAAAUGGUUUUGACAUUCCUUACGGUUUUUAGUUAAUUUUGAAAAUCGUGCGGCUGACUUUGAGAGGCAGCGGCUGUAUUUUCGUGAAAUUUUUACGAACGGCUGGUCGGAAUAAUUCAAAUCAUACGCUAUUGGAAAGAUAUCAACGAGACACAACUUUUUCAUGUAGAACACUCUCUCUAAUUCCUUACGAUUUAAGAGCAGUUUCGAUUUUACCGAAAAGCGGACACUCUGUUCUUCGCGAGACCAAAAUCGUCAUAUUUACUGCAUCGGACAGAAGAACGCAUUGCUUCAGACAAAAUACCGCACUGCAUCAGAUGGUCAAGCGCACUGCAUGGUUUCUUUUUGUUUAGACGUAUUUUUUCUCAGACGAGGAAAGAAAAACGCACUGCUUUUAGACGAAAUACCGCACUUCAUUAGAUGGGCAAGUGCACUGCAUGAUUUGUUUUUGUUUAGACGUAUUUUUUCUCGGACGGGGAAAGAAGAACGCACUGCUUCAGAUGAAAUACCGCACUUCAUUAGAUGGGCAAGUGCACUGCAUGUUUUUUUUGUGGGACGUAUUUUUUCCCAAACAAGGUGGAGUGCACUUCAUGUCGAGCGGUGGUGAACCGCAGUACUAUGAAAAGUGAACCACUUUCUUUUUCUUUUAUCGUCUCCGUAAUUUUUUUAUCUACGAGUAUGCACUGCAGGGACAAGGUGAGUGUACUGCAUCAAUUUUUCUUUUUCCAAUUUUCUUUCUACUGCACAUAACAACAGAGUGAGCUGCAUUAAAAAAAUUUCCAAUUUGUUUUUGCAUUUGGCAACAUAGUGAACCACUGCAAGAGAGAAGAUCACUGCGGCAAUGAAACAAGUGAGCUGCACAUAAACAAAUUUUUGUUGUUCUUUUCUUCAAUGAAUGUUUUUGAGAGAGCUGCGAUCUGUACAUCUCUGUACUACGAGACGGGGUGAACGAACUACAGUGAUCCUCUUUUUAAUCCAUAGUACAAACACACACAAAUUACAAUGACGAGGAACUACAACAACAACAAAAAAAAGAACUCCACUUUUGUGCACAAACUGAGCUGCACUAGAGUGGCACCAGGAACUACAACACGCCAUGUAGAUCACCUCCUCUCUCCCUUUAGGGAUCUGCAAAGAACAGCAUGGCCAACCACACAGAGAGCGGCUGCUGGCACAUCCACGGCACCGCACCAAGAUCAUAGGCGAACUGCAGACAAGCAAAAUCUGAAGAAAAGAAGGACCCAAAGUGCAAUAGAACAACGGUGACACGCCGCACCACAACAAGGGGAACUAGGCGAACUGCACGCCGGUGACGCCCUAUCUUAACUGAAUGCCGUAGAGGAGAUCUGACGCACAACAACAUCAGGAUCCAGAGCGGCAGUGGGAGACAAGAUUGAGAUGCCCCUGGCGGCACCUGCGGGCAUAAGGGAGAUGUGAUGGAGGAAGAUGAAGGCAAUUAGAGAGAGGAGGGGAGGCUCACCUUCGGUGCUGCUGUGGUCACCUGAGCACCAUCGCUGUCCAUGCACCAUGCAGCCCACUUGCCUACGCAAGGACGGGAGUAUGGACGGCUGCCGUGCCAAAAAAGGAAAAAAACUCCUGUGAUCCGCACCGCACGGUGAGGUGCACCGCGGAGCGGGGAGGGGAUGUUUCUGCACGCGCCCAACAAGUGCACUGCAGGCGGAGCAUCGUUGGACUGAACGUCGGAGCGGGGAAGGCCGCUCGGGAUCCCUCACCUCCAGGGAAUGUGGCGACGGGAUCUGGCCUGGGAUGCUUCGAUCCGUCACCUGGAGUGUCGCCGGAGGCUUCGGUUGUGGGGGAUGGGAUGGGGCGGCUAGCUUGGAGGGGGCGUGGCGGCUCGGUGUGCCUGGAGGUGGGAGGCCAGCCUGGCGCCCGCAGCUGCGUACGGGGCCGGGACGGAUGAAUCCGGCUGCGGGGGACGGGUCGCGCCGGCCAUGAGCCAUGGUGGCAGAGGGGAUGGCACGAAUCGACGAGCGCCACUAUGGGACUGGGGUAGGGCCUCGCCGGAUCCGGGUGUGGGAAGGGUGGAUCCAACCGCGGCGACCAGCAGGAAGUUGGCGGAUGCCCAUGCUCCUCCGGCCGUCGGAUGCAACCCGCGUGGUGCCACCUAUGGACAAAGGAGAAGGCCGGGGAGAGAUAGAGCUACGGGAAUAGGAUACUGACGCAGGGCGGCGCGGGGUCAGGGGCCCAUCGGCGGGCACGAGAUCCGCGUGGCCGUGCAUCACCGGGAGGGGGCGUGUAUGCUCGAAUUAGAAGGAGGAGGCGGAAGGGUGGGCCGGUGGCUUAGGGAAGAAGCCAGAGCAGGUCGUGGAAGCUCGGUGCUCGACCCCCCGGCGGCAAGUGAAGGGAGGUGGUGUGGCGAUACGGGAAGGAGGUGGUGCGGCGGUGGGAGGGAGGUGCUGCAGUGGGGAAGGGGAAGAAGGUGGGGGGAUACUAGUUGGUGGGCACGAGGAGUCGUGGGAGUGGGAGCAAUGGGUGGGUUUUCUACUGGGAUUGAUCCGUCGCUGUGUGUUAGGGUGUUAGCAGAAUAAGGUUUUUGGUGUGCAGAAUAAGGUCUUAAAGUCUUAAGGUCUUAAGGUCUUAAGGUAUAUAUAUAGCCAGUUAAAUUCUCAACCUAGAACGACAUGCAUGCCAUGUAGUAAACCGAUCCGGAGGAAGUAUAGUAAAAAUGAGGUGAUUUUACCCAGCGAUCGGCGGGGGAGCAUGGCCUGUCAUGCGGUCCCACGUGUCAUGAUGUACCAAGGCGAUGCGUGUGUCCCUCUUGAGGCAGAAGCAAUACUAGUACGUGGUUUGAGAUGAUGUCGAACCGAAUUGUGAAAUAAUGGUUGCUUCGUCCGUCUGGGAAGGUGCGGCAUUGUGAUUUGACGUCUCAUUGCUCAUUACUAACACUGGGCCGGUACGAGUGGGGUGCGUCCCCCCUGCUGUUCUGCACUGUUAUUUGGUGCUUGACACGUCGACCCAGUUGCACAUGAGAUGACCCCCACAUCCUUUGUCAAAAUAAACAACACCCCGAUCAAUGCAUCAAUGCAUUUCACUCUUUCGUGCAACGGACAUGCACCUUACUUGCUCCUACAGGUGCUUAAGCUUGCCACAUAGGCAUAAAGUCUGAUGUGGCAAGUUAAACAAGAAGAGAGAGACUAGUUUGGUGACCCAAGGAAGAAACGGUGCUAAGCGCGUGUACCUAGGUGAAAAGACAAUUUUGAGUCUAUAGCUAAUUAAAUAAAGCAAACUUAGCAACACCAUUUUAUUGGAAGAGGUCACUCCUUGGCAGAUGCAAUAAAUACUAGUACUCCAUGUGUCCCAUAAUAUAAGAACAUUUUUGGCACUACACUAGUGUCAAAAACGUUCUUAUAUUAUGGGACGGAUGGAGUACGAAGAAAGAGAUAGAGAGGAGUAAAAAAAUACACUUAUAGCCAACCUUAUAGCCAACCUUGUUGUAGUAUGAGUGACUAAGUGAUGACUAUGUAUGACAUGCCAACAUCAGAUAGCCUAACGCACUGUGUUAAAUCUCCAAGGGCGCGACCGCGCGAGCGACGCGACGGUCGUGGUAGGCGCGACCAUGAUACGGGCUGCUGGCAGCCCUUGGAUCUGAGAUCAAGCGGUCGCAUGCUAAGUUGCUAAAAAUUUGCAGAAUAACCCUCCAAGAUAGGAUAUUCGCCCAUUGGUCUAGAAUCACGCCAUGCAACCGUUCGAUCUCCGAUCCAAGGGCUCUCGGAAGCCCGUAUCAUGGGAGAAUGGAAAGCCACUACCCUGCCAUUCGCACGCUGGCAGUUCGCUCCUACUCGUCCCCGCACGUCCUUUAAUACUACGGCGGUUCGCUCCUAGUCGUCCCGUCCAUUCACAUUACGGCAGUUCCACUAAUCCUAACCCUCCUCCCAAAUCCAUGGCAUCCCAAAUCUCCCCGAUCGGCGGUGAGUACAAGGUUAGAACCAUCACCGGCGAUGAGUUCGACGUCAUCUACACCCGUUCUUCCGCGACGGUGAAAGGAUGCCUUUCUCGCUUCAGACGCAUGUUCGAAGACUCACAUGAUGAGUGGGUCGCCGGGCUAGAUGUUGAGUACACCACAGUCGUGGGACGAGAGAAGGAUCUAAAGGACGAAGAGAGGAAGAAGCCCGCCGUAAUCCAGGUUUGCGUGCAUGACUUAUGCUUGGUCUACCACAUAUGUGAAGGAAAUAUGCCCUAGAGGCAAUAAUAAAGCUAUUAUUUAUUUCCUCAUAUCAUGAUAAAUGUUUAUUAUUCAUGCUAGAAUUGUAUUAACCGGAAACAUGAUACAUGUGUGAAUACAUAGACAAACAUAUAGUCACUAGUAUGCCUCUACUUGACUAGCUCAUUAAUCAAAGAUGGUUAUGUUUCCUAACCAUUGACAUGUGUUGUCAUUUGAUUAAUGGGAUCACAUCAUUAGGAGAAUGAGGUGAUUGACAUGACCCAUCCCGUUAGCUUAGCACUUGAUCGUUUAGUAUUCUGCUAUUGCUUCCUUCAUGACUUAUACAUGUUCCUGUAACUAUGAGAAUUGUGUAACUCCCGUUUACCGGAGGAACACUUUGGGUACUACCAAACGUCACAACGUAACUGGGUGAUUAUAAAGGAGUACUACAGGUGUCUCCGAAGGUACAUGUUGAGUUAGCAUAAUUCGAGAUUAGGUUUUGUCACUCCGAUUGUCGGAGAGGUAUCUCUGGGCCCUCUCGGCAAUACUCAUCACCUAAGCCUUGCAAGCAUGUAAAUAAUGAGUUAGUUAUAAGAUGAAGUAUUACAGAACGAGUAAAGAGAGUUGUCGAUAACGAGAUUGAACUAGGUAUUGGAUACCGACGAUCGAAUCUCGGACAAGUAACAUACCGAUGACAAAGGGAACAACGUAUGUUGUUAUGCGGUUUGACCGAUAAAGAUCUUCGUAGAAUAUGUGGGAACCAAUAUGGGCAUCCAGGUCCCGCUAUUGGUUAUUGACCAGAGAUGUGUCUCAGUCAUGUCUACAUCGUUCUCGAACCGUAGGGUCCGCACGCUUAAGGUUUCGAUGACAGUUAUAUUAUGAGUUUAUGUAUUUUGAUGUACCAAAGGUUGUUCGGAGUCCCGGAUAUGAUUACGGACAUGACUAGGAGUCUCGAAAUGGUCGAGACAUAAAGAUUGAUAUAUUGGACGGAUAUAUUUGGACACCGGAAAGGUUCCGGAGAAGUUUGGAGCCCCGGGAGGUUACCGGAACCCCCCGGGAGAUAUAUGGGCCUUAUUGGGCCCAUGUAGGAGGAAGAGAGAAGGAGCAAGGGAGGGGGGCGCGCCCCCCCAAGCCCAAUCCAAAUUGGGGAGGGGGGCCGGCCCCCCCUUUCCUUUCUCCUUCCCCCUCUUCCUAUUACUACUACUAGUACUACUUCCUAAUACUAGUACUCUUUCCUUCCCCAUCCAAAUAAGAUAAGGAAAAGAGAGGGAAACCUACUUGGAGUAGGUUUCCCCCUCCUCAUGGCGCGCCCCCCUAGGGCCGGCCACCUCCUCCCUCCAUCCUUUAUAUACGGGGGUAGGGGGGCACCCUAGAACAUACAAGUUGAUCAUUGAUCGUUCCUUAGCCGUGUGCGGUGCCCCCCUCCACGAUAUUACACCUCGGUCAUAUUGUAGCGGUGCUUAGGCGAAGCCCUGCAACAGGAGAACAUCAAGAUCGUCACCACGCCGUCGUGCUGACGGAACUCCCCCUCGGCGCCUCUGCUGGAUCGGAGAUCGAGGGUGCGUCAUCGAGCUGUACGCGUGUCAAGAACUCGGAGGUGCCGGAGUAACGGUACUUGGAUCGGUUGAACCGGAGGACGUACGACUACUUCCUCUACGUUGCGUCAACGCUUCCACUUUGGUCUACAAGGGUACGUAGACAACACUCUCCCCUCGUUGCUAUAUCAUCACCAUGAUCUUGCGUGUGUGUAGGAAAUUUUUUGAAAUUACUACGUUCCCCAACAGUGGCAUCCGAGCCUAGGUUUUAUGCGUUGAUGUUAUAUGCACGAGUAGAACACAAGUGAGUUGUGGAUGAUAUAAGUCAUACUGCCUACCAGCAUGUCAUACUUUGGUUCAGCGGUAUUGUGAGAUGAAGCGGCCCGGACCGACAUUACGCGUACGCUUACGCGAGACUGGUUUCACCGUUACGAGCACUCGGGCUUAAAGGUGGCUGGCGGGUGUCUGUCUCUCUCACUUUAGUUGAACCGAGUGUGGCUACGCCCGGUCCUUGUGAAGGUUAAAACGGAGUCUAUUUGACAAACUAUCGUUGUGGUUUUGAUGCGUAGGUGAGAUUGGUUCUUGCUUAAGCCUGUAGAAGCCAAGUAAAAUUUGCAACAACAAAGUAGAGGACGUCUAACUUGUUUUUGCAGGGCAUGUUGUGAUGUGAUAUGGCCAAGACAUGAUGCUAUAUUUUAUUGUAUGAGAUGAUCAUGUUUUGUAACCGAAGUUAUCGGCAACUGGUAGGAGCCAUAUGGUUGUCGCUUUAUUGUAUGAAAUGCAAACACCCUGUAAUUGCUUUACUUUAUCACUAAGCGGUAGCGAUAGUCGUAGAAGCAAUAGAUGGCGUAACGACAACGAUGCUACGAUGGAGAUCAAGGUGUUGCGCCGGUGACGAUGGUGAUCACGACGGUGCUUCGAAGAUGGAGAUCACAAGCACAAGAUGAUGAUGGCCAUAUCAUAUCACUUAUAUUGAUUGCAUGUGAUGUUUAUCCUUUAUGCAUCUUAUCUUGCUUUGAUUGACGGUAGCAUUUUAAGAUGAUCUCUCACUAAUUAUCAAGAAGUGUUCUCCCUGAGUAUGCACCGUUGCGAAAGUUCUUCGUGCUGAGACACCACGUGAUGAUCGGGUGUGAUAGGCUCUAUGUUCAAAUACAACGGGUGCAAAACAGUUGCACACGCGGAAUACUCAGGUUAUACUUGACGAGCCUAGCAUAUACAGAUAUGGCCUCGGAACACGGGGACCGAAAGGUCAAGCAUGAAUCAUAUAGUAGAUAUGAUCAACAUAGAGAUGUUCACCAUUGAAACUACUCCAUCUCACGUGAUGAUCGGACAUGGUUUAGUUGAUUUGGAUCACGUAAUCACUUAGAUGACUAGAGAGAUGUCUGUCUAAGUGGGAGUUCUUUAGUAAUAUGAUUAAUUGAACUUAAAUUUAUCAUGAACUUAUUACCUGAUAGUAUUUUGCUUGUCUAUGUUUGUUUGUAGAUAGAUGGCUCGUGCUGUUGUUCCGUUGAAUUUUAAUGCGUUCCUUGAGAAAACAAAAUUGAAAGAUGAUGGUAGCAAUUACAUGGACUGGGUCCGUAACCUGAGGAUUAUCCUCAUUGCUGCACAGAAGAGUUACCUCCUGAAGCACCGCUGGGUGCCAGGCCUGCUGCUGAUGCAACUGACGACGUUAAGAACGUCUGGCAGAGCAAAGUUGAUGACUACUCUAUAGUUCAGUGUGCCAUGCUUUACGGCUUAGAACCGGGUCUUCAACGACGUUUUGAACGUCAUGGGGCAUAUGAGAUGUUCCAGGAGUUGAAGUUAAUAUUUCAAGCAAAUACCCGGAUUGAGAGAUAUGAAGUCUCCAAUAAGUUCUACAGCUGCAAGAUGGAGGAGAACAGUUCUGUCAGUGAGCAUAUACUCAAAAUGUCUGGGUAUAAUAAUCACUUGAUUCAACUGGGAGUUAAUCUUCCGGAUGAUAGCGUCAUUGACAGAAUUCUCCAAUCACUGCCACCAAGCUACAAGAGCUUUGUGAUGAACUAUAAUAUGCAAGGGAUGAACAAGACUAUUCCCGAGCUCUUCGCGAUGCUGAAAGCCGCGGAGGUAGAAAUCAAAAAGGAGCAUCAAGUGUUGAUGGUAAACAAGACCACUGGUUUCAAGAAAAGGGGCAAAGGGAAGAAGAAGGGGAACUUCAAAAGGAAUGGCAAACAAGUUGCUGCUCAAGUGAAGAAACCCAAGUCUGGACCUAAGCCUGAAACUGAGUGCUUCUACUGCAAGCGGACUGGACACUGGAAGCGGAACUGCCCCAAGUAUUUGGCGGAUAAGAAGGAUGGCAAAGUGAACAAAGGUAUAUGUGAUAUACAUGUUAUUGAUGUGUACCUUACUAAUGCUCGCAGUAGCACCUGGGUAUUUGAUACUGGUUCUGUUGCUAACAUUUGCAACUCGAAACAGGGACUACGGAUUAAGCGAGGAUUAGCUAAGGACGAGGUGACGAUGCACGUGGGAAAUGGUUCCAAAGUCGAUGUGAUCGCAGUCGGCACGCUACCUCUACAUCUAUCAUCGGGAUUAGUUUUUAGACCUGAAUAAUUGUUAUUUGGUGCCUGCGUUGAGCAUGAACAUUAUAUCUGGAUCUUGUUUGAUGCGAGACGGUUAUUCAUUUAAAUCAGAGAAUAAUGGUUGUUCUAUUUAUAUGAGUAAUAUCUUUUAUGGUCAUGCACCCUUGAAGAGUGGUCUAUUUUUAUUAAAUCUCGAUAGUAGUGAUACACAUAUUCAUAAUGUUGAAGCCAAAAGAUGCAGAGUUGAUAAUGAUAGUGCAACAUAUUUGUGGCACUGCCGUUUAGGUCAUAUCGGUGUAAAACGCAUGAAGAAACUCCAUACUGAUGGACUUCUGGAAUCACUUGAUUAUGAAUCACUUGGUACUUGCGAACCGUGCCUCAUGGGCAAGAUGACCAAAACACCGUUCUCCGGAUCUAUGGAGAGAGCAACAGAUUUGUUGGAAAUCAUACAUACAGAUGUAUGUGGUCCGAUGAAUGUUGAGGCUCGUGGCGGAUAUCGUUAUUUCCUCACCUUCACAGAUGAUUUGAGCAGAUAUGGGUAUAUCUACUUGAUGAAGCACAAGUCUGAAACAUUUGAAAAGUUCAAAGAAUUUCAGAGUGAAGUAGAAAAUCAGCGUAACAAGAAAAUAAAGUUUCUACGAUCUGAUCGUGGAGGAGAAUAUUUGAGUUACGAGUUUGGUUUACAUUUGAAACAAUGUGGAAUAGUUUCGCAACUCACGCCACCUGGAACACCACAGUGAAAUGGUGUGUCCGAACGUCGUAAUCGUACUUUACUUGAUAUGGUGCGAUCUAUGAUGUCUCUUACCGAUUUACCGCUAUCGUUUUGGGGUUAUGCUUUAGAGACGGCCGCAUUCACGUUAAAUAGGGCACCAUCAAAAUCCGUUGAGACGACGCCUUAUGAACUGUGGUUUGGCAAGAAACCAAAGUUGUCGUUUCUCAAAGUUUGGGGCUGCGAUGCUUAUGUGAAGAAACUUCAACCAGAUAAGCUCGAACCCAAAUUGGAGAAAUGUGUCUUCAUAGGAUACCCAAAGGAGACAAUUGGGUACACCUUCUAUCACAGAUCUGAAGGCAAGAUUUUCGUUGCUAAAAUCGGAUCCUUUCUAGAGAAGGAGUUUCUCUCGAAAGAAGUGAGUGGGAGGAAAAUAGAACUUGAUGAGAUAACUGUAUCUACUCCCUUAUUGGAAAGUAGUUCAUCACAAGAACCGGUUCCUGUGACAACUACACCAAUUAGUGAGGAAGCUAAUGAUAUUGAUCAUGAAACUUCAGAUCAAGUUUCUACUGAACCUCGUAGGUCUACCAGAGUAAGAUCCGCACCAGAGUGGUACGGAAAUCCUAUUCUAGAAGUCAUGUUACUAGACCAUGAUGAAUGUACGAACUAUGAGGAAGCGAUGAUGAGCCCAGAUUCCGCAAAAUGGCUAGAGACCAUGAAAUCUGAGAUAGGAUCCAUGUAUGAAAACAAAGUAUGGACUUUGGUUGACUUGCCCGAUGAUCGGCAAGCCAUUGAGAAUAAAUGGAUCUUUAAGAAGAAGACUGACGCUGAUGGUAAUGUUACUGUCUACAAAGCUCGACUUGUUGCAAAAGGUUUUCGACAAGUUCAAGGGGUUGACUACGAUGAGACUUUCUCACCCGUAGCGAUGCUUAAGUCUGUCCGAAUCAUGUUGGCUAUUGCUGCAUUUCAUGAUUAUGAAAUUUGGCAAAUGGAUGUCAAGACUGCAUUCUUGAAUGGAUUUCUAGAAGAAGAGUUGUAUAUGAUGCAACCUGAAGGUUUUGUUGAUCCAAAAGGUGCUGACAAAGUGUGCAAGCUCCAACGUUCCAUUUAUGGACUGGUGCAAGCAUCUCGGAGUUGGAAUAAAUGUUUUGAUAGUGUGAUCAAAGCAUAUGGCUUUAUACAGACUUUUGGAGAAGCCUGUAUUUACAAGAAAGUGAGUGGGAGCUCUGUAGCAUUUCUAGUUUUAUAUGUUGAUGACAUAUUAUUAAUUGGAAAUGAUAUAGAAUUUCUGGAUAGCAUAAAGGGAUACUUGAAUAAAAGUUUUUCUAUGAAAGACCUCGGUGAAGCUGCUUACAUAUUGGGCAUCAAGAUCUAUAGAGAUAGAUCAAGACGCUUAAUAGGACUUUCACAAAGUACAUACCUUGACAAAAUUUUGAAAAAGUUCAAAAUGGAUCAGGCAAAGAAAGGAUUCUUGCCUGUGCUACAAGGUGUGAAGUUGAGUCAAACUCAAUGCCCGACCACAGUAGAAGAUAGAGAGAAAAUGAAAGAUGUUCCCUAUGCUUCAGCCAUAGGCUCUAUCAUGUAUGCAAUGCUGUGUACCAGACCUGACGUAUGCUUAGCAAUAAGCUUGGCAGGUAGGUACCAAAGUAAUCCAGGAGUGGAUCACUGGACAGCGGUCAAGAACAUCCUGAAAUACCUGAAAAGGACUAAGGAUAUGUUUCUCGUAUAUGGAGGUGACAAAGAGCUUGUCGUAAAUGGUUACAUCGAUGCAAGCUUUGACACUGAUCCGGACGAUUCUAAAUCGCAGACCGGAUACGUGUUUUUAUUAAACGGUGGAGCUGUAAGUUGGUGCAGUUCUAAACAAAGCGUCGUGGAAGGAUCUACAUGUGAAGCGGAGUACAUAGCUGCUUCUGAAGCAGCAAAUGAAGGAGUCUGGAUGAAGGAGUUCAUUUCCGAUCUAGGUGUCAUACCUAGUGCAUCGGGACCAAUGAAGAUCUUCUGUGACAAUACUGGUGCAAUUGCCUUGGCAAAGGAAUCCAGAUUUCACAAGAGGACCAAGCACAUCAAGAGACGCUUCAAUUCCAUUCGGGACCAAGUCCAAGUGGGAGACAUAGAGAUUUGCAAGAUACAUACGGAUCUGAAUGUUGCAGACCCAUUGACUAAGCCUCUCUCACGAGCAAAACAUGAUCAACACCAAGACUCCAUGGGUGUUAGAAUCAUUACUAUGUAAUCUAGAUUAUUGACUCUAGUGCAAGUGGGAGACUGAAGGAAAUAUGCCCUAGAGGCAAUAAUAAAGUUAUUAUUUAUUUCCUCAUAUCAUGAUAAAUGUUUAUUAUUCAUGCUAGAAUUGUAUUAACCGGAAACAUGAUACAUGUGUGAAUACAUAGACAAACAUAUAGUCACUAGUAUGCCUCUACUUGACUAGCUCAUUAAUCAAAGAUGGUUAUGUUUCCUAACCAUUGACAUGUGUUGUCAUUUGAUUAAUGGGAUCACAUCAUUAGGAGAAUGAGGUGAUUGACAUGACCCAUCCCGUUAGCUUAGCACUUGAUCGUUUAGUAUUCUGCUAUUGCUUCCUUCAUGACUUAUACAUGUUCCUGUAACUAUGAGAAUUGUGUAACUCUCGUUUACCGGAGGAACACUUUGGGUACUACCAAACGUCACAACGUAACUGGGUGAUUAUAAAGGAGUACUACAGGUGUCUCCGAAGGUACAUGUUGAGUUAGCAUAAUUCGAGAUUAGGUUUUGUCACUCCGAUUGUCGGAGAGGUAUCUCUGGGCCCUCUCGGCAAUACUCAUCACCUAAGCCUUGCAAGCAUGUAACUAAUGAGUUAGUUAUAAGAUGAAGUAUUACAGAACGAGUAAAGAGAGUUGUCGAUAACGAGAUUGAACUAGGUAUUGGAUACCGACGAUCGAAUCUCGGACAAGUAACAUACCGAUGACAAAGGGAACAACGUAUGUUGUUAUGCGGUUUGACCGAUAAAGAUCUUCGUAUAAUAUGUGGGAACCAAUAUGGGCAUCCAGGUCCCGCUAUUGGUUAUUGACCAGAGAUGUGUCUCAGUCAUGUCUACAUCGUUCUCGAACCGUAGGGUCCGCACGCUUAAGGUUUCGAUGACAGUUAUAUUAUGAGUUUAUGUAUUUUGAUGUACCGAAGGUUGUUCGGAGUCCCGGAUAUGAUUACGGACAUGACGAGGAGUCUCGAAAUGGUCGAGACAUAAAGAUUGAUAUAUUGGACGGAUAUAUUUGGACACCGGAAAGGUUCCGGAGAAGUUUGGAGCCCCGGGAGGUUACCGGAACCCCCUGGGAGAUAUAUGGGCCUUAUUGGGCCCAUGUAGGAGGAAGAGAGAAGGAGCAAGGGAGGGGGGCGCGCCCCCCCAAGCCCAAUCCGAAUUGGGGAGGGGGGCCGGCCCCCCCUUUCCUUUCUCCUUCCCCCUCUUCUUAUUACUACUACUAGUACUACUUCCUAAUACUAGUACUCUUUCCUUCCCCAUCCAAAUAAGAUAAGGAAAAGAGAGGGAAACCUACUUGGAGUAGGUUUCCCCCUCCUCAUGGCGCGCCCCCCCUAGGGCCGGCCACCUCCUCCCUCCCUCCUUUAUAUACGGGGGUAGGGGGGCACCCUAGAACAUACAAGUUGAUCAUUGAUCGUUCCUUAGCCGUGUGCGGUGCCCCCUCCACGAUAUUACACCUCGGUCAUAUUGUAGCGGUGCUUAGGCGAAGCCCUACAACAGGAGAACAUCAAGAUCGUCACCACGCCGUCGUGCUGACGGAACUCGCCCUCGGCGCCUCUGCUGGAUCGGAGAUCGAGGGUGCGUCAUCGAGCUGUACGCGUGUCAAGAACUCGGAGGUGCCGGAGUAACGGUACUUGGAUCGGUUGAACCGGAGGACGUACGACUACUUCCUCUACAUUGUGUCAACGCUUCCGCUUCGGUCUACAAGGGUACGUAGACAACACUCUCCCCUCGUUGCUAUAUCAUCACCAUGAUCUUGCGUGUGCGUAGGAAAUUUUUUGAAAUUACUACGUUCCCCAACAAUAUGCCAUGCCGACGUUGAGUGCCAGGAUUUUAAGGACUUCUUCGAGAGCAACCUAGUAAAAUUCGUUACUGUAGACUUUGGUAACGACAAAGAAGUCCUGCGUCGGAUAGGCCUCGUUGUAGGCAACACCUUCGACCUCCAAAAGAAUCGGCUGGUGUCCUCUCGUCAGCCUUCAAUGCUGACCCUAGUAGGAGCCAUGGUUCACCCUUCAUACGGUAAACUGGAGAAACCUCCAUACACGUUUCAUCGUCAUGCAUGGCAGCGGAAUGUACUAGAUAUAGACCACAUCCAGUACGCUGCAAUGGAUGGCUACCUUUGUUUCAAUAUCUACAAGGGUUGGAUGAAGAGCAACAGCCAAGUUGGCAGUUCAAGCAAAGAAGUAUCGGCCAAGAGGAAGAGGGACAAGGACGAAGUCGAGGACGUGGACAAGGACUCCGAGUAAGGUGGCAGUGUCGUUGCUCAUGGUGGUUCUAAUGUAGUGUCUACCGGAAUAGUUGCAAAGUUUAAUUUCAGGUGUGCUUAAUUUAAUUUGAGGGGUGUGUUGUGCUGAGCCCCCAGCAUAACUAUGUUAUGUUUCUUCUUGUUACUUUAACUCUUUAGUAAGUGCAUACUAGUAUUUCUUACAUUUCAUCUUUUAGUUGGUAUAGUACUACCACUCGUUUAUUCACAUUAUAUACAUAUAAUAUAUAUGGCCAACAUCAUAUAGCCAGCAGUUUAGUUGUCAAAGAAUUUCAGGGUGCUUAGUUAUGUCAAAGAAUUCCAGGGUGCUUAGUUUUAUGUGAGGGGUGGGUUGUGCUGGACACCAUUAUUGUGACUAGCCUUUUUAAUAGUAAUAUAUGCAUAAUUUGGCGACGAGCGCUCUCUAUAUGUACCACUUUUUUUUAAUUUCAAGUUUUGCUCCAUGGCGCAAUCCAUCGAUACUACUGCUGUACAAAUGUAUACAUUUUUUAAAAGGCUAGAGGGCGGGCAGUCUAGCUUGGUCGGUUUCACGAGAGGCGAGGGCCUUUGUGAUUUGACGGCUCAUUACUGCUGGAAGGCGGGGCCUUGUGAUUUGACUGCUGUAUAAAUGCGCCGACGACCUGAUCAAGGAGGAGCAAAGAACCGUGCGGUAUACUCAAGUUUUCCACUGGAGUAGUACUGCGACGGAGGAGCACGAAACACGGCAGCCCAGUGCCAUAUGGCGAUAAAAAAUGAUAUAAUUUGCUAGUCAUCUCAUUGUUAGCAAUGUUCUAUUCAUUCCCUCAAAAAACAAAAACAAUUGUUCUAUUCAUGCCUCGUAGAGAACGUGACACAUGCGGCGAAACACCCGAAGCAAAAGAUGAAACACAACAACAAAAGAAGAAGGAAGAUUAUCACCCCAAAUGAUCUAAUUCGUCGCGGAGUCGUAACUGCUUCUUCAUCGCCUCCACGACCUCCAUCUCCUGGCGCGUCUCCUCCGCCAUCUUCUUCAUUCUGUCCAUGACGCGGGAUUUCUCGACGCGAGCCUUCAUCAUCUGUUCCACGACCGCAUUACGUACCUUGACAGCAACCGGGUGCUCGAUGCGGAGCUUCGCCAACUCCUCCUUCUGUUCCAUGACGAUGGCCUGCAACAUCUUCAUCGAGGAACUACUAUUCUCAUGUAGCUUCUUCCAGCCGGCGUUCUUCUCCUUCAACAGGUCGAUCUCGUGGCAGAGCUUCGCCUUGUCCUCCUGAAGUCGCAGGAUUUCAUCAGUCGCCUUCUUCUCCGAGGCAAUGCUCUUCUUCAGCAGCAUCACCAAGCCGACGGUCAACUCCCCCUGCUGAUUGAGCUCAGCGGGCAUGUCAUCGAGGCUCUCCUUCAGCAACUCCGUCAAGCCUUGGAUGAACUCCUUCUGCUUAUUGAGGUGCUUAUUGAGCUGAUCGGGCAUGCCGUCGAGGGAUAACGACUCCAGCUUCGCCGGCUCGACAUGUUCGCCUCCGCGGCUAGGGCGCUCCUGGGAGCCAUCGCCUGCCCGUGAGAGAUCUUUCGAGGUCUCUGCGUGGCGGCGAGCCCUCUUUUUUUCCCACAGCCUGGGUUGCCGCUCCCUUGUUACGAGUAGUUCUCGACCUAGAGCUCUGCUCACCGGCCAUGGCAACGACGGACGAAGAAGAAGCACUUAUGAGGAGGAAAGGUAGAGUAAUUUUCGGUUAGGUAGUACUAGUAGGUGUGAGCAGGCUUUCGAAUGUGAUGGGAAUAAGGUAAAUAUUAAUUGAUGGUUUUGGUUUCGAGGCCCGAAACGGCUCCCGAUGAGUUUAGUGGAACAUAAAUUUCAAGUAGACUACACUGCUCAAAUGCGUAAAUAUUAUGUUACUGUCAAAAAUUGGCACAAAAUACGAAGGAGACCAAUGGAAGUACUACUAGCAACCCACGAUUUAACUACUCGCAUGCUGCAGUGGAGUAAUAAUGUCUUUCUUUCGCCCUCACGUCCACUCAAUUUGCAUGCGCUGUAUUAAUUGACCAUCAAUGAAGUGAACGACUUUACACGCGUCAAAUUAUCACAUGGGGUGGAUCUUGGUACAAAAUUGCGUCCGCACGUGUACCAGCAUGUGCGUGCGAGGGAAUGAGUGCGUGCGUGGCGUGCGUGCACAUCUUCGCUUCGUGCAUGCACCGCCAGUAUGGCUCAGGGAGGACGAGUACAUUCUUCUGGAACCAGCAGCACAUCACUGUGAUCAAUCCACGCAAGGAGGUCGCGACAACGCCUUCACAUGUGCCACGUGGCUUCAUGAACUGUAAGAGAGACACUGUGUAGCAUGCCAUUGGUAUUCUAAUUUACGUGUUUUGCACAUACUCGAAGUACUAGUAAUUUACACGUGCAUUGCACGCAUCAGAUUUUGCAACCAAAUUAUGAAUAAAUAUCACACUAUAGCAUGUAAGCUCUUUGUCAUAUAUGCGUGAUGUAGCCCUUCGUUUAAUUCUUAUAGUUCAUCUAAUUCAAAAUCAAAUUAGUUUUUAUAAAAAAGCUAAGAACGCGUGAAUAGGAAAAACAUGGGAUUAUAGUGGAAUGUCGUAUUGAAUCCUACAGGAUUGUACGAGUGUUUGAUUGCGCAUAGAAAAAACACAGAGUUCUUUCAAAGAGGUUUGAGUGGAUGAGAUGUUUCCUAUGAAAUCUAGUGCAAAUGAAUCAUAUGGAAAAAUUCUUAUGGUUUACAAUCCUACGAAUCAAACAACCAAGAUAGGAAAAAUUCCUAAUGAUUAGAAUCCUCCAAAAUUCCUUUGAGAAUCCUUUGAAUCAAAGAAGCCCUUAAUCUAUUUUAUGAUUCAUGGAAUUGUGCUUUGUAAAGCAUAAAGUAAAAACAAAUAAUGGCAAUUCAACUAGAAAAAAAGUUUGGGCAGUUAUGAUACGGAAGAUUCUAGAACAAAAGAGAACCACUGUUGUUUUGAGGUUUGUGCAUUAUGCUUAAGUUCAACCAUGGAGUCUUCUAGAUUGUACAUGUGGCAAAAUCCGGUGGGGGGCUAGAAGAUGGUGCGAGGGGCCGAGUGGAGGAAGACUAUGAAGGAAUGCACAAGUGCGAGAUCGAUAUUUAGAGAGAGGGGGCAAACACAUGCGCUGUUGCACGCAGUGGCGGAGCCAUGAAAAAUAAAUGAGCUAGGGGGCCAAGCAUUGCUAAUCCUUUACGAGGAGGGUCAAUUCAUGAAAUUAAACCUUUUUUAGCAGUAAUUGUCUAAUGAUCACAUUCAUAUUAGCCUCGAUAUAUAGUGUUGUUAGGGGGGGGUAGGGCCCUUACUGCCCCCUGUAUUCGCCAUUGUGCACGCAUCUGAGAGAUGAAGCGGAAUGCAUGGAUGAUGAGAGGGGGACAUUGGAUAUAUAAUUAAUGUGGGUGUAUUAGCUAUUUAUGUUAGUCCUAUAUAGAGAGGUAUAGAUUGAUCGAUGUGGACGUGGGAGAGGUAUAGAUUGAUCGAUGUGGACGUGGGAAAGAGGGUGAGACCUCACAGGAUAUAUUGAUUGAUUGGUUUGCGUGGAAAACUAUGAAAGACCUAGCUAUAUACACACAUACAUAGAGGAACAUCGACCGUUGCGCAUGCACGCGUGAGAGAUAAAGAAUGCUCGGUAUGAGGGAGAUUGGGAUGUGUGUGGGUGUGUGCCUUCAUGGGAGACUGACCUGAAGAAAAAGAUUGCAUGCGUGCGAUAGAUAAUGCCGUCUGGUAGUGUGUGUGCAUGGAUGCACGAGAGAAAGUUAGUGGUACAAUUAUAAAGAGAAGACUACUGUGUGGGUGUAAAAGAAUAGGUGAGGUCAUAAUCAAUGUAAAGUUGAAUUCAAAUAUUUGAAUAAGAGAUCCUGAUGUUUGAAACCCAUGCAUGCAUGAAUAUAAUGGAGAUCUGCACGGUGUGCUUUGGAAACGAGCAUGUUGUAAUGUAUACACAUUGAACAAGGUCAGACUGAUUUGAAUUUGAGAUACCGAUGGCAGAUAUCAUUUGCCCAUGUCGCAUCCGUGCAUGUAAUUGGAGAUGAUGGGCGGCUUUCGCAUCACAUAUCUAUAUCUAUACCCAUAUAUAUAUAUUAUUUUUAUAUUGUGAGCGGGUAACUUUAACUUUGAAAGAUGGUCGUUGGAUGAGGCGAAUCCGAAGGUCCAAAGAUGGCAAAUUUGAGCACUAUUGGCCGUUGGAUAUCAUCUAGAUUCCACCAGAUUUCACCACAUGUAUAAUCUAGAAGACUCCAUGGUUGAACUUAAGCAUAAUGCACAAACAUCAAAACACAAGCACUUCUUAUUUGUUCUAGAAUCUUCCGUAUCAUAAUUGCCCAAAUGUUUUUCUACAUGAUUUGCCAUUAUUUGUUUUUACUUUAUGUCUUACAACGCACAAUUCCAUGAAUCUUAAAAUAGAUUAGCUUUCUUAUAAAAACUAGAUGAUUUUGAAUGAAAUGAACUAUAAGAAUUAAACGAACAUCUACAUCAUGCAUAUAUGACUCAAAGCUUGCAUGCUAUAAUGUGGUAUUUAUUCAUAAUUUGGUUGCCAAAUCUCAUGCGUGCAAUGCACGUGUACCUUACUCUAGUCUAAAUGGUGUUUGUGUGUGUGUUGUGCGUGUUGAGGUGCAAAUUGUCUUUUUUUGGGUACACGUUAAGCUUGUUCUUCCGAAGUUUCAAGCCGCGCCUUGUUAUGCCGAAAAUUGAAGCUAGCGUCUCUGUCUAUCGUGCUGCAAACUCCCGCCUCUUCAACCCGCGCCUUGUUAGCCCGAAAUAUUUAAGAUAUAUGUUUGUCUCGUUGUGCUCCGACAACUCCCUCCAUCUCAACCCGCGCCUUGCUAUUCCGAAAUUACAACGCGCGCAAAAACUCCCACCUCUUGUGAAAUCCCGACACGCGAAAUGCCCGUGGUACCCCUGAACCGAAAGAACCGCCUCAAAUCGGUGGGGGGUACUUUUGUAACUUACCCCACAUUUCAGACAAGCGCGUCUCUAAGCCAUGGUUCCCCACUGCCAUCCCAUCCGCCCACCCACUCGUACGCCGAGGCCGCGAAAACCCACGACGAAACCCCACACCCUGCUCCGUCUGCCACCCAGCCGGAGCUUCUUCCCCGACGACAUCGUCCACAGCAACACCUCGACGUCCCUCAUCCACCGUACCGUCUGAGGAUCCGUCGUCGAUCUCAUCGUCCUGCCAGUUCAGCCACCCCGUCCUCCACCUCCAAGGAGCUGCCCCGACAUUCCCCUCGUCUUUCGCGCCACCUCCAUUCCCACACCGCCGUCUUCACCUACACCACCGGAAGAGCAUCAUCAUCACCGUUUCCUCGGAUGAAGCUGUGGCCUAAUCGGCGCCACCAAAGAGGUUGUACACUAAUCGCCACAUUUUCUUCUUGAUUCGAUCUCACCGUGCUGCUGGCGCUCGGUCCCGAGCCGACACGGCGCGGCUCCAUCCACGGCGGCGUCACCGGCCACUUCCUCCACGACAUCGCUCCCUCAGCGGCGACAUCCACAUCAGUAGGAGCUACUGCUACUUUAGCUCUCGCUCGCGCUGCUGCUCUGCUCUUGCUCUCGGUCCCCUGCCUGGUCUGCUCUUGCUAUUGCUCUUGCUCGCGCUGCUGCUCUCGCUCUUGCUCUUGCUUGCGAUGCUGCUCCGAUUUGGCUACACUUCAGUCGACUGAAUCGACUUUUGGGUCAGUCGAUUUCCAAGAGGUGGGCUCGCCGGGGUGAAAGAGGAACCAGCCGCAGCAGGGAGGGGGGCUCGCCGGAGAGGUACCCCACUAUCUAUCUAGGGUUCAGGAUGGGGGCGUUGGUCACCCGGGGCGGUGGCGGACCGGCGGGGGGCUGCUGUUUGGCCGAUGGUGGCUGGUGGCUCAGGGAGGGUGGAGGUUGAAGAUGAACCGCAGGCCCUUGAUUUCGUAUCCAACGGCUACAAAAUCGGCUGACCAGAGAUGAAAAAGUCAGUCGACCGGCAUGUAGCCUCAUCUUGCUAGUGCGUUCAGUUUCGACAGCAAAAUUCAGUUUCGACAGCAAAAUUCAGUUUGGACAGUUAGGUUCAGUUUUGCCAGUUAAGUUCAGUUUUGACAGUUAAGUUCAGAGAUGAGCGGCUGAUGUAUUUUACAUCUAGCACUUUGUGGUUAUGUAUUUUACGUCAUGUAUUGGAGAUGCUAUUAGAAUUCCACUCAGGUUAACGUUGUUCGUUGUCUCUCUUGUCCUGCUUCAGCCUCGGCGUCGUACAAUUCACCGGAGCUACUCCAACAACGAAACCCUCCAUCACAACGGAGAAGUACCUCGGGCUCCAUCUCCAGACGCCUAAGAUCUUCUUCCCCUCCUCCGACAGCAAAGUCAGCCAGAGCAUCCUCACCGGCCAACCCAAUCACUCUGAGAUCGACAUGGCUUCGCCAAAGAGGUUGUACACUUGUUGCAUCUCUUUUUACUCUACAUGUUAUAUAUAUUGUCCACUGAGCACUCGUAGUAACGGGAAAUACGAUUAUUUUAUCCUACUAUAUGACAAGCAGUGAGGUACCAGGCAACUUAGCUAUCCGUGAUGGACUCUCUUGAACGCCAUCAUUAUUUAUCUCUGCGCGUUUGAGCUGUGCAUUUGUCGAUGGGCCUGGGAGUUGAGCUAGUAUGGCAGUGGCCCGGGUCCAAAGUAAUAGAAAUAGCACAAAAACAUUUUUUUAGUGUAGGAUUUUCCUUGCUCAAGCCUGCCUACUAGAAUCGCCAGUGCUUGAAAGGAAAAGUGAAUGAAAAACAUAGGAAUUGGAAAGUUUCCUAUGGUACUACUUUUCAUGAAUUUGGUGCAAAGGAAUGGAGCAAAGGAAAACUGUAGGAUUUGUUCCUUUAGUGUCUCCUUGAAAGAAAAACUGUAGGAAUUCUAAUUUCCACUUCUCCUCCUUUUCAUAUUCCUAUUCAUCAAGCACAAGACUAAGAGAUAGUAGCAUAAUAGCAUCAUAACCGUACAUUUUCUUGUGGUUUGACUUAAUCUCACCAUGUUUUUUUGCAUCCUGUGAUCUUCCAAUUGUUGUGAAUCAAACACCCAGAUUGGCAGAAAUCCUGUGUUUUUAAAUUCUCUGUUUUGCACGUGCAUUCCUAUCCUAUUCCUGUCUAUUUCCUAUCCCUGCAUUGUUAGAAUCCUCAAAUUCAAACAAGCCCUUACUCAAUUACUUCUGUUACAGAUAUGUGUCAAAGAAAACCUCAUGUGGUUUGUCCUGCUCCCGCGGCGCUGUGUUCCACCCCAGCUCAGCUGCUCCAACGAUGGAAGGGUUCACCAUAGCAGGGAUCCGCUCUCCAGACUGUCUUUCGCUGCCUCAGAUCUUCUUCCCCGCCGCCGGCAGCCAUGAGAACUGCAUUACCAUCAUCAACUGAGCAGAUGACCUUGAGGACUACACGGGUCCGCAAGAGAGGUCGCACUCUUCCGUGUCUGCUUACGUUAUGCGUCGCUUAAUAUGAUGACAUGCUACAUUAUCAUCGUGUUCACCUAUUAGACUCCGAGUCAGGUCCAAACUAAUGCUGAAACUUGAGUUUUUAAAUGGUUGUGGGGUACAUAUUGGGGCAGCAAUCAGUACUAUCUGUCUACUAUCUGGUUAAUCUCCGGUGUCUACUAUGAGUUUCAUGUUGGGUGCAAACAAACAUUAAAGGAGCCAUUAUCUAUAUUUUUUAACUAAAGCUAUUAUCUACCUGCUAUCAUUGGUUUUGGGUCUAUCCACAGUUUGCUACCAUCACUCUGGAUUUGUGCAAGCACUCCUUACAUAAUCUCACUAUGUUUUAUUCCUAUGCAUGCCAGUUAUUGUACACAAUGGAACUGAUCAUGUAGAGCAAAAGAGACGAGCCUUGCGUGGUAAUAAAAUUUCAUGCAGACGUCAUUCCAUGGUGGGCGGAAAGGCAGCCCCCCUCCACCCAUUUCGGAUCAUAAUCAAGAGGAAGAUAACUGUUCUGAGGGGGAUUCAGAAGGAGAAGACCACUCCUAUUUACCCCAUGAGGUCUUCGCUCUAACUUGGCAUGCUAAUGUUGGUAAUAUCAUGCAUAUGGUGCCUUGCAUUGCUUACUGUAUACAUUAAAGAUGUCAUCUGCUUAGUUUAGACAUGCUUUUUGUCAAUGCCAUCUGUUUUGUUUCUUUAUCAUAUAUGUGAAUCAUGCAAUGCCAUCUUGUCUAGCCAGGCAUCAUAUAUGUGAAUUUUGCAAUGCCACCCUGGUUAGCCAGUCAUCUUAUAUGUGAAUUAUAUCAUGCCAUCAUUUUUUAUUAUGUGUUAAAGUUGUCAACAAUUUUAGUACAUUCAAUUACUCUUCCUGUGCAUCAGCCAUCGACACGGUCAUGGAAAAAUCUGGAGUGGAAACAAGGUCUUCAGAGCAGACAAUGCUAUCUGACGAAGCGCAUGUCUUGCUGGUUACCGAUAGCUCCUCAGAGGAGGAUUCAGAGACAGAUGACCAGUCAUAUUUCCCCCCUAAGGUGCAUGCCCUAACUUGGCAGGGUUAUGUUACUCAUAUCGUGCGUAUGGUAUCUUGCAUUGCUAUGUCAUUUGCUUAGUUUAGACAUGCUUUGUGUGAAUACCACCUGUUUAGUGUCUAAUUACCAUAUAUGUGAAUUAUGCAAUGCCAUCUUGUUGCAAGACAUUAUAUAUGUGAAUUAUGCAAUGUUAUCUUGUUGCAAGGCAUUAUGUAUGUGAAUUAUGCAAUGCCAUGCUGUUUAGACAAGCGUCAUAUAUGUGAAUUGUAUCAUGCCGUCCUUUUUUGUAUUUCUCAUUGCUUUUGUCGACAAUGUUUGUAUAUUCAACUGCUCUUCCUGUGCAUCAGCCAUUUGAAUUGGUGAUGGAGAAAUCUGGAGUGAAAACAAGGUCUUCAGAGCAGACAAUGCUACCUGCUGAAGCAGAUACCUUGCUAGUUACAGAUAGCUCUUCAGAGGAGGAUUCAGAGGCAUAUGACCAGUCCUAUUAUCCCCCUGAGGUGUAUGCUCAAACUUGGCAGGGUUAUAUUACUCAUAUAAUGCAUAUGUUGUAUUGCAAUGCUUAUUUUCUACAUCAUAUACACAAUAUUGAAUGCCAUCUUCUUAGUUGACACAUCAUAUAUGCAAUUGCCCUCUGCUCACUUCCUUAGUAUAUAAAUCAUAUAUUUGAAUUAUGGCAUGCCAUGAUGUUUACAUAGAUAGCAUGUAUCUGAAUUAUGGCAUGCCAACCCAUUUUCUAAAGGCAUAAUAUAGUUAUUGUUGGGGAACGUUGCAGAAAAUUAAAAUUUUUCCCUAUGGUUUCACCAAGAUCCAUCUAUGAGUUCAUCUAAGCAACGAGUCAAGGGGAAGAGUAUGCAUCUACAUACCACUUGUAGAUCGAGUGCGGAAGCGUUCAAGGGGAUGGUGAUGAUGGAGUCGUACUCGUCGUGAUUCGGAUCACCGAUGACCAAGUACUGAACGGACAGCACCUCCGCGUUCAACACACGUACGGGACGGACGACGUCUCCUCCGUCUUGAUCCAGCAAGGAGGAAGGAGAGGUUGAGGAAGGCAGCUCCAACGGCAACACGACGGCGUGGUGUAGUUGGUGCAGAAGUACUCCGACAGGGCUUCGCCAAGCACGUACGCAGGAGGAGAGGUGUUGGGGAGGGGAGGGGCUGCGCCUUGAGUUGUGUCUAGCAGCCCUCCCCUCACCCCUCUAUAUAUAGGAGGAGAGGGGCAAGGGGGCCGGCCCUCUAGGGGAAACCCUAGAGGGGGGCGGCGGCCAAAGGGAGAGGGAAAAAGGGUGGCUUGCCCCCCAAGCUAGGGGGCGCCCCCUUUAGGGUUUCCCCUCCCCUUGCCCUAGCCGCAUGGGCCUAGGUGGGGAGGCGCGCCCAGCCCACUAGGGGCUGGCUCCCUCUCCCACACAGCCCAUGUGGCCCCCCCGGGAGGGGUGGCCCCACCCGGUGGACCCCCGGAACCCUUCCGGUGGCCCCGGUACAAUACCGGUAUGCCACCGAAACUUUCCGGUGUCCGUUUAACCACUUUCCUUAUAUAAAUCUUUACCUCCGGAACAUUCCGGAACUCCUCGUGACGUCCGGGAUCUCAUCCGGGACUCCGAACAACAUUCGGUAAUCACAUACUUGUCUUCCUGAUAACCCUAGCAUCACCGAACCUUAAGUGUGUAGACCCUACGGGUUCGGGAGACAUGCAGACAUGACCGAGACAACCUCAGGUCAAUAACCAACAGCGGGAUCUGGAUACCCAUGUUGGCUCCCACAUGCUCCUCGAUGUUGUCAUCGGAUGAACCACGAUGUCGAGGAUUCGAUCAAACCCCGUAUGCAAUUCCCUUUGUCAAUCGGUACAUUACAUGCCCGAGACUCGAUCGUAGGUAUCCCAAUACCUCGUUCAGUCUCGUUACCGGCAAGUCACUUUACUCGUACCGCAAUGCAUGAUCCCGUGACCAAACACUUGGUCACCUUGAGCUCAUUAUGAUGAUGCAUUACCGAGUGGGCCCAGAGAUACCUCUCCGUCAUACGGAGUGACAAAUCCCAGUCUCGAUCCGUGUCAACCCAACAGACACUUUCGGAGAUACCUGUAAUGCACCUCUAUAGUCACCCAGUUACGUUGUGACGUUUGGUACACCCAAAGCACUCCUACGGUAUCCGGGAGUUACACGAUCUCAUGGUCUAAGGAAGAGAUACUUGACGUUGGAAAAGCUCUAGCAAACGAACUAACCGACCUUUGUGCUAUGCUUAGGAUUGGGUCUUGUCCAUCACAUCGUUCUCCUAAUGAUGUGAUCCCGUUAUCAACGACAUCCAAUGUCCAUAGCCAGGAAACCAUGACUAUCUGUUGAUCACAACGAGCUAGUCAACUAGAGGCUCACUAGGGACAUAUUGUGGUCUAUGUAUUCACACGUGUAUUAUGAUUUCCAGAUAAUACAGUUAUAGCAUGAAUAAAAGACUAUUAUCAUGAACAAAGAAAUAUAAUAAUAACACUUUUAUUAUUGCCUCUAGGGCAUAUUUCCAACAGUCUCCCACUUGCACUAGAGUCAAUAAUCUUGUUACAUUGUGAUGAAUCGAACACCCAUAGAGUUCUGGUGUUGAUCAUGUUUCGCUCGCGAGAGAGGUUUAGUCAACGGAUCUGCGACAUUCAGAUCCGUAUGUACUUUGCAAAUUUCUAUGUCUCCAUCUUGAACAUUUUCACGGAUGGAGUUGAAACGACGCUUGAUGUGCCUGGUCUUCUUGUGAAAUCUGGGCUCCUUCGCAAGGGCAAUAGCUCCAGUAUUGUCACAGAAAAGUUUGAUCGGCCCCGACGCAUUGGGUAUGACUCCUAGGUCGGUGAUGAACUCCUUCACCCAAAUAGCUUCAUAUGCUGCCUCCGAGGCUGCCAUGUACUCCGCUUCACAUGUAGAUCCCGCCACGACGCUCUGCUUGCAGCUGCACCAGCUUACUGCUCCACCAUUCAACACAUACACGUAUCCGAUUUGUGACUUAGAGUCAUCCAGAUCUGUGUCGAAGCUAGCGUCGACGUAACCCUUUACGACGAGCUCUUCGUCACCUCCAUAAACGAGAAACAUGUCCUUUGUCCUUUUCAAGUACUUCAGGAUAUUCUUGACCGCUGUCCAGUGUUCCUUGCCGGGAUUACUUUGGUACCUUCGUACCAAACUUACGGCAAGGUUUACAUCAGGUCUGGUACACAGCAUGACAUACAUAAUAGAUCCUAUGGCUGAAGCAUAGGGGAUGACACUCAUCUCUUCUUUAUCUUUUGCCGUGGUCGGGCAUUGAGCCGAGCUCAAUCUCACACCUUGCAAUACAGGCAAGAACCCCUUCUUGGACUGAUCCAUUUUGAACUUCUUCAAAAUUUUAUCAAGGUAUGUGCUUUGUGAAAGACCUAUGAGGCGUCUCGAUCUAUUUCUAUAGAUCUUGAUGCCUAAUAUAUAAGCAGCUUCUCCAAGGUCCUUCAUUGAAAAACACUUAUUCAAGUAGGCCUUAAUGCUGUCCAAGAAUUCUAUAUCAUUUCCCAUCAAAAGUAUGUCAUCUACAUAUAAUAUGAGAAAUGCUACAGAGCUCCCACUCACUUUCUUGUAAACGCAGGCUUCUCCAUAAGUCUGCAUAAACCCAAACGCUUUGAUCAUCUCAUCAAAGCGAAUGUUCCAACUCCGAGAUGCUUGCACCAGCCCAUAAAUGGAUCGCUGGAGCUUGCAUACUUUGUUAGCAUUCUUAGGAUCGACAAAACCCUCCGGCUGCAUCAUAUACAGUUCUUCCUUAAGAUGUUCGUUAAGGAAUGCCGUUUUGACGUCCAUCUGCCAUAUCUCAUAAUCAUAGUAUGCGGCAAUUGCUAACAUGAUUCGGACGGACUUAAGAUUCGCUACGGGAGAGAAAGUCUCAUCGUAGUCAAUCCCUUGAACUUGCCGAUAACCCUUAGCGACAAGUCGAGCUUUAUAGAUGGUGACAUUACCAUCCGCGUCCGUCUUCUUCUUAAAGAUCCAUUUGUUUUCUAUCGCUCGCCGAUCAUUGGGCAAGUCAGUCAAAGUCCAUACUUUGUUUUCAUACAUGGAUUCUUUCUCGGAUUUCAUGGCUCCAAGCCAUUUGUUGGAAUCUGGGCCCGCCAUCGCUUCUUCAUAGUUCGAAGGUUCACCGUUGUCUAACAACAUGAUUUCUAGGACAGGGUUGCCGUACCACGCUGGUGCGGAACGUGUCCUUGUGGACCUACGAAGUUCAGUAGCAACUUGAUCCGAAGUACCUUGAUCAUCAUCAUUAUUUUCCUCUUCAGUUGGUGUAGGCAUCACAGGAACAUCUUCCUGAGCUGCACUACUGUCCCGCUCAAGAGGUAGUACUUCAUCGAGUUCUACUUUCCUCCCACUUACUUCUUUCGAGAGAAACUCUUUUUCCAGAAAGGAUCCGUUCUUAGCGACAAAGAUCUUGCCCUCGGAUCUUAAGUAGAAGGUAUACCCAAUGGUUUCCUUAGGGUAUCCUAUGAAGACGCAUUUUUCUGACUUGGGUUCGAGCUUCUCAGGUUGAAGUUUCUUGACAUAAGCAUCGCAUCCCCAAACUUUUAGAAACGACAGCUUAGGUUUCUUCCCAAACCACAAUUCAUACGGUGUCGUCUCAACGGAUUUAGACGGUGCCCUAUUUAAAGUGAAUGUAGCUGUCUCUAGAGCGUAUCCCCAAAAUGAUAGCGGUAAAUCGGUAAGAGACAUCAUAGACCGCACCAUAUCCAAUAGAGUGCGAUUACGACGUUCGGACACACCGUUACGCUGAGGUGUUCCAGGCGGCGUGAGUUGUGAAACGAUUCCACAUUUUCUUAAGUGUGUACCAAAUUCGUGACUUAAGUAUUCUCCUCCACGAUCUGAUCGUAAGAAUUUUAUCUUUCGGUCACGUUGAUUCUCUACUUCAUUCUGAAAUUCUUUGAACUUUUCAAAGGUCUCAGACUAGUGUUUCAUCAAGUAGACAUACCCAUAUCUACUCAAGUUAUCUGUGAGAGUGAGAACAUAUCGAUAUCCUCCGCGAGCCUCAACACUCAUUGGACCGCACACAUCGGUAUGUAUGAUUUCCAACAAGUUGGUUGCUCGCUCCAUUGUUCCGGAGAACGGAGUCUUGGUCAUUUUUCCCAUGAGGCAUGGUUCGCAUGUGUCAAAUGAUUCAUAAUCAAGAGACUCUAAAAGUCCAUCAGCAUGCAGCUUCUUCAUGCGCUUGACACCAAUGUGACCAAGGCGGCAGUGCCACAAGUAUGUGGGACUAUCGUUAUCAACUUUACAUCUUUUGGUAUUCACGCUAUGAAUAUGUGUAACACUACGUUCGAGAUUCAUUAAGAAUAAACCAUUGACCAUCGGGGCAUGACCAUAAAACAUAUCUCUCAUAUAAAUAGAACAACCAUUAUUCUCGGACUUAAAUGAGUAGCCAUCUCGUAUUAAACGAGAUCCAGAUACAAUGUUCAUGCUCAAACUUGGCACCAAAUAACAAUUAUUAAGGUUCAAAACUAAUCCCGUAGGUAAAUGUAGAGGUAGCGUGCCGACGGCGAUCACAUCGACUCUGGAACCAUUCCCGACGCGCAUCGUCACCUCGUCCUUCGCCAGUCUCCGCUUAUUCCGCAGCUCCUGCUGUGAGUUACAAAUAUGAGCAACGGCACCGGUAUCAAAUAACCAGGAGUUACUACGAGUACUGGUAAGGUACACAUCAAUUACAUGUAUAUCGAAAAUACCUUUAGUGUUUCCGGCCUUCUUAUCCGCUAAGUAUUUGGGGCAGUUCCGCUUCCAGUGACCCUUCCGCUUGCAAUAAAAGCACUCAGUCUCAGGCUUGGGUCCAUUCUUUGACUUCUUCCCGGCAACUGGCUUACCGGGCGCGGCAACCUCUUUGCCGUCCUUCUUGAAGUUCUUCUUACCCUUGCCCUUCUUGAACUUAGUGGCCUUAUUGACCAUCAACACUUGAUGUUCUUUCUUGAUUUCAACCUCUGCUGACUUCAGCAUAGAAAAUACUUCAGGAAUGGUCUUUACCAUCCCCUGCAUAUUGUAGUUCAUCACAAAGCUCUUGUAGCUUGGUGGGAGCGACUGAAGGAUUCUGUCAAUGACUGCCUCAUCAGGGAGGUUAAUAUUCAGCUGGGUCAUACGGUUGUGCAACCCAGACAUCUUGAGUAUGUGCUCACUGACAUAACUAUUUUCCUCCAUCUUACAACUAUAGAACUUGUCGGAGAUGUCAUAUCUCUUGACCCGGCCGUGAGCUUGGAAAACUAGUUUCAGCUCCUCGAACAUCUCAUAUGCUCCGUGAUGCUCAAAACGCUUUUGGAGCCCCGGUUCUAAGCUGUAAAGCAUGCCGCACUGAACGAGGGAGUAAUCAUCAGCACGAGACUGCCAAGCAUUCAUAAUGUCUUGGUUCUCUGGGACGGGAGCGUCACCUAGCGGUCCUUCUAGGACAUAUUGUUUCCUGGCAGCUAUGAGGAUGAUCCUCAGGUUCCGGACCCAGUCCGUAUAGUUGCUGCCAUCAUCUUUCAGCUUGGUUUUCUCUAGGAACGCGUUGAAGUUCAUGUUGACAUGAGCGUUGGCCAUAUGAUCUACAAGACAUAUUUGCAAAAGGUUUUAGACUAAGUUCAUGAUAAUUAAGUUCAUCUAAUCAAAUUAUUGAAUGAACUCCCACUCAGAUUUGACAUCCCUCUAGUCAUCUAAGUGUUACACGAUCCGAGUCGACUAGGCCGUGUCCGAUCAUCACGUGAGACGGACUAGUCAUCCUCGGUGAACAUUCUCAUGUUGAUCGUAUCUUCCAUACGACUCGUGUUCGUCCUUUCGGUCUCCGUGUUCCGAGGCCAUGUCUGUACAUGCUAGGCUCGUCAAGUUAACCCUAAGUGUUUUGCAUGUGUAAAACUGUCUUACACCCGUUGUAUGUGAACGUAAGGAUCUAUCACACCCGAUCAUCACGUGGUGCUUCGAAACGACGAACUUUAGCAACGGUGCACAGUUAGGGGAGAACACUUCUUGAAAUUGUUGUAAGGGAUCAUCUUAUUUACUACCGUCGUUCUAAGUAAACAAGAUGCAUAAAACAUAAUAAACAUCACAUGCAAUUAUAUAAAGUAGUGACAUGAUAUGGCCAAUAUCAUAUAGCUCCUUUGAUCUUCAUCUUCGGGGCUCCAUGAUCAUCUUGUCACCGGCAUGACACCAUGAUCUCCAUCAUCAUGAUCUCCAUCAUCGUGUCUUCAUGAAGUUGUCACGCCAACGACUACUUCUACUUCUAUGACUAACGCGUUUAGCAAUAAAGUAAAGUAGUUUACAUGGCGUUCUUCAAUGACACGCAGGUCAUACAAAAAUAAAGACAACUCCUAUGGCUCCUGCCGGUUGUCAUACUCAUCGACAUGCAAGUCGUGAUUCCUAUUACAAGAACAUGAUCUCAUACAUCACAAUAUAUCAUUCAUCAUCCAUCACAACUUCUGGCCAUAUCACAUCACAUGACAAUUGCUGCAAAAACAAGUUAGACGUCCUCUAAUUGUUGUUGCAUCUUUUACGUGGCUGCAAUUGGGUUCUAGCAAGAACGUUUUCUUACCUACGAAUAACCACAAUGUGAUCUUGUCAACUUCUAUUUACCCUUCAUAAGGACCCUUUUCAUCGAAUCCACUUCAACUAAAGUGGGAGAGACAGACACCCGCCAGCCACCUUAUGCAACUAGUGCAUGUUAGUCGGUGGAACCGGUCUCACGUAAGCGUACGUGUAAGGUUGGUCCGGGCCGCUUCAUCCCACAAUACCGCUGAAGCAAGAUAAGACUAGUAGCGGCAAGCAAGUUGACAAGAUCUGCGCCCACAACAAAAUUGUGUUCUACUCGUGCAAAGAGAACUACGCAUAAACCUGGCUCUGAUACCACUGUUGGGGAACGUUGCAGAAAAUUAAAAUUUUCCCUACAGUUUCACCAAGAUCCAUCUAUGAGUUCAUCUAAGCAACGAGUCAAGGGGAAGAGUAUGCAUCUACAUACCACUUGUAGAUCGAGUGCGGAAGCGUUCAAGGGGAUGGUGAUGAUGGAGUCGUACUCGUCGUGAUUCGGAUCACCGAUGACCAAGUGCUGAACGGACAGCACCUCCGCGUUCAACACACGUACGGGACGGACGACGUCUCCUCCGUCUUGAUCCAGCAAGGAGGAAGGAGAGGUUGAGGAAGGCAGCUCCAACGGCAGCACGACGGCGUGGUGUAGUUGGUGCAGAAGUACUCCGACAGGGCUUCGCCAAGCACGUACGCAGGAGGAGAGGUGUUGGGGAGGGGAGGGGCUGCGCCUUGAGUUGUGUCUAGCAGCCCUCCCCUCACCCCUCUAUAUAUAGGAGGAGAGGGGCAAGGGGGCCGGCCCUCUAGGGGAAACCCUAGAGGGGGGCGGCGGCCAAAGGGAGAGGGAAAAAGGGUGGCUUGCCCCCCAAGCUAGGGGGCACCCCCUUUAGGGUUUCCCCUCCCCUUGCCCUAGCCGCAUGGGCCUAGGUGGGGAGGCGCGCCCAGCCCACUAGGGGCUGGCUCCCUCUCCCACACAGCCCAUGUGGCCCCCCUAGGAGGGGUGGCCCCACCCGGUGGACCCCCGGAACCCUUCCGGUGGCCCCGGUACAAUACCAGUAUGCCACCGAAACUUUCCGGUGUCCGUUUAACCACUUUCCUUAUAUAAAUCUUUACCUCCGGAACAUUCUGGAACUCCUCGUGAUGUCCGGGAUCUCAUCCGGGACUCCGAACAACAUUCGGUAAUCACAUACUUGUCUUCCUGAUAACCCUAGCGUCACCGAACCUUAAGUGUGUAGACCCUACGGGUUCAGGAGACAUGCAGACAUGACCGAGACAACCUCAGGUCAAUAACCAACAUUGGGAUCUGGAUACCCAUGUUGGCUCCCACAUGCUCCUCGUUGUUGUCAUCGGAUGAACCACGAUGUCAAGGAUUCGAUCAAACCCCGUAUGCAAUUCCCUUUGUCAAUCAGUACGUUACAUGCCCGAGACUCGAUCGUCGGUAUCCCAAUACCUCGUUCAGUCUCGUUACCGGCAAGUCACUUUACUCGUACCGCAAUGCAUGAUCCCAUGACCAAACACUUGGUCACCUUGAGCUCAUUAUGGUGAUGCAUUACCGAGUGGGCCCAGAGAUACCUCUCCGUCAUACGGAGUGACAAAUCCCAGUCUCGAUCCGUGUCAACCCAACAGACACUUUCGGAGAUACCUGUAAUGCACCUUUAUAGUCACCCAGUUACGUUGUGACGUUUGGUACACCCAAAGCACUCCUACGGUAUCCGGGAGUUACACGAUCUCAUGGUCUAAGGAAGAGAUACUUGACAUUGGAAAAGCUCUAGCAAACGAACUAACCGACCUUUGUGCUAUGCUUAGGAUUGGGUCUUGUCCAUCACAUCAUUCUCCUAAUGAUGUGAUCCCGUUAUCAACGACAUCCAAUGUCCAUAGCCAGGAAACCAUGACUAUCUGUUGAUCACAACGAGCUAGUCAACUAGAGGCUCACUAGGGACAUAUUGUGGUCUAUGUAUUCACACGUGUAUUACGAUUUCCGGAUAAUACAGUUAUAGCAUGAAUAAAAGACUAUUAUCAUGAACAAAGAAAUAUAAUAAUAACACUUUUAUUAUUGCCUCUAGGGCAUAUUUCCAACAGUUAUAUCAUCUCAUCCUGUUUACGUAGUCAUCAUAUUUUAAAUUAUGUCAUUCUAUCCGUGAAUUAUAUCAUGCCAUCAUGUUUCCAUCGACGGCAUGUUUGUGAUUUAUGGCAUGCCAACCACUUUAAUAGACACAUCGUAUAGUUAUAUCAUGUCAUCCUGUUUACAUAGUCAUCAUAUUUUGAAGUAUGUCAUUCUAUCCUGUUUAGUUAGCCAUCAUACAUGUGAAAUUGUGUCAUGCUAUCCUGUUUAAUUAGCCAUCAUAUAUGUGAAAUUAUGUCCUGCUAUUCUGUUUGCUUAGACAACAUAAAUGUGAAUUAUUUCAUGCCUUGUUUUCUUCCCUACUAUCCAUUGCACCUGUCUAUCUUACAAUGUAUGUACAUUCAAUUACUUUUCUUGUUUAUCAGCCAUUUCAAUUGGAGGGAGUGAUGGCAGUAUCUGUGAGAGUAAAAACACGGUCUUCAGAAAAGGUCGUGCUACCCGUCGAUGCAGAUAGAACCACGAUUGUACUUGCCCAAGAAUCAGCCCCACCACACAUAACCCACACUCAUGCAGAUUGUACCCCUACCUAGUUGGACAGAGAACCAGCUACACCCCUUCUAACCCCAACCCCAGCAGAUAGACACCCAGUUCCCGUUGACACAUCACCGUCUCCACCACAGAGCACCCAAACACGAGCAGUUAGUAAGGCAACUGCAGUGCCCAAAUCACGAGGACCACCACUCCAAACCCGAAGUCAAUGCUUAAAGCAGAAGAAGAAGUGUUCUCAGGUCAGGUUCCAUAGCUAUGGUUCAUACUACUUUGCUCUUGCAUCACUGUAUUUACUGAUACCAAGCAAUUUCAAAUUUGAAGGAUGCAAUUGAAACUCCAAUGGCGCAACAGGUAUGUUUUAAACCUGUUUCUUCAACGUGUUUGGCUGUUUGCUAUUGUAACUUGCUCUAUGUUGAUUUCAGUUUCAAUUGAAUAAACAAUUAUGUUAUCAUGCCAUGCACAUUACAAGUGUUGUUAUUGCUGUGUUGUUUCCCACACUUAUAUUCUGUCUAUGCUGCUUUGUCUUAAAUAGAUAUGAUUGGAACUGUAUCUAUCUUGAUUUGGCAACAUAAACUAGAAUGAUAUAGACCAUACAGUGACCAUACUACAUAGAUAUAUGUUUGUUUCAUGCUGUUAUCCUGUCCACCUUACUACUGAACUGGUUUACCAAAAUGAGUUUCAUAUACUACAUUGUAAACGUGAGAUGUGUUUGUUUGUUUCCCUUUUAGAACGCGGAUAAAAUAUUGGAGAAGAGUACCCUGUUAUGCAAUGGUAAAGGAAGUAAUGCAGAUAAGGUUCAAGAUAGUGAGACAUCCCUGUUGGUCUCCAAAAAAGCUGAUAAAAACUAUAUUGAGGACACUGAGACAACCCCAAAGUCCUGUCUUGAUGUAGUGUUCGAGUUACUGGCUACCACUGCUUGCACCAGCUCUUCGAACUUGUUGCCUGAAUCAACUCGGCUUCUUGAGUCUCAACUUCAAGUUGAAAGACAUCGAUCAGAUGUUAUGCGACAGGAAGUCGAAGGACUGAGGAAGUCCCUGCAGUAUUCAGAUGCAUACUUUCUGGUGCAACAACAGGCGCUGGAGGACUUAAGCGCCAAACAAGAGAAAGUUAAUAAGCUUGCUAAGCAUCUUGCCAGCAUUAUGGGUACCCAGGAUAUUGUUUCUUGAUCUCUUCUAAAGUGGUUUCAGUUCUGGACUUGUUUUGCUACGGCAUUUAUAUGCUGCUGUGUUCCCUAUAUUUCCACUGGUGGCGAACUUUGAUGCCCAGUGGAUGUAAUAUGUGUAAUAGCCGUGAUAGCCUAGUGUAAGUUGCUUGCUUAUUUAUUUCCUUGUUGUCUUGUUUAUUUGUUUGCUUGUAGUCAGUGCAGUUCUUUUUCUGUGGUUUGCUAGUGGCUGCAACAACCUAUUUUUUAAAACUAGGCCACAAUAACCAUGGGCUAAUAUUUACUGUAGUGACACUGCACCUACGAGCCGUAGAAACAGUGGGCCUUCCACGGGCCGUAGAAACAAUGUGCCUUCUACGGGCCGUAUCAUCAAUGGGCCUUAUACGGGCAGUAUGAUCGAUUGGCCAAACAUAGGCCAAUAACAGGCCACAUUAUGGCCGUAAACGGGCUAGAGUUGGAAUCGUCCGUUCAUGGGCCGACCAUAACGGGCCAUCAUUAAUAGGCCGUAUUUCAUGACGCUAUGAAAAUGGCCCAACAUGUUAACGGACCACAAACAGGCCGACUGUAACCACGGGUUGAAUUUGGCCCAUAAGCAGAAAAUGACAGUAACGGGCCGUAAGUAAACGAAUGCUGGAAAUGAGCCCAAGAAUAAAUGGGCUCUGAGAAGGUCGAAAGAUAACAUGGGCUGGAAACGGCCCAACGGAAUAACGGGCCCUUAAUGGGUAUAAAGUGAUACACUGUUCAUUACGGGCCAGUUUCACCACGGGCCGUUAAUGGGUGUAAAGUAAUACACUGUUCAUUACGGGCCAGUUCACCACGCGCCGUUAAUAGGCCAAGAGUUACAUAGGGCCUCAUAUGGGCCGAAAGACGUCAUGGGCCAUACAUGGGCCAGAAGUGAAAACGGGCUGGAAUCAUAUUGGGUGGCCCAGAUGACGCUACUGGGCCUAAUUCGGAUAGGGCGUAACGAGCCUUGGGUUAGCGGGCUGUAAAUGGGCUAUAUGCGAACAGGCUGUUAACAUGCUUUACAUGGGCCGUCCCGCCACCUUUUGACCAAGUCAAAUGGGCCGGCCUUUUCACAGGAAUAUGCCUCUGUUGGGCCGUGCCACGUGUCGACGUAUCAUAGGCGCCUUCUGUCCAAUGAGUGGAUGACAUCUGUCCCAACGGUGAGCCGACACGUGUUUCCUCCAGCCAAUGAUGAUUUUACACGUGGAAAAUGCACAUUAGUCGGGGCUAUUAAUGGGUUAUCGGAUCCAAAACCCGACCCGAUAGCUUAACGGUGUUCCGUUAUGGUGGAUGCCACGUGUCGGUCACCCUUGACAAAAGCACUUCUGUGACGCGCGAUUUAUCGUCAUGGAAGUGGACACUUCCGUGAUGAUAAUUUUGGUAAUGUCAUGGAACACUUCUACGACAGCACAGGUAUGACUAUCUUGAUCCUGUCAUAAAUUUGUCAUGGAUGUACAUGCAUGACAAAAAACGCGACCUACUGUGACAAACACGUAUCAUCACGGAAGUGUAUUUUUUUUGUAGUGAUUAACCCUUUUGGUCCGGCUUCCUGUUCAAACAUAGGUGUCAUUCACCAAAGAGAACAUAGCCAUUAAUGCUUUUGGUCCAGCUUACUGAUCGUAUUCAAAUCAGAAGCCUCGUGUUUUUUCUCUCCUUAUUGAUUUAAGUCUUUUGAAACAAUUUUCCGGGUUUCUCUACAUACUUUUUUGCUUACGUCUGAAGCAUAUAUGUGGUUUCAAUUAACCCGACUUGUCUUUGCAUGAUAAUUCGCCAGCAUUUGAGAAUCAUAAAACACUUGGAAGUUUUGGCUUCUAAAAGAUUGGGUUAUCACCCUUACUGCACAGGUCACAUAAACCGGCAGUACAAUUCAGUAUCACAGGUAUGAUAUUGUUAUUAUAGUUUUGUUUUAAGUUCUGGUUCAUACCAGCUUUAUCCAUGGCUAUUUUUUAUACAUCAAUGGUUAUAUGUGAGAUAUUAUGACCCGCCCAGCGGUAAACCGCCAAGGGUUCUUGUCAUUUAUUUCUGUGUACAGGAUAAUUCAAGGAUUUUCUUACGCACAAGUCAAACAAAUGAUAAAGUGUAAAGAGGAUAAAUAUAAGAGGGUGGCUUAACAGUAUUGAGCACCAAAAACAUGCACGAUGGCACGACAGAGCAAAGUUAUGGCUAUUCUAUUACAUGACUCAAAGAGUCCAAAUGAUUAAGUGUUUUUUCCACAAGAUCACCAACAUGAACCGCCCCGCGGUUUAAUCCUCUUGAUUCUGACAGCCUGAUGCUUCUGGAUCAUCCUGCUCCGUGUUUUCGUCUUCUUCGAUUUCCUGGAAGGUGGGGGAUGACCAGUCAAUGCCACUCAAAGCAUGGAAUUCUGCUUCAUCAUCAAUAAGCUCUUCCGGGUUAACGUCAGGAGCGAAGGUGUGCUUACGAAUUGGAGGUAUCAGAUCCUACACUUUAUAGGAGGGUGUUGGCAUUUUCUGAUUCUCCAAAUCAUAAGCCGGUUGAUAUUGGGACAAAUCGGUUUCACUAGCAAUCAGGCUAGCCAGGGGACGGAUGUCCUUUACACAACCGGCGAAGUCCUUCUUUUAGGGGUGACGUCUUCUUUUCAGUUGGGCACCCGGUUGAUAGCUCAGCCGGGUCUAGCUCUGGUAGCCAAGAUUUGGCCUGACUUAAAGCUGUUACAGCUCCGGCUCUUGCACAUGAUCUCUUCACCUCCCCAACCCUCUAUGGCAGCACAAAAAGCUUUCUCAGCAGGUCAACUAAAAGUGUUGGUACUCGAUUUGAUGGAGAAAUUGUGGCUAGGGUAUGUUGCGUCCUAGUAUAAAGUUGUUCCACCAGCGUGUAAACCGCUUUCAACUUCAGAAUCAUGUCUUGGUUAAGGUUCGUGCUUCUGGGGCCUGCAUAGUAAUCACAAGUGAGUUAAAGGCAAUUCAUAUGAUCUAGAGGGAUAUUCAACUUUGACAGUUAUAAGGCGGCUUACCAAAGAUAGCUGAGACCAUCUGAGACACGUGGCGUUUUAUGCAGGACAAUUUAGUUGUCACCUCUUCAAGAGCCGCUUCUGCUUUCUCAGCUCGUUGGGUCAAAGUAAUCUUUUCUUCAGCCCAGGCGUUUUUCUCGGUUUCAAAGCCGGCUUUCAAUUUUUCUGUUUCAGACAUGCUGAAUUCAAAUUUUGAGUUUGCCCUCCGGGUCUCAGUCUCCUGCAGCUCCAAGUGAUUUUUCAAUUCAGACAGUUCUGAUGGCAGUUGAACAGUAGUGGUCUGCACAUAUACCGGAUCAAAAUCAUAUAGAUUAGUACACAGUAUUAAGUCCCAAGCCUUUUGCAAGCAACACCACUUGGCACUUGGGGGCUAAUAUCUGCCGAAAGCUUAUUUAUGUGGCGGCUUAUGUAAAUAAGUCCCAAGCACUUUGCAAGCAAGAGUACUUGGCACUUGGGGACUAAUGCAUAUUGCUAUUGAAAAACUAUACAAGUACAAGAUAUAAAGGACCGGUUCAUCCAGGCUGAUUAAACCGGCCCUUAGGGACUACGGAUUAAGUCAGAUUUUUUGAGGAUUCUACCAACAAAUAUUACUUAUGUUCAUGGUUCAUUUAAAGUCUACAUCAUAUUCAUCAUAAACAAUAGACUUGGGGGCUAGCAUAGUAAGCAUAACACAGUAAAAGAAGAGUUCAUACCUCAAACUUCUGGUGCAUCUGCUUCACCAUAUCUAUUUCCAGAUCGCGGCUGCUGUGUAGUUGACUAAGAUAACCAGAAAAAACUUCACUAACACUCAAUUGGGAGUAGUCAGCAAAAUCGAAUAUGACUUUACGUCGUUCAAUGUGUUCUUCCUUGCACUAGUAGAAGGGCUAAUCUGAGACACAUUAGUGCCGGUUUGAUUUUGAGCCGGCACUAAUGUGUCCAUUAGUGCCGGUUCCAACGGCUAGGCGGGCGGACAUCAUUAGUACCGGUUCGUGGGCAACAAUAAGUACCGGUUCAUGCCACGAACCGGUACUAAUGAUGCUGUGUCAGGCCGUGGGCCCCACGAACUCCUUUAGUACCGGUUCAUGUCAUGAACCGGUACUAGAGUUUCUUAUUAAGCUGAUUUUUAGUCCCACCUCGCUAGGAGAGAGGCAGUAGGAGCUGUUUAUAAGCCAUGAGUGCAGAGACGAUGGAGAGGCGCAAUGCUCACCUGCAGCUUGCUUAGCUUCAAGCCUUUCGGAAUAGAAUAGAUUGCACGGAGCUGUGUGCAGUGUAGUCUACCCUGUUCCGAAAGGCUUGAAGCUAACUAACGAGCCUUGCGCCUUUUUUUAUUUUAAUAACUUAUUAGAACUCCGGACUUCUUGUGUUACAACAAAAACUGGCACUUCAUUUUUUUAACUUAUUACAACUUCAGAUUUUUUUGCGUUCAGUACGCACCAUUCUAAGCCACGUCAUCAAUUUUCAACCCUUUCUGACAUCAUUUGCUCCCCUAGCACAAACUGGACAAUAUCUUUCGAAGUAUCAGGGCCGGUUUCAGACGAAAGAGUAGAGAGGGUCACGGCAAAAAAGAAAAAACUAUAUAAAAAAUUACUCAAAAAUAAAUAGAAGAAAACAAAUAAAGCAGAAAAGAAAAAACUAUAUAUAAAGAAGAAGAAGCAGAAGAAGAAGAAGAAGAGGANNNNNNNNNNNNNNNNNNNNNNNNNNNNNNNNNNNNNNNNNNNNNNNNNNNNNNNNNNNNNNNNNNNNNNNNNNNNNNNNNNNNNNNNNNNNNNNNNNNNAGAAGAAGAAGAAGAAACUCAGAAAUAAAUAGAAGAAAAAAUAAAGCAGAAAAGAAAUAACUAUAUAAACAAAUUACUCAGAAAUAAAUAGAAGAAAAAAAUAAAGCAAAAAAGGAAUAACUAUAUAAACAAAUUACUCAAAAAUAAAUAGAAGAAAAUAAAUACUAUUCAGAAAUAAAUAGAAGAAAAAAAUAAAGCAAAAAAGGAAUAACUACAUAAAAAAAUUACUCAAAAAUAAAUAGAAAUAAAUAAAUGCUAUGGAGAAAUAAAUAGAAGAAAAAAAUAAAGCAGAAAAGGAAUAACUAUAUAAAAAAUCACUAAAAAAUAAAUAGAAGAAAAUAAAUAAUGCAGAAAAGAAAAUAAUUUAUAAAAAACAUAUUGGGGCGCUGCCCGGUGGGCCUGCCAGACCUUGGGUGUGCAAAUACAUGCCCAGUAGGGCCAGCAGGCUCACAGGGCAGCGCACCCUAAUUAGGCCCAGAAGCAUGCUAUAUAGAGAAGUUCGAAAGGGCAGCCGCGGCUGGGUUUAUAAACCAGUGCGGCUGCCCUUCGCUCGGCGAGGUGGGACUAAACGUAGCACACUGCAGGGUGGCAGCGCAUAGGCAUUAGUACCGGUUGGAGCCUCCAGCCGGUACUAAUGUGUUGCCCUUUAGUACCGGUUGGAGCCACCAACCGGUACUAAAGGCCCACGUUUCCCGCUGCUUGGGCUGGCCAAAAUUGGCCUUUAGUAUCGGUUGGAGCCACCAACCAGUACUAACGGCCCAUCCUAUAUAUAUGACACUUACGAAAAUUCAGUUAUCGUCGCCAAUUCGUUCCACUUCUCGCGCGCGCGAGUCUCGAUCUCGACGACGCCGACGCCGCUGCGCCGCCGUGCCGUCGCCCUCGCCGCCCCCGUCNNNNNNNNNNNNNNNNNNNNNNNNNNNNNNNNNNNNNNNNNNNNNNNNNNNNNNNNNNNNNNNNNNNNNNNNNNNNNNNNNNNNNNNNNNNNNNNNNNNNNNNNNNNNNNNNNNNNNNNNNNNNNNNNNNNNNNNNNNNNNNNNNNNNNNNNNNNNNNNNNNNNNNNNNNNNNNNNNNNNNNNNNNNNNNNNNNNNNNNNNNNNNNNNNNNNNNNNNNNNNNNNNNNNNNNNNNNNNNNNNNNNNNNNNNNNNNNNNNNNNNNNNNNNNNNNNNNNNNNNNNNNNNNNNNNNNNNNNNNNNNNNNNNNNNNNNNNNNNNNNNNNNNNNNNNNNNNNNNNNNNNNNNNNNNNNNNNNNNNNNNNNNNNNNNNNNNNNNNNNNNNNNNNNNNNNNNNNNNNNNNNNNNNNNNNNNNNNNNNNNNNNNNNNNNNNNNNNNNNNNNNNNNNNNNNNNNNNNNNNNNNNNNNNNNNNNNNNNNNNNNNNNNNNNNNNNNNNNNNNNNNNNNNNNNNNNNNNNNNNNNNNNNNNNNNNNNNNNNNNNNNNNNNNNNNNNNNNNNCACACACACACUACACACACAUACACACAGACACACACAAACACACACACACUACACGUACACUACACAUGUACGUACACACAUAUACACACACAGUACACACACACAUAUAUUUUUUUACUUAUUUUCUGUUUAAUUUCUAAUGUUUAGACGAAUUAGAACUAUCUAGUUUAUUUUUAGAAUGUUAGAAAUAUUAUCAUCGAUGAAUUAGAAAUAUGUUAAUGUUUAGUUCAACUAGUUGAAUUUGUUGGAAAUAUGCCCUAGAGGCAAUAAUAAAUGGAUUAUUAUUAUAUUUCCUUGUUCAUGAUAAUUGUCUUUUAUUCAUGCUAUAAUUGUAUUAUCCGGAAAUCGUAAUACACGUGUGAAUACAUAGACCACAAUACGUCCCUAGUAAGCCUCUAGUUGACUAGCUCGUUGGUCAACAGAUAGUCAUGGUUUCCUGACUAUGGACAUUAGAUGUCAUUGACAAAGGGAUCACAUCAUUAGGAGAAUGAUGUGAUGGACAAGACCCAUUCCGAAGCAUAGCACAAGAUUGUGUAGUUCGUUUUGCUAGAGCUUUUCCAAUGUCAUGUAUCUCUUCCUUAGACCAUGAGAUUGUGUAACUCCCGGAUACCGUAGGAGUGCUUUGGGUGUACCAAACAUCACAACGUAACUGGGUGACUAUAAAGGUGCACUACAGGUAUCUUCGAAAGUGUCUGUUGGGUUGACACGGAUCGAGACUGAGAUUUGUCACUCCUAUGACGGAGAGGUAUCACUGGGCCCACUCGGUAGUGCAUUAUCAUAAUGAGCUCAAAGUGACCAAGUGUCUGGUCACGGGAUCAUGCAUUACGAUACGAGUAAAGUGACUUGCCGGUAACGAGACUGAAUGAGGUAUUGGGAUACCAACGAUCGAGUCUCGGGCAAGUAACAUACCGUCUGACAAAGGGAAUAGUAUACGGGGUUGCUUGAACCCUCGACAUCGUUGUUCAUCCGAUAAGAUCAUCAAGGAGUAUGUGGGAGCCAACAUGGGUAUCCAGAUCCCGCUGUUGGUUAUUGACCAGAGAGCCGUCUCGGUCAUGUCUGCAUGUCUCCCGAACCCGUAGGGUCUACACACUUAAGGUUCGGUGACGCUAGGGUUGUAUGAAUAUGAAUAUGCAGCAAACCGAAUGUUGUUCGGAGUCCCGGAUGAGAUCCCGGACAUCACGAGGAGUUCAGGAAUGGUCCGGAGGUAAAGAAAACUAUAUAGGAAGUGCUGUUUCGGCCAUCGGGAAAGUUUCGGGGUCACCCGGUAUUGUACCGGGACCACCGGAAGGGUCCCGGGGGUCCACCGGGUGGGGCCACCUAUCCCGGAGGGCCCCGUGGGCUGAAGUGGGAGGGGAACCAGCCCCUAGUGGGCUGGUGCGCCCCCCUUUGGGCCCCCCUACGCCUAGGGUUGGAAACCCUAGGUGGGGGGGGGGGCGCACCACUUGCCUUGGGGGGCACUCCACCCCCCUUGGCCGCCGCCCCCCUUGGGAGAUUGAUCUCCUAGGGCCGGCGCCCCCCCUGGGGGACUAUAUAAAGGAGGGCAGGGGGAGGGCAGCCGCACCCAAGUCUUGGCGCCUCCCUCCCCCUGCUACACCUCGUCCUCCUCCCGCAGCAGCUUGGCGAAGCCCUGCCGGAGUUCUGCUGCAUCCACCACCACGCCGUCGUGCUGCUGGAGCGUCAUCAACCUCUCCUUCCCCCUUGCUGGAUCAAGACGGAGGAGACGUCACGCUGACCGUACGUGUAUUGAACGCGGAGGUGCCGUCCGUCCGACGCUAGGAUCUCCGGUGAUAGGAUCACGACGAGAACGACUACUUCAACCCCGUUCUUUUGAACGCUUCCGCUCAUGAUCUACAAAGUGGUAUGUAGAUGCAUCUCCCCUUUCACUCGUUGCUUAGAUGAACUCAUAGAUGGAUCUUGGUGAAACCGUAGGAAAAUUUUUAUUUUCUGCAACGUUCCCCAACUGUGGCAUCAUGAGCUAGGUCUAUGCGUAGUUCUCUAUUGCACGAGUAGAAUACAAAUUUGUUGUGGGCAUAGAUCUUGUCAACUUGCUUGCCGCUACUAGCCUUUUCUUGCUUCAGCGGUAUCGUGGGAUGAAGUGGCCCGGACCGACCUUACACGUACGCUUACGUGAGACAGGUUCCACCGACUGACAUGCACUAGUUGCAUAAGGUGGCUAGCGGGUGUCUGUCUCUCCUACUUUAGUUCGAGCGGACUAGAUGAAAAGGGUCCUUAUGAAGGGUAAAUAGAAUUUGACAAAAUCAUGUUGUGGUUAUUCGUAGGUAAGAAAAUGUUCUUGCUAGAACCCAAUUGCAGCCACGUAAAAGAUGCAACAACAAUUAGAGGACGUCUAACUUGUUUUUGCAGCAAUUGUCAUGUGAUGUGAUAUGGCCAGAAGUUGUGAUGAAUGAUGAAUGAUAUAUUGUGAUGUAUGAGAUCAUGUUCUUGUAAUAGGAAUCACGACUUGCAUGUCGAUGAGUAUGACAACCGGAAGUUGUCUUUAUUUUUUGUAUGACCCGCGUGUCAUUGAAGAACGCCAUGUAAAUUACUUUACUUUAUUGCUAAACGCGUUAGCCAUAGAAGUAGAAGUAGUCGUUGGCGUGACAACUUCAUGAAGACACGAUGAUGGAGAUCAUGAUGAUGGAGAUCAUGGUGUCAUGCCGGUGACGAAGAUGAUCAUGGAGCCCCGAAGAUGGAGAUCGAAGGAGCUAUAUGAUAUUGGCCAUAUCAUGUCACUACUUUAUAUAAUUGCAUGUGAUGUUUAUUAUGUUUUAUGCAUCUUGUUUACUUAGAAUGGCGGUAGUAAAUAAGAUGAUCCCUUAUAAUAAUUUCAAGAAAGUGUUCCCCCUAACUGUGCACCGUUGCUAAAGUUCGUCGUUUCGAAGCACCACGUGAUGAUGGGGUGUGAUAGAUCCUUACGUUCACAUACAACGGGUGUAAGACAUAUUUACACAUGCAGCACACUUAGGGUUAACUUGACGAGCCUAGCAUGUACAGACAUGGCCUCGGAACACAGAGACAGAAAGGUCGAACAUGAGUCGUAUGGAAGAUACGAUCAACAUGGAGAUGUUCACCGAUGAUGACUAGUCCGUCUCACGUGAUGAUCGGACACGGCCUAGUCGACUCGGAUCGUGUAACACUUAGAUGACUAGAGGGAUGUCUAAUCUGAGUGGGAGUUCAUUAAAUAUUUGAUUAGAUAAACUUAAUUAUCAUGAACUUAGUCUAAAACUUUUGCAAAAUAUGUCUUGUAGAUCAAAUGGCCAACGCUCAUGUCAACAUGAACUUCAACGCGUUCCUAGAGAAAACCAAGCUGAAAGAUGAUGGCAGCAACUAUUCGGACUGGGUCCAGAACCUGAGGAUCAUCCUCAUAGCAGCCAAGAAAGAUUAUGUCCUAGAUGCACCGCUAGGUGAAGCACCCAUCCCAGAGAACCAAGACGUUAUGAACACUUGGCAAUCACGUGCUGAUGAUUACUCCCUCGUUCAGUGCGGAAUGCUUUACAGCUUAGAACCGGGGCUCCAAAAGCGUUUUGAGAAGCAUAGAGCAUAUGAGAUGUUCGAGGAGCUGAAAAUGGUUUUCCAAGCUCAUGCCCGGGUCGAGAGAUAUGAAGUCUCCGACAAGUUCUAUAGUUGUAAGAUGGAGGAAAACAGUUCUGUCAGUGAGCACAUACUCAAAAUGUCUGGGUUGCACAACCGCCUGCCCAGCUGGAGAUCAACCUCCCGGAAGAGGCGGUCAUUGACAUAAUCCUUCAGUCGCUCCCACCGAGCUACAAGAGCUUUGUGUUGAACUACAAUAUGCAAGGGAUGGUGAAGACCAUUCCUGAAGUAUUCUCAAUGCUGAAGUCAGCAAAGGUUGAAAUCAAGAAAGAACAUCAAGUGUUGAUGGUCAAUAAGACCACUAAGUUCAAGAAGGGCAAGGGUAAGAAGAACUUCAAGAAGGACGGCAAAGAUGUUGCCACGCCCGGUAAGCCAGUUGCCGGGAAGAAGUCAAAGAAUGGACCCAAGCCUGAGACUGAGUGCUUUUAUUGCAAGGGGAAGGGUCACUGGAAGCGGAACUGCCCCAAAUACUUAGCAGACAAGAAGGCCGGCAACACUAAAGGUAUAUUUGAUAUACAUGUAAUUGAUGUGUACCUUACCAGUACUCGUAGUAACUCCUGGUAUUUGAUACCGGUGCCAUUGCUCACAUUUGUAACUCACAGCAGGAGCUGCGGAAUAAGCGGAGACUGGCGAAGGACGAGGUUGCCGGGAAGAAGUNNNNNNNNNNNNNNNNNNNNNNNNNNNNNNNNNNNNNNNNNNNNNNNNNNNNNNNNNNNNNNNNNNNNNNNNNNNNNNNNNNNNNNNNNNNNNNNNNNNNNNNNNNNNNNNNNNNNNNNNNNNNNNNNNNNNNNNNNNNNNNNNNNNNNNNNNNNNNNNNNNNNNNNNNNNNNNNNNNNNNNNNNNNNNNNNNNNNNNNNNNNNNNNNNNNNNNNNNNNNNNNNNNNNNNNNNNNNNNNNNNNNNNNNNNNNNNNNNNNNNNNNNNNNNNNNNNNNNNNNNNNNNNNNNNNNNNNNNNNNNNNNNNNNNNNNNNNNNNNNNNNNNNNNNNNNNNNNNNNNNNNNNNNNNNNNNNNNNNNNNNNNNNNNNNNNNNNNNNNNNNNNNNNNNNNNNNNNNNNNNNNNNNNNNNNNNNNNNNNNNNNNNNNNNNNNNNNNNNNNNNNNNNNNNNNNNNNNNNNNNNNNNNNNNNNNNNNNNNNNNNNNNNNNNNNNNNNNNNNNNNNNNNNNNNNNNNNNNNNNNNNNNNNNNNNNNNNNNNNNNNNNNNNNNNNNNNNNNNNNNNNNNNNNNNNNNNNNNNNNNNNNNNNNNNNNNNNNNNNNNNNNNNNNNNNNNNNNNNNNNNNNNNNNNNNNNNNNNNNNNNNNNNNNNNNNNNNNNNNNNNNNNNNNNNNNNNNNNNNNNNNNNNNNNNNNNNNNNNNNNNNNNNNNNNNNNNNNNNNNNNUGAUACCGGUGCCGUUGCUCACAUUUGUAACUCACAGCAGGAGCUGCGGAAUAAGCAGAGACUGGCGAAGGACGAGGUUGCCGGGAAGAAGUCAAAGAAUGGACCCAAGCCUGAGACUGAGUGCUUUUAUUGCAAGGGGAAGGGUCACUGGAAGCGGAACUGCCCCAAAUACUUAGCAGACAAGAAGGCCGGCAACACUAAAGGUAUAUUUGAUAUACAUGUAAUUGAUGUUACCUUACAAGUACUCGUAGUAACUCCUGGGUAUUUGAUACCGGUGCCAUUGCUCACAUUUGUAACUCACAGCAGGAGCUGUGGAAUAAGCGGAGACUGGCGAAGGACGAGGUGAGGAUGCGCGUCGGGAAUGGUUCCAAGGUCGAUGUGAUCGCCGUCGGCACGCUAACUCUACAUUUACCUAUGGGAUAAGUUUUAAACCUCAAUAAUUGUUAUUUAGUGCCAAGUUUGAGCAUGAACAUUGUAUCUGGAUCUCGUUUGAUACGAGAUGGCUACUCAUUUAAAUCCGAGAAUAAUGGUUGUUCUAUUUAUAUGAGAGAUAUGUUUAAUGGUCAUGCCCCGAUGGUCAAUGGUUUAUUCUUAAUGAAUCUCGAACGUAAUGUUACACAUAUUCAUAGCGUGAAUACCAAAAGAUGUAAAGUUGAUAACGAUAGUCCCACAUACUUGUGGCACUGCCGCCUUGGUCACAUUGGUGUCAAGCGCAUGAAGAAGCUGCAUGCUGAUGGACUUUUAGAGUCUCUCGAUUAUGAAUCAUUUGACACAUGCGAACCAUGCCUCAUGGGCAAAAUGACCAAGAGUCCGUUCUCCAGAACAAUGGAGCGAGCAACCAACUUGUUGGAAAUCAUACAUACCGAUGUGUGCGGUCCAAUGAGCGUUGAGGCUCGCAGAGGAUAUCGUUAUGUUCUCACCCUCACUGAUGACUUGAGUAGAUAUGGGUAUGUCUACUUGAUGAAACACAAGUCUGAGACCUUUGAAAAGUUCAAGGAAUUUCAGAAUGAAGUAGAGAAUCAACGUGACCGAAAGAUAAAAUUCUUACGAUCGGAUCGUGGAGGAGAAUAUUUAAGUCACGAAUUUGGUACACACUUAAGAAAAUGUGGAAUCGUUUCACAACUCACGCCGCCUGGAACACCUCAGCGUAACGUUGUGUCCGAACGUCGUAAUCGCACUCUAUUGGAUAUGGUGCGAUCUAUGAUGUAUCUUACCGAUUUACCGCUGUCAUUUUGGGGAUACGCUCUAGAGACAGCUACAUUCACUUUAAAUAGGGCACCGUCUAAAUCCGUUGAGACGACACCGUAUGAAUUAUGGUUUGGGAAGAAACCUAAGCCGUCAUUUCUAAAAGUUUGGGGAUGCGAUGCUUAUGUCAAGAAACUUCAACCUGAAAAGCUCGAACCCAAGUCGGAAAAAUGCAUCUUCAUAGAAUACCCUAAAGAAACCAUUGGGUAUACCUUCUACUUAAAUUCCGAGGGCAAGAUCUUUGUUGCCAAGAACGGAUCCUUUCUGGAAAAAGAGUUUCUCUCGAAAGGAGUAAGUGGGAGGAAAGUAGAACUCGAUGAAGUACUACCUCUUGAACCGAAAAGUAGUGCAGCUCAGGAAAAUGUUCCUAUAGUGCCUACACCGACUGGAGAGGAAAUUAAUGAGGAUGAUCAAGGUACUUCUGAUCAAGUUUCUAUUGAACUUCGUAGGUUCACAAGGACACGUUCCACACCAGAGUGGUAUGGCAACCCUGUCCUCGAAAUCAUGUCGUUAGACAACGGUGAACCAUCAAACUAUGAAGAAGCGAUGGCGGGCCCAGAUUCCAACAAAUGGCUUGAAGCCAUGCAAUCCGAGAUAGAAUCCAUGUAUGAAAACAAAGUAUGGACUUUGACUGACUUGCCCGAUGAUCGGCGAGCGAUAGAAAACAAAUGGAUCUUUAAGAAGAAGACGAAUGCGGAUGGUAGUGUAACCAUCUAUAAAGCUCGACUUGUCGCUAAGGGUUAUCGGCAAGUUCAAGGGAUUGACUACGAUGAGACUUUCUCUCCCGUAGCGAAGCUUAAGUCCGUCCGAAUCAUGUUAGCAAUUGCCGCAUACUAUGAUUAUGAGAUAUGGUAGAUGGACGUCAAAACGGCAUUCUUUAACGGGCAUCUUAAGGAAGAACUGUAUAUGAUGCAGCCGGAGGGUUUUGUCGAUCCUAAGAAUGCUAACAAAGUAUGCAAGCUCCAGCAAUCCAUUUAUGGGCUGGUGCAAGCAUCUCGGAGUUGGAACAUUCGCUUUGAUGAGAUGAUCAAAGCGUUUGGGUUUAUGCAGACUUAUGGAGAAGCCUGCGUUUACAAGAAAGUGAGUGGGAGCUCUGUAGCAUUUCUCAUAUUAUAUGUAGAUGACAUACUUUUGAUGGGAAAUGAUAUAGAAUUCUUGGACAGCAUUAAGGCCUACUUGAAUAAAUGUUUUUCAAUGAAGGACCUUGGAGAAGCUGCUUACAUAUUAGGCAUCAAGAUCUAUAGGGAUAGAUCGAGACGCCUCAUAGGUCUUUCACAAAGCACAUACCUUGAUAAGAAUUUGAAGAAGUUCAAAAUGGAUCAGUCCAAGAAAGGGUUCUUGCCAGUACUGCAAGGUGUGAGAUUGAGCUCGGCUCAAUGCCCGACCACGGCAAAAGAUAAAGAAGAGAUGAGUGUCAUCCCCUAUGCCUCAGCCAUAGGAUCUAUUAUGUAUGCCAUGUUGUGUACCAGACCUGAUGUAAACCUUGCCGUAAGUUUGGUAGGAAGGUACCAAAGUAAUCCUGGCAAGGAACACUGGAUAACGGUCAAGAAUAUCCUGAAGUACCUGAAAAGGACAAAGGACAUGUUUCUCAUUUAUGGAGGUGACGAAGAGCUCGUCGUAAAGGGUUACGUCGACGCUAGCUUCGACACAGAUCUGGAUGACUCUAAGUCACAAACCGGAUACGUGUAUAUGUUGAAUGGUGGAGCAGUAAGCUGGUGCAGCUGCAAGUAGAGCGUCGUGGCGGGAUCUACAUGUGAAGCAGAGUAUAUGGCGGCCUCGGAGGCAGCGCAUGAAGCAAUUUGGGUGAAGGAGUUCAUCACCGACCUAGGAGUCAUACCCAAUGCGUCGGGGGCGAUCAAACUCUUCUGUGACAAUAGUGGAGCUAUUUCCCUUGCCAAGGAGCCCAGGUUUCACAAGAAGACCAGGCACAUCAAGCAUCGCUUCAACUCCAUCCGUGAAAAUGUUCAAGAUGGAGACAUAGAUAUUUGCAAAGUACAUACGGAUCCGAAUGUCGCAGAUCCAUUGACUAAACCUCUCUCGCGAGCAAAACAUGAUCAACACCAGAACUCUAUGGGUGUUCGAUUCAUCACAAUGUAACUAGAUUAUUGACUCUAGUGCAAGUGGGAGACUGUUGGAAAUAUGCCCUAGAGGCAAUAAUAAAUGGAUUAUUAUUAUAUUUCCUUGUUCAUGAUAAUUGUCUUUUAUUCAUGCUAUAAUUGUAUUAUCUGGAAAUUGUAAUACACGUGUGAAUACAUAGACCACAAUACGUCCCUAGUAAGCCUCUAGUUGACUAGCUUGUUGGUCAACAGAUAGUCAUGGUUUCCUGACUAUGGACAUUAGAUGUCGUUGACAACGGGAUCACAUCAUUAGGAGAAUGAUGUGAUGGACAAGACCCAUUCCUAAGCAUAGCACAAGAUCGUGUAGUUCGUUUUGCUAGAGCUUUUCCAAUGUCAAGUAUCUCUUCCUUAGACCAUGAGAUCGUGUAACUCCCGGAUACCGUAGGAGUGCUUUGGUUGUACCAAACGUCACAACAUAACUGGGUGACUAUAAAGGUGCACUACAGGUAUCUCCGAAAGUGUCUGUUGGGUUGACACGAAUCGAGACUGGGAUUUGUCACUCCGUAUGACGGAGAGGUAUCACUGGGCCCACUCAGUAGUGCAUCAUCAUAAUGAGCUCAAAGUGACCAAGUGUCUGGUCAUGGGAUCAUGCAUUACGGUACGAGUAAAGUGACUUGCCGGUAACGAGACUGAACGAGGUAUUGGGAUACCAACGAUCGAGUCUCGGGCAAGUAACAUACCGUCUAACAAAGGGAAUAGUAUACGGGGUUGCUUGAACCCUCGACAUCGUGGUUCAUCCGAUGAGAUCAUCGAGGAGUAUGUGGGAGCCAACAUGGGUAUCCAGAUCCCGCUGUUGGUUAUUGACCGGAGAGCUGUCUCGGUCAUGUCUGCAUGUCUCCCGAACCCGUAGGGUCUACACACUUAAGGUUCGGUGACGCUAGGGUUGUAUGAAUAUGAGUAUGCAGCAAACUGAAUGUUGUUCGAAGUCCCAGAUGAGAUCCCGGACGUCACGAGGAGUUCCGGAAUGGUCCGGAGGUAAAGAAAACUAUAUAGGAAGUGCUGUUUCGGCCAUCGGGAAAGUUUCGGGGUCACCCGAUAUUGUACCGGGACCACCGGAAGGGUCCCGGGGGUCCACCGGGUGGGGCCACCUAUCCCGGAGGGCCCCGUGGGCUGAAGUGGGAGGGGAACCAGCCCCUAGUGGGCUGGUGCGCCCCCUUUGGGCCCCCUGCGCCUAGGGUUGGAAACCCUACGUGGGGGGGGGGCACACCACUUGCCUUGGGGGGCACUCCACCCCCCUUGGCCGCCGCCCCCCUUGGGAGAUUGAUCUCCCAGGGCCGACGCCCCCCCUGGGGGCCUAUAUAAAGGAGGGCAGGGGGGAGGGCAGCCGCACCCAAGUCUUGGUGCCUCCCUCCCCCUGCUACACCUCGUCCUCCUCCCGUAACAGCUUGGCGAAGCCCUGUCGGAGUUCUGCUGCAUCCACCACCACGCCAUCGUGCUGCUGGAUCGUCAUCAACCUCUCCUUCCCCCUUGCUGGAUCAAGACAAAGGAGACGUCACGCUGACCGUACGUGUGUUGAACGCGAAGGUGCCGUCCGUUCGGCGCUAGGAUCUCCGGUGAUAGGAUCACGACGAGAACGACUACUUCAACCCCGUUCUUUUGAACGCUUCCGCUCGCGAUCUACAAAGUAGUAUGUAGAUGCAUCUCCCCUUUCACUCGUUGCUUAGAUGAACUCAUAGAUGGAUCUUGGUGAAACCGUAGGAAAAUUUUUAUUUUCUGCAACGUUCCCCAACAGAAUUAAUAUAAUAACUAGUUUAUUUUUAGUAAAUAUAAUGCUUAGUUGAACUAGUUGAAUUAAUAUAUAGAACUAGUUUAUUUUUAGUAAAUUUUUAGUUGAACUAGUUGAAUUAAUAUAUAGAACUAGUUUAUUUUUCGUAAAUGCUUAGUUGAACUUGUUGAAUUAAUAUAUAGAACUAGUUUAUUUUUAGUAAGUAAAUGCUUAGUUGAACUAGUUGAAUUAAUAUAUAGAACUACUUUAUUUUAGUAAGUAAAUGCUUAGUUGAACUAGUUGAAUUAAUAUAUAGAACUACUUUAUUUUAGUGUAUGUUUAGUUUGAACUAGUUGAAUUAAUAUAACUAGUUUAUUUUUAGCACAUGUUUAGUUGAACUAGUUGAAUUAAUAUAUAUAGAGAACUAGUUUAUUUUUAGUAAAUGUUUAGUUGAAUAAUAAUACGGUGAAACAUUUAUACAAAACACCUAUCCCGAGCACACGCAAGGGAACCGUAGACAGGCAAGUGAAAUCCAAUCCACGAAAUAAUUUGAUCCAUGGACGGCACCGUUGUGGUAAAGGUCGUAAUUCCAGAGGAAUCAUUACUAUAUAGAACUACUUUAUGUUAGUAUAUGCUUAGUUUGAACUAGUUGAAUUAAUAUAACUAGUUUAUUUUUAGUAAAUGUUUAGUUGAACUAGUUGAAUUAAUAUAUAGAACUAGUUUAUUUUUAGUAUANNNNNNNNNNNNNNNNNNNNNNNNNNNNNNNNNNNNNNNNNNNNNNNNNNNNNNNNNNNNNNNNNNNNNNNNNNNNNNNNNNNNNNNNNNNNNNNNNNNNNNNNNNNNNNNNNNNNNNNNNNNNNNNNNNNNNNNNNNNNNNNNNNNNNNNNNNNNNNNNNNNNNNNNNNNNNNNNNNNNNNNNNNNNNNNNNNNNNNNNAUGCUUAGUUGAACUAGUUGAAUUAAUAUAUAGAACUAGUUUAUUUUUAGUAUAUGCUUAGUUUGAACUAGUUGAAUUAAUAUAACUAGUUUAUUUUUAGUAAAUGUUUAGUUGAACUAGUUGAAUUAAUAUAUAUAUAUAGAACUAGUUUAUUUUUAGUAAAUGCUUUAAACUAAUUGAAUUAAUAUAACUAGUUUAUUUUAGUAAAUGCUUAGUUGAAUUACUAGAAGUAGUUGAAUUAAUUGAAUUAGUAAGUGAUUAAUGUUUCGCCUAAUAUGAACAUAGNNNNNNNNNNNNNNNNNNNNNNNNNNNNNNNNNNNNNNNNNNNNNNNNNNNNNNNNNNNUUUAUUUUUAGUAUAUGCUUAGUUCGAACUAGUUGAAUUAAUAUAUAGAACUAGUUUAUUUUUAGUAAAUGUUUAGUUGAACUAGUUGAAUUAAUAUAUAUAUAUAGAACUAGUUUAUUUUUAUAAAUGCUUUAAACUAAUUUAAUUUAUAUAACUAGUUUAUUUUAGUAAAUGCUUAGUUGAAUUACUAGAAGUAGUUGAAUUAGUUGAAUUAGUAAGUGAUUAAUGUUUUGCCUAAUAUGAGCAUAGGAAAUGUCGUCUGACGACGGAAAAAAUUUCAUUAUGUGCGAUUACUGUGAAGACCAGCGUGGCCAGUGCGACCGAAAUUUCCUUGUUGAAUGCAAAACUUGGCAAGCACUAUGCAAGGCUUAUGCAUUUGAGCCUGGUAUGGUUAUCACCUUUGAUAUUCGUCCGGAAGAUGAUAUUGAAGGUAAUAGAGACAUAUGGGUCGAUGUGCAGACGCCUCCAGUUCUACCAUUAUGUGAGUUCUUCUCAACUAUAUUUUUGUCUUUGAUAUUGCUUAUUAAAAAAUAAAUGACAACUAAUUUCUAUUGACAGCUUAUCUCCAUUCAACCAAACAUGUUCUGCGCUUGGUAGACAGGACCUGCUACUGUCCCGGAGCUGAACUAAACUGCGAGGAGAUAAGUCAUUAUGUUUCAUGGCUUGAGGAUCUUCAUACUGUCAAGACAAAUUUUCUUCCUGCACUUAGAAAUGUUAGUACUCAAAACGUGCGACCAAUAAUGAUGGUAUUGAACUACGGUCACAUCUAUUUAGGAAUGAUGGUAAGAUAUUUACUAUUUGUCGUCAGUGCAUAUUUUGCAUACAUAAUUUUUUUUGCUAAACUUUCAUUUCUAAGUAUAUUAAUUAAGUACUAUACAAUGUUCUUCAACAGGGACUCCCAAUGACAGUUGUGCCUCAGGGGAUCGAGACUAAAGGUCAGAUGUCAAUUGUUAGCUUACGGCCAAGAUAUCCUGCAUUGCACAUGAAUGCAUUCAGGAUUUCUAGAAGCGAUGAAUGCUUAAUAGUGAAAGAUUGGAGGAAAAUUGUUAAUGAUCACAGAGAAGUACUAGGGGACAGCAAUGAGAAGCGCAGCCCACGAUUAGGAGACAGGUUCAUCGGCAUGCUCCAGUAUGAUCAAUCAGGAGAGCUAUACAUGUUCUAUGCUAUUUACCAGAGAGAGAGAGAGUAGCUAGCAGGAGUGAUUUAGCUAGUUCUUCAUGCUGCUCUUCAUUAGUACUUGUCCUUUCAUGUCCGUGUUCUUGGUUCUGAACUUAAGUGAUUUGCUUUUAUGGUGUUAUAUAUAUAUGAACGCUUAUAAUAUCAUGACAAUCAUGUUGAACUCGAUCGAUAAUAUUUUUGCUUCUGGUACAAGUGAAUGUUUCUUCUUUAAGCUAGUAGUGCUGGUGGUGAUUAGAUAGCUAGUUAAUUAUUAUAUCAUUUAAUGAAAGAAACCACAGAUUAGUUAAUUAUUAUAUCAUUUAAUGAAAGAAAUCACUAAAUUAAAUUGAAAACACAAAAUUAAAUAAAAAUAAAAAAACACCCAAACAUUUAGUACCGGUUGGUGUUACCAACCGGUACUAAUGCCCUCCACGCAAACGGGCCUGGCUCGUGCCACGUGGUGGCACUUUAGCGCCGGUUCGUGACGAACCAGUACUAAAGGCCAGGGACCUUUAGUCCCCACUCUUUAGUGCCGGUUGGCGAACCGGCACUAAAGCCCGUUACGAACCGGCACUAAAGGCCGGUUCUGCACUAGUGUUGGCAGAAUGCUUAGCCAGUACAGUGGGCCUUCCCGGUUCUUUAAAGCCGGUGGCAGUGAUCACCACGUCUUCAUCAUGAGCAUUAGCCGUCUUUAGUGGACUAGAGACGUCAAGGUUUACAGGUUCAUCAAUGACUCGCUCCACAGGGGGGUCAGAAGCUGCUGGCGGGUCUUCGUGAACCGGCUUGGAGGAUUGAGGAAUGGAGAUUUCAGGCUCUGAGAUCUGUUGCUCGGGCUCAUUGACCUUGGGAUCCUCAGCCGACUUGUUUUUCUUUGCUCUUUUGCUGGGCUUGGCUUUUCCGCUGCAUGAGUUACGAAGUUAGUAUAAACAUAACAAGAUCAGAAUGAGUAAAUGAUAAGUAAGUUGUCAUUACCCAGGAGCGGUCUUGAAAGCCGGCAUGUUGGAUUGAAUUGAAUCACCGGAAGAGGAAUGAUAUGUAUCCUGAUAAUUUGAGUUGAAAGAGUUGAGCGGUUGACGAGUAAGACCCGCCAAAGGAUAAAAAAGAGUUUAAGUCGGGGGUGACCUCGACGCUUCCUUGACGUGUUUGGUAAGCCAGAGGAGAGUUCUGCAUCCUUGCUUGUCCGAGUCUGCCGCCGGCUCUCGUGCUGCUGUUGCUUCAAAAUAAAGUGAGGAUCCAGAUGAGCUAAGGGGUGUGAAAAUCUUACUUUCCGGGUUACUCUUUGGAUUCUUUGUCUUGGUAAAGGCUCGGUGUCGGAGGAAAUAAUAGUUACCUCUUCUUCCACUCCAUGACUCGUUCCCGGGUCAUCCUGAUGAUAGUCAGUGUCAAUAAGAUGGUUAAAAAAGGAGCUAGGAGAGUCAAGGGCUACCUUCGACUCAGAGGUGUCGUCCAAUGCAAGCAGCUGAGAGGUGCUGGGUUUCUUUCCCCUCUUUUUGGUGGCUUUCCUGGCCUUCCUAGAUCUUUUUGCAACCUCAUGAUCAUAUUAUUUCUUCCAAAAUUUGUCGUCAGCCUGAAAAAGUCAUCAAAAGUGAAUUAGAAUAAAUUGACAAAGAUGAAGGAAAAUAAACUAAGGUUGGCGGUUACCACUGGUGUCGGGUUAGACUUGCAGAAAGGGCUCAGGCCUACCUUGCUACAGUCUAGUAGGCUCUCAUUCAGAAGAGAUUUUGUCAUCUCAUUGAUGACAUUGACAGGUAAGUCCUCAGAACUAUGGCGCAGUGGAUCAUUCUUCUCACCCAUAUAAGUAUACAUUAAUCCGGAGCAGCGGCUCAAGGGGAUGACCCGCCAUGCAACCCAACACUAGACCAAAUCAAUGCCAUUUAAGCCGUUGCCUAACAGAGCCUUGACUUUGGCAAUGGUAGGGGCGAGCUUCUGGCGUUCUGCAGCUAUCAACUUGUCGGGGAGAGGAUGAUUCGAUUAAGACACAGAGCGCGAAAGCUGGGCAGAGGGUUCUCAUCAGCUAAAGAAAUUUCUUGGCAGUAGAACCAUGUCUGGUUCGAGUCUUUGGGAUGACUUGGCUGCUGCGCAUAAGGAAAAAUGGCGUCUCUCCUCCGUUGGAUUGAAACCCCGCCAAGUCCCAAGCUAGGUCUAUUGGAGUAUUCAUUCUGGCGGUUCAAGUAAAAGUACUCUCUGAAUAAUUCCACAGUGGGCUCCUCUUGAAGGUAGACUUCACAGAACACUUGGAAAUUGCAUAUGUUAGACACGGAGUUGGGUCCGAUGUCUUGAGGGUGGAGAUCAAAAAAGCUCAGAACAUCCCUCAAGAACUUAGAGACGGGCGGUGAAAAGCCCCGGUUCAUGUGAUCAGUGAAGACGAUAACUUCCCCUUCUUCAGGCUGAGGUUUUUCCUCCGUCGGUUUAGUGGGGCGGUAAGACAUGACAUCCUUUUUGGGCAGAUAGCCGGUUUUCACAAAAUAUUCAAGUGUACUCUCCGUGACGAUGGAGCGAAUUCAAUAACAGGAAGUGGUUGUUUUGGGCGGUAUUGUGAACAAGGAAGCCUAAAAAAAGAACAAAUUUGCCGGUUCAAAUUUAAGCCGGAGGGAAAAGUAUUACAACACAUAUUCAGAAUGGCUGCUUACAAAGGGGACUAUUGGUAUAUGACUAAUUAUGUCAGGUUGUCUAAGCCGCAAUGAGCAGUUUGAUGUUAUCUACUGAGCAUUGCAGUUAAAGCCGGUGGUAUGAGCCACCAUGACUAGGUGGAUCUAUCUAGGUGUAGUUUUUGCUAAGUACGACACAAACGGAUUUCACAUAUUGCAAGUAUUAUUUAAGAGCAGCGGCAGUUCAGAAAAAAGAAAAUAAUUCAAGACCUAAAAAGCCAGUACAGGGAGUUCAUAAGCUCUAAUGAUAUCUCUUUCCAAAGAAAGGGGGUCCGCUGGUAUUGAAGGUGAAGGCAAAACAACUACCGCAUAAGUUCUAUACUAUUUUUAGAUCAAAGGAUGCUACGGUGAAGGAACUAUGAAGAAACCACAAAGAACACGAUGAACAGUCGGAACCCUAAUGCGAUCUGAUGCGCUGGAGGAGAGGCACUUACAGGUGCAGAUUCGACCGCUGUGGGGCGCCGGCGUACUCUGAUCCAACACAGGUUGACGCAGCGGCCAGGGCUGAGGAGGACGAGGUGCUCUGCAGCGGCGGCGGAGCUCGGGCAGCAGAGGGUCGCGAGAGGAAGAAGACGAUGGAAAAGGGGAGAAUGAGAAGAAGACUGGUCGUGGCUAUUUAUAAGGAAAAGCCAAUAAGUGGGCGCGAAAAAGGAGGAGACCAAAAAGUGGUUAUCCAGCUGCCCAGGCGCCUCGAUUUUUGGAAUGGUUAUUAAGAUAAAGAUCCGUUGAGAUAUGUUGGGUAAAAAAUGAAUCGAUUAAUGGCAGGUGACAUCAUGGUGGGUUAUCACAAGUCGAGAAGAUGACAUCAUGGCGGGUUAUCAACUGUCGCACAAAGGAAGAAAAGAAGAUUCUUUCUAAGUGUUGAAGAUGGACAUGAACCAGUUCAAAUCAAUCUGGGGCCUAAUGUUGGGGAUAUAACUAUUAGGUAUGACCCGCCCUGGAGGGGCCGGGUUAUACCUAUGGCGAUUCAUCAUCAUGAAGCCCACGAAGACGUUCUGAAGAUGACGGUUUAGUUAAAGGGCCCAAGAGUUGGGGAACAUUGCAGAAAAUAAAAAAAUUCUACGCUUCACCAAGAUCAAUCUAUGGAGUCAUCUAGCAACGAGAGAGAGGAGUGCAUCUACAUACCGUUGUAGAUCGCGAGCGGAAGUGUUCAAGAGAACAGGGUUGAGGGAGUCGUACUCGUUGUGAUCCAAAUCACCGAAGAUCCAAGUGCCGAACGGACGGCACCUCCGCGUUCAACACACGUACGGUUGGGGAAGACGUCUCCUCCUUCUUGAUCCAGCAAGGGGAAGGAGAGGUUUAUGGAGAUCCAGCAGCACAACGACGUGGUGGUGGAAGUAGCGGCGAUCUCGGCAGGGCUUCGCCAAGCUCAGCGAGAGGGAGAGGUGGUACGGGGGGAGAGGGAGGCGCCAGGGACUAAGGUGCAGCUGCCCUCCCUCCCCCCUCUUUAUAUAGGGGCCCUGGGGGGGUGCCAGCCCCCUAGAGAUCUAAUCUCAAGGGGGGGGGCAAGGGGGGACUUGCCCCCCAAGUCAAGUGGGGCGCCCCCCACCCCUAGGGUUUCCAACCCUAGGCGCAGGGGGAGGCCCAAGGGGGGCGCACCAGCCCACCAGGGGCUGGUUCCCUUCCCACUUCAGCCCAUGUGGCCCUCCGGGAUGGGUGGCCCCACCCGGUGGACCUCCGGGACCCUUCCGAUGGUCCCGGCAAUACCGGUGACCCCCUAAACUUUCCCGGUGGCCGAAACUGGACUUCCUAUAUAUAGUUCUUCACCUCCGGACCAUUUCGGAACUCGUUGUGACAUCCGGGAUCUCAUCCGGGACUCCGAAAAACUUUCGGGUUACCGCAUACUAAUAUCUCUACAACCCUAGCGUCACCGAACCUUAAGUGUGUAGACCCUACGGGUUCGGGAAUCACGCAGACAUGACCGAGACAGUUCUCCGGCCAAUAACCAACAGCGGGAUCUGGAUACCCAUGUUGGCUCCCACAUGUUUCACGAUGAUCUCAUCGAAUGAACCACGAUGUCGAGGAUUCAAGUAAUCCCGUAUACAUUCCCUUUGUCAAUCGGUACGUUACUUGCCCGAGAUUCGAUCGUUGGUAUCCCAAUACCUCGUUCAAUCUCAUUACCGGCAAGUCACUUUACUCGUACCGUAAUGCAUGAUCCCGUGACCAACCACUUGGUCACAUUGAGCUCAUUAUGAUGAUGCAUUACCGAGUGGGCCCAGAGAUACCUCUCCGUCAUACGGAGUGACAAAUCCCAGUCUUGAUCCGUGUCAACCCAACAGACACUUCCGGAGAUACCUAUAGUAUACCUUUAUAGCCACCCAUUUAAGUUGUGACGUUUGGUACACCCAAAGCACUCCUACGGUAUCUGGGAGUUACACGAUCUCAUGGUCUAAGGAAAUGAUACUUGACAUUGGAAAAGCUCUAGCAAACGAACUACACGAUCUUGUGCUAUGCUUAGGAUUGGGUCUUGUCCAUCACAUCAUUCUCCUAAUGAUGUGAUCCCGUUAUCAAUGACAUCCAAUGUCCAUAGUCAGGAAACCAUGACUAUCCAUUGAUCAACGAGCUAGUCAACUAGAGGCUUACUAGGGACAUGUUGUGGUCUAUGUAUUCACACAUGUAUUACGAUUUCCGGAUAACACAACUAUAGCAUGAAUAACAGACAAUUAUCAUGAACAAGGAAAUAUAAUAAUAAUCAUUUUAUUAUUGCCUCUAGGGUAUAUUUCCAACAGUCUCCCACUUGCACUAGAGUCAGUAAUCUAGUUACAUUGUGAUGAAUCGAACACCCAUAGAGUUCUGGUGUUGAUCAUGUUUUGCUCGCGGAAGAGGUUUAGUCAAUGGAUCUGCGACAUUCAGAUCCAUAUGCACUUUGCAAAUAUGUCUGUCUCCAUCUUGAACAUUUUCACGAAUGGAGUUGAAGCGAUGCUUGAUGUGCCUGGUCUUCUUGUGAAACCUGGGCUCCUUGGCAAGGGCAAUAGCUCUAGUGUUGUCAUAGAAGAGAGUGAUCGGCCCCGACGCAUUGGGUAUGACUCCUAGGUCGGUGAUGAACUCCUUCAUCUAUAUUGCUUCAUGCGCUGCCUCCGAGGCUGCCAUGUACUCCGCUUCACAUGUAGAUCCCGCCACGACGCUUUGCUUGCAACUACACCAGCUUACUGCCCCACCAUUCAAAAUAUACACAUAUCCGGUUUGUGACUUAGAGCCAUCCAGAUCUGUGUCAAAGCUAGCGUCGACGUAACCCUUUACGAUGAGCUCUUCGUCACCUCCAUAAACGAGAAACAUAUCCUUAGUCCUUUUUAGGCACUUCAGGAUAUUCUUCACCGCUGUCCAAUGUUCCAUGCCGGGAUUACUCUGGUACCUUCCGACCAAACUUACGGCAAGGUUUACAUCAGGUCUGGUACACAGCAUGGCAUACAUAAUAGACCCUAUAGCCGAGGCAUAGGGGAUGACACUUAUCUUUUCUCUAUCUUCUGUCGUGGUCGGGCAUUGAGCCGAGCUCAAUUUCACACCUUGCAACACAGGCAAGAACCCCUUCUUGGGCUGAUCCAUAUUGAACUUCUUCAAUAUCUUAUCAAGGUAUGUGCUUUGUGAAAGACCUAUGAGGCAUAUCGAUCUAUCCCUAUAGAUCUUGAUGCCUAAUAUGUAAGCAACUUCUCCAAGGUCCUUCAUUGAAAAACACUUAUUUAAGUAGGCCUUAAUGUUUUCCAAAAGUUCUAUAUCAUUUCCCAUAAAAAUUAUGUCAUCUACAUAUAAUAUGAGAAAUGCUACGGAGCUCCCACUCACUUUCUUGUAAACGCAGGCUUCUCCAUAAGUCUGCAUAAACCCAAACGCUUUGAUCAUCUCAUCAAAGCGAACGUUCCAACUCCGAGAUGCUUGCACCAGCCCAUAAAUGGAUCACUGGAGCUUGCAUACCUUGUUAGCAUUAUUAGGAUCGACAAAACCUUCCGGCUGCAUCAUAUAUAGUUCUUCCUUAAGAUAGCCGUUAAGGAAUGCCGUUUUGACGUCCAUUUGCCAUAUCUCAUAAUCAUAGUAUGUGGCAAUUGCUAACAUGAUCCGGACGGACUUUAGCUUCGCUACGGGAGAGAAAGUCUCAUUGUAGUCAACCCCUUGAACUUCCCGAUAACCCUUAGCAACAAGUCGAGCUUUAUAGAUGUUAACAUUACCAUCUGCGUCCGUCUUCUUCUUAAAGAUCCAUUUGUUUUCUAUCGCUCGCCGAUCAUCGGGCAAGUCUGUCAAAGUCCACACUUUGUUUUCAUACAUGGAUCCUAUCUCGGAUUGCAUGGCUUCAGGCCAUUUGUUGGAAUCUGGGCCCGCCAUCGCUUCUUCAUAGUUCGAAGGUUCACCGUUGUCUAACAACAUAAUUUCUAGGACAGGGUUGCCAUACCAUUCUGGUGUGGAACGUGUCCUUGUGGACCUACGAAGUUCAGUAGCAACUUGAUCCGAAGUACCUUGAUCAUCAUCAUUAACUUCCUCUCUAGUCGGUGCAGGCACCAUAGGAACAUCUUCCUAAGCUGCGCUACUUUCCGGUUCAAGAGGCAGUACUUCAUCGAGUUCUACUUUCCUCCCACUUAUUUCUUUCGAGAGAAACUCUUUCUCCAGAAAGGACCCAUUCUUGGCAACAAAGAUCUUGCCUUCAGAUCUGAGGUAGAAGGUAUACCCAAUGGUUUCCUUAGGGUAUCCUAUGAAGACGCAUUUUUUCGACUUGGGUUCGAGCUUUUCAGGUUGAAGUUUCUUGACAUAAGCAUCGCAUUCCCAAACUUUUAGAAACGACAGCUUAGGUUUCUUGCCAAACCAUAAUUCAUACGGUGUCGUCUCAACGGAUUUAGACAGUGCCCUAUUUAAAGCGAAUGUAGCUGUCUCUAGAGUGUAUCCCCAAAAUGAUAGCGGUAAAUCGGUGAGCGACAUCCUAGAUCGCACCAUAUCCAAUAGAGUGCGAUUAUGACGUUCGAACACACCGUUACGCUGAGGUGUUCCAGGCGGCAUGAGUUGUGAAACGAUUCCACAUUUCCUUAAGUGUGUACCAAAUUCGUGACUCAAAUAUUCUCCUCCACGAUCUGAGUCGUAAGAACUUUCUUUUUCGGUCACAUUGAUUCUCUACCUCAUUCUGAAAUUCCUUGAACUUUUCAAAGGUCUUAGACUUGUGUUUCAUCAAGUAGACAUACCCAUAUCUACUUAAGUCAUCAGUGAGAGUGAGAACAUAACGAUAGCCACCGCGAGCCUCAAUGCUCAUUGGACCACACACAUCAGUAUGUAUAAUUUCCAAUAAGUUGGUUGCUCGCUCCAUUGUUCCGGAGAACGGAGUCUUGGUCAUUUUACCCAUGAGGCAUGGUUCGCACGUGUCAAAUGAUUCGAAAUCAAGAGACUCCAAAAGUCCAUCUGUAUGGAGCUUCUUCAUGCGUUUGACACCAAUGUGACCAAGGCGGCAGUGCCACAGAUAUGUGGGACUAUCAUUAUCAAUCUUACAUAUUUUGGUAUUCACACUAUGAAUAUGUGUAACAUCACGUUCGAGAUUCAUUAAGAAUAAACCAUUGACCAGCGGGGCAUGACCAUAAGACAUGUCUCUCAUAUAAAUAGAACCAUUAUUCUCGGAUUUAAAUGAGUAGCCAUCUCGUAUUAAACGAGAUCCAGAUACAAUGUUCAUGCUCAAAGCUGGCACUAAAUAACAAUUAUUGAGGUUUAAAACUAAUCCCGUAGGUAAAUGUAGAGGUAGCGUGCCGACGGCGAUCACAUCGACCUUGGAACCAUUCCCGAUGUGCAUCGUUACCUCGUCCUUCGCUAGUCUCCGUUUAUUCCGCAGCUCCUGUUUUGAGUUACAAAUAUGAGCAACCGCACCGGUAUCAAAUACCCAGGAGCUACUACGAGUACUGGUAAGGUACACAUCAAUUACAUGUAUAUCACAUAUACCUUUAGUGUUGCCGGCCUUCUUGGACGCUAAGUACUUGGGGUUGUUCCGCUUCCAGUGACCGUUCCCUUUGCAAUAAAAACACUCAGUCUCAGGUUUGGGUACGUGCUUUGGCUUCUUCCCGGCAACUGGUUUACCGGGCGCGGCAACUCCCUUGCCAUCCUUCUUGAAGUUCUUCUUACCCUUGCCUUUCUUGAAACUAGUGGUUUUAUUGACCAUCAACACUUGAUGUUCCUUUUUGAUUUCCACCUCCACUGAUUUCAGCAUUGAAAAUACUUCAGGAAUAGUUUUCACCAUCCCCUGCAUAUUGUAGUUCAUCACAAAGCUCUUGUAGCUAGGUGGGAGCGACUGAAGGAUUCUGUCAAUGACCGCCUUAUCCGGGAGGUUGAUGUCCAACUGGGACAAGCGGUUGUGCAACCCAGACAUUUUGAGUAUGUGCGACAGAACUAUUUUCCUCCAUCUUACAACUGUAGAACUUGUUGGAGACUUCAUAUCUCUCGACCCGGGCAUGAGCUUGGAAAACCAUUUUCAGCUCUUGGAACAUCUCAUAUGCUCCGCCUUUCUCAAAAUGCUUUUGGAGCCCCGGUUCUAAGCUGUAAAGCAUGCCGCACUGAACGAGGGAGUAAUCAUCAACACGCGACUGCCAAGCGUUCAUAACGUCUUGGUUCGCUGGGACGGGUGCUUCACCUAGCGGUGCUUCUAGGACAUAUGCUUUCUUGGCAGCUAUGAGGAUGCUCCUCAGGUCCCGGACCCAGUCCGUAUAGUUGCUGCCAUCAUCUUUCAGCUUGGUUUUCUCUAGGAACGCGUUGAAGUUGAGGUUGACAUGAGCGUGGGCCAUUUGAUCUACAAUACAUUUUGCAAAGGUUUUUAGACUAAGUUCAUGAUAAUUAAGUUCAUCUAAUCACAUUAUUUAAUGAACUCCCACUCUGAUUAGACAUCCCUCUAGUCAUCUAAGUGAUACAUGAUCCGAGUCAACUAGGCCGUGUCCGAUCUUCACGUGAGAUGGACUGGUCAUCAUAGGUGAACAUCUCCAUGUUGAUCGUAUCUUCUAUACGACUCAUGUUCGACCUUUCGGUCUCUUGUGUUCCGAGGCCAUGUCUGUACAUGCUAGGCUCAUCAAGUCAACCUAAGUGUUUAUGCAUGUGUAGAUCUAUCUUACACCCAUUGUAUGUGAACGUUAGAAUCUAUCACACCCGAUCAUCGUGUGGUGCUUCAAAACAACGAGCUUUCGCAAUGGCGCACAAUUAGGGGGAACACUUUCUUGAAAUUAUUAUUAGGGAUUGAUACGGCUCCGUCGUAUCUACUUUUCCAAACACUUUUGCCCUUGUUUUGGACUCUAACUUGUAUGAUUUGAAUGGAACUAACCCAGCCUGACGCUGUUUUCAGCAGAAUUGCCAUGAUGUUGUUUUAUGUGCAGAAAACAAAAGUUCUCGGAAUGACCUGAAACUCCACGGAAUAUCUUAGAAUAAAUAAAUAAAAAUCCUCGCCCAAGAUGAAGACCAGGGGGCCCACACCCUGUCCACGAGGGUGGGGGCGCGCCCCCUACCUCGUGGGCCCCCUGGAUGCCCUCCGACGCCAACUCCAACUCCAUAUAUUGGCUUUCGGGGAGAAAAAAAUCAGAGAGAAAGUUUCAUUGCGUUUUAUGAUACGGAGCCGCCGCCAAGCCCUAAUCUCUCUCGGGAAGGCUGAUCUGGAGUUCGUUCGGGGCUACGGAGAGGGGGAUUCAUCGCCGUCGUCAUCAUCAACCAUCCUCCAUCACCAAUUUCAUGAUGCUCACCGCCGUGCGUGAGUAAUUCCAUCGUAGGCUUGCUGGACGGUGAUGGGUUAGAUGAGAUUUAUCAUGUAAUCGAUUUAGUUUUGUUAGGGUUUGAUCCAUAGUAUCCAUUAUGUUCUGAGAUUGAUGUUGCUAUGACUUUGCUAUGCUUAAUGCUUGUCACUAGGGCCCGAGUGCCAUGAUUUCAGAUCUGAACCUAUUAUGUUUUCAUGAAUAUAUGUGUGUUCUUGAUCCUAUCUUGCAAGUCUAUAGUCAUCUACUAUGUGUUAUGAUCCGGCAACCCUGAAGUGACAAUAAUCGGGACCACUCCCGGUGAUGACCAUAGUUUGAGGAGUUCAUGUAUUCACUAUGUGCUAGUGCUUUGUUCCAGUUCUCUAUUAAAAGGAGGCCUUAAUAUCCUUUAGUUUCCAAUAGGACCCCUCUGCCACGGGAGGGUAGGACAAAAGAUGUCAUGCAAGUUGUUUUCCAUAAGCACGUAUGACUAUUUACGGAAUACAUGCCUACAUUACAUUGAUGAACUGGAGCUAGUUCUGUGUCACCGUAUGUUAUGACUGUUACAUGAUGAACCACAUCCGGCAUAAUUAUCUAUCACUGAUCCGGUGCCUACGAGUUUUCCAUAUACUGGUUUACGCUUAUUUACUUUUCCGUUGCUGCUGUUACAAUCACUACAAAAAUACCAAAAACAUUACUUUUGCUGCCUUUACUUUUGUUACCGUUACCACCACUAUCAUAUUACUUUGCUACUAAACACUUUGUCGCAGAUACUAAGUUUCCAGGUGUGGUUGAAUUGACAACUCAGCUGCUAAUACUUGAGAAUAUUCUUUGGCUCCCCUUGUGUUGAAUCAAUAAAUUUGGGUUGAAUACUCUACCCUCGAAAACUGUUGCGAUCCCCUAUACUUGUGGGUUAUCAAGACCUUUUUCUGGCGCCUUGUCGGGGAGCAUAGCUCUAUUCUUUGAGUCACUUGGGAUUUAUAUCUGCUGGACACUAUGAAGAACUUGAAAGACGCUAAGACAACUAUUUAUCCCUCAACUAUGAGGGGAGGUAAGGAACUGCCAUCUUGCUCUGCACUUGAUUCACCUUCUGUUAUAAACAAGCUAGCGACACCUAAACCUGCUUCUGUUAUUCGUUCCAAUAUGUCGCAUGUUAUUGAUGAUGCCACUUCUGCUAUGCAUGAUACUUAUGAUGAAACUACUUCUAUGCAUGAUACUACUGUGCCUCUUGGUGAAUUUCUAGAUGAACAAAUUUCUAAGUCAAGAGAAAGAGAAAUUAUUGAAACUGAACACAAUGAUGUUAGUGAUGAUGAAAAUAGGCCUGCUAUUCCUGAGGGUUACCUUUUUAAUGCUGAAUCUACUGAAGCUAUUCUUGCUUGCCAGGAUAGUCUUGAACGUAAUAGGUUGCUAGUUAAAUGGAGUAAAGAAUCUUUUAGAGGUAGGAUGAGACCCGACCCUGCUUUUUCUACUUCACCUAUCUGUGUUCCUGAUCAGGAUUAUUAUGAUUUUUCUGUUGAUCCAGAUAUAAUUACUUUGGUUGAAUCUGAUCCUUUUUAUGGCUAUGAAUCUAAAACUGUUGUGGCACAUCUUCGUAAGUUAGAUGAUAUAGCUGCCCUGUUUACUAAUAAUGAGAGAUCGCGCUACCUUUAUUUUCUCAAAAUAUUUCCGUUUUCAUUAAAGGGUGAUGCUAAGAUAUGGUUUAAUUCUCUUGAUCCUGGUUGUGUGCAAAGUCCCCAGGAUAUGGUUUAUUACUUCUCUGCUAAAUAUUUCCCUGCUCAUAAGGAACAAGCUACUUUGAGGGAUAUAUAUAAUUUUGUGCAAAUUGAAGAAGGGAGUCUCCCACAAGCUUGGGGGAGGCUUCUCAAGUUACUUAAUGCUUUGCCUGAUCAUCCUCUUAAGAAACCUGAAAUACUUGAUAUCUUUUAUAAUGGACUAACUGAUGCUUCGAGAGAUUACCUGGAUAGUUGUGCUGGUUCUCUUUUCAGGGAAAGAACACCUGAUGAAGCUGAAAUUCUAUUGAAUAAUAUGUUGACAAAUGAAAAUAAUUGGGCACCUCCUGAGCCAACUCCCAAGCCAGCUCCUGAGCCAAUUACUGAGCCUAUUCCUAAACCAACUCCGAAGAAGAGAGGUGUUCUAUUUCUCAGUCCCGAAGAUAUGCAAGAGGCAAAGAAAUCUAUGAAAGAAAAAGGUAUUAAAGCUGAAGAUGUUAAGAAUUUACCUCUUAUUGAAGAAAUACAUGGUCUUAAUUCACCGCCUGUUGAAGAAGUAUAUGAUCUCAAUUACUUAUUUACUGAAGAACCUCCCGAUAUCCCGAAUCAGGUAGUAAAGGUAAAUUCUCUCUAUAGAUAUGAUAAAACUGAAGUCCCUCCUACUAAAAUUGCUAGUCAGUGCUUGGAUGAGUUUGAUGACUUUAUGUUUAAGCAAGAUGACUUUAAUGCUUAUUUUGGUAGACAAUUAAAACAAAAUACCUUUAUGAUUAAACGCUUGACUGAUUAUAUGGCUAAUAUUAGAGGUGAACUUAAACUUGUUAGCAAACAUGCUUCUAUGGUUACCACUCAAGUAGAACAAGUACUUAAAGCUCAGAAAGAAGUGCUUAAUGAAAUGAAUAGUAAGAAAAAUGAUUAUGCUAUUAGAGUGGCUACUAGAACCGGUAGAAUGACUCAGGAACCUUUGUAUCCUGAAGGCCACCCUAAGAGAAUCGAGCAAGAUUCUCAGAGAAAUGAUAUUGAUGUACCUAGUUCUUCUAAAAAGAAGAAAAAGAAAAAUGAUAGAACUGUGCAAACUUCUAGUGAACCUAUUGCUGAACCACCAGAUAAUCCAAAUGAUAUCUCUAUGUUUGAUGCUGAAACACAAUCUGGUAAUGAUCAUGAACCUAGUAAAAAUGUUAAUGAUUAUGUUCAUGAUGAUGCUCAACCUAGUAAUGAUAAUGAUGUAGAAGUUGAACCUGCUGUUGAUCUUGAUAACCCACAAUCAAAGAAUCAACUUAUGAUAAAAGAGACUUCGUUGCUAGGAAACAUGGUAAAGAAAGAGAACCAUGGGUUAAGAAACCCAUGCCUUUUCCUCCCAAAUCAUCCAAGAAAAAGGAAGAUGAGGAUUUUGAGCGCUUUGCUAAAAUGAUUAGACCCAUCUUUUUGCGUAUGCAAUUAACUGAUGUGCUCAAGACAAAUCCUUAUGCUAAAUAUAUGAAAUAUAUUGUUACAAAUAAAAGAAAGAUACCGGAAGCUGAAAUUUCCACCAUGCUUGCUAAUUAUACUUUUAAGGGUGGAACACCAAAGAAACUUGGAGAUCCAGGAGUACCUACUAUACCAUGCUCCAUUAAAAGAAAUUAUGUUAAAACUGCUUUAUGUGAUCUUGGAGCCGGUGUUAGUGUUAUGCCUCUCUCUUUAUAUCGUAGACUUGACUUGAAUAAGUUGACACCUACUGAAAUAUCUUUGCAAAUGGUUGAUAAAUCAACUGCUAUACCUAUCGGUAUUUGUGAGGAUGUGCCUAUUGUGGUUGCAAACGUUACUAUUCUAACGGACUUUGUUAUUCUUGAUAUUCCCGAGGAUGAUAGUAUGUAUAUUAUUCUUGGAAGACCUUUCCUUAAUACUGCAGGGGAUAUUAUUGAUUGCAACAAAGGCAAUGUCACUUUUCAUGUUAAUGGCAAUGAACACACGGUACACUUUCCAAGGAAACAAUCUCAAGUUUACAGUAUCAACUCUAUUGAAAAAGUUCCAUCUAUUAUAUUUGGAGGUUUCGAAUUUCCUCUCCCUACUGUCAAGAAAAAGUAUGACAUACUCAUUGUUGGGGAUUUUCAUAUCCCCGUGGAGGUAACUUAGUGAUAUUCAAAAUUUCUCCGGUUCCGUGUUAAUCGGAAUGAGCUCAUUAACAAGACUUGAUCAACCUUGUUAGUGGAUUCAUUUUGAUGAUCACGAGAUGGAUGAAACUAGAAGCACAACCUUCUGUACCCUCUUUAUAUUUUCUGUUAUUUAGUAGAAAUAAAGUAAAAUAGUUUUUUUUCUGUCUGUCUCCCGACUUAUCCGUGCAAUAUAAAAAUAUCCCGAAAAUAUAAGUCCUCAGAAUUCCAUGCCAAUUUAAUAUGAUUUUUUCGGGUUUAUUUAAGAAUUUACUAUGCAAAAAUCACCACGGGGGGAGCUGCCACCUGGCCACGAGGGUGGAGGGCGCGCCCUACCCCCCUGGGCGUGCCCCCCUACCUCGUGGGCCCAUGGUGGCCCUCCUCCACUUAUUCCUGCACCCAUCUUCUUCCUCUGUCUCACACAAACACGAAAAACCAACUCAAGCACGAGUUCCAGCCCCGUUGCUGUGAUUUUCGAUCUCCUUGCUCAAAGCACCUCUCGCAAAACUGCUUGGGGAGAUUGUUCCUUGGUAUGUGACUCCUCCAUUGGUCCAAUUAGUUUUUGUUUAGUGCUUUAUUCAUUGCAAAUUUGUGCUGCAUAGGUGACCAUGUUCUUGAGCUUGCAUGUCAAAUUUAUAUGGUUCCAAGUAGUUCCAAUGCUUUAUAUAGGCUCUAGGCACUUGCAGGAGUUGUUGCUAUCAAUUUAAUUGAAGUUGGUUUACUUUUAUUUGAAGUUACUAAAAAUUUCAGAUUGUUUCAGAAUUAAUGAAGAGAUUUUUGAGGGGCUCAUCGAGCCGAAGCGCUAAGGAAAAACAAAAGGAAGAAGAACAGAAGCCCAAAUUUAAUUUGCCUCGCACCGCGGAGGUCCGGCCGUGUGAAUGGCCUUCCGAUGACUUCUUGAGGAGAGCCGGGAUUUAUGAAGACUUCUAUUUAUUAAUUGAGAAUGCUGGCCUCACCGACUUCCUCCGCGACCAACGUCAUCAGUAUCUCUUACUCACAAAUACUUUUGUGCAAAAUUUCUACUUUUUCCCUAAGAGUUCACCUCCAUCGGUAGAAUUUCAUUUAUAUGACGUUGUUAAGCGGAUGCCAUUAGCUGAAUUUUGCGAGGGUUGCAAAAUACCUUUUGAGGGCACCUUGGAUGAACCACACCGUAAUGAAGUAGAAGCUUUUAUUAGCACUAUCACGGUGGGAGAAACCAGGAAGGUUUCUGAUGCAAGAAUUACUAGCAUACAUUUUCCUGUUUUACGCUACUUUGCCUUAUUUGCUAGUCGUUGCUUGAUGGGUCGCGGGAACUAUGGAAACCUUAGCAUUCCUGAUAUUAUCAUUUUGUUCCAUGGUUUAUACCGCAAUAACUCUGUUAGUAUGGGUGGAAUUGUUGCUAGGCGGUUAAGUCUGAACCGUACUAAAGGCCCCAUCUUUGGAGGUAUUUAUGCCUCACGCCUAGCUGAACAUUUUGAAAUACCUAUUAGGCAUGAGGAGGAAGAGGAAACGUCGCUGCCUCAUGUUUAUUUAGAUUAUAGGAGUAUGCUAGUGCAUGAUUUUCUUAUUAAGAGUCGUGAAGGGGGACUCAAAUAUAAAUUGUACUUUGAUAAACAUCACCCUAAGAUUAUUACUUUGCAUGCUCCCUCUUUGUUUAACUUGUCUGCAGGUCCUCACAUCGUUCCGUGGGCGGCCAUUCAAGCCUAUCGAAAUCCUGCACCCGCCCCGGAACUGGAGCCACAAGAUGAGCCUCCACGACUAUCUGUUUAUUCUUGGGAUCCAGAGGAGGCUGCCAGCCAAUGGCAGCCGGAGCCUUCUUCGUCACAGUACGACCCCAACUUCACCUACGGGUAUCCGCCAGGCCAUCCCUGGCAAUAGACCAACUUAGGCCAAAAGCCUAAGCUUGGGGGAGUACGUAUUUCCCAUCGACAUUACAUUUAUGUUCACACACACUCAUUGCUAGAUGUCAGUGCUCAUACUCUUUCACUGUAAUAUCCAUGCUAGUUUAUUUUCUUUUUCCUGCUUUCUUCUUGUGUGUUUAAUAAACCUUAAGAAAAAACAAAAAAAUUAGUUAGUCUACUUUCCAUGCUUGUAGUAAUAAUUAAAAAGAAAACCCAAAAAUAUUUCCCGUUCUUCUUUUGCUUGUUGGGAGCUUUCCCGUGUACAUAGUUUUUAUUUCUUUUCCUUUCUUUGGGGGUCGAGAAGACUAUAUUGAAAAUUCUUAGUGGCUCUUAUAUGCAUUAUUGUUUAUCUAACUUAGAGCCCAUAUUACUUGUCUUCUCUCUUGAGUUGAAUGCUUGCAGAUUCCAGCUUAGUCACCAAUGCACGUGCACUAUUAUUAUUAUACACACCGUUCGGUCGUGCAAGUGAAAGGCAAUAAUGAUGAUAUAUGAUGGACUUAUUGGGAUGAGAAAAGCUGGUAUAAACUCGACCUCUCUUGCUUUUGUAAAUAUGAUGAUUCAUCCUUCCUGAUUCAGCUAUUAUGAAGUAAAUAUAUUUGCAAUGACAUUUAGAGAUUAUAGUUGCUUGUGCCGUGCUUGAUUAGCUAUGAGUUAUAAUGGUUUACCUUGCAUGCCAACAUGCUAUUAGAAUGAUUAUGAUAUGGUAUGAUGGGCUGGUAUCCUCCUUUGAAUGAAUUGAGUGACUCGACUUGGCAUAUGUUCACGCAUGUAGUUGAAUCAAAUCAACUUAGCCUUCAUGAUAUUUAUGUUCAUGGUGGAUUAUAUCCUACUCAUGCUUGUAUUCGGUGUAAAUUAAUUUUAAUGCAUCUUUACGACUGUUGUUGCUCUCUCAGUUGGUUGCUUCCCAGUCUUUUGCUAGCCUUCACUUGCACUAAGCGGGAAUACUGCUUGUGCAUCCAAACUCCUUAAACCCCAAAGUUGUUCCAUAUGAGUCCACUAUACCUACCUAUAUGCGGUAUUUACCUGUCGUUCCAAGUAAAUUUGUAUAUGCCAAACUCCAAACCUUCAAAUGAAAUUCGAUUUUGUAUGCUCGAGCAGCUCAUGUCUCAACUAGGGCUGCCCUUAUCUUCCAUGUUAGGUGGUUAUUCUCAAGAGGACUGGACUCCGCUCCUCAUUCACGAGAAAAUGGCUGGUCACCGGGAUGCCCAGUCCCAUGCUUUAUGCAAACUAAAUCAAAAUAAUUGCAAACAAAACUCACCCUGGGACCCAUUGAAUGUUGGAGGCACUCGUUGUUUCGAGCAAGCCAUGGAUUGAUGCCUGUGGAGGAGGGGGGGUAUAAACUUUACCAUUUUGUUUGGGAACCGCCUAUAAUUUGUUUAGCAUGGAAGAUAUCGUCGUCUCAUAGUCGUUGCAUUCACAGCAAAAGUAUGCCGCUCAAAAUGUUAUUCAAUCUCUAUUUUAAAACCGAGCUCUGGCACCUCUACAAAUCCCUGCUUCCCUCUGCGAAGGGCCUAUCUAUUUACUUUUAUGUUGAGUCAUCACCCUUCUUAUUAAAAAGCACCCGCUGGAGAGCACGCUGUCGUUUGCAUUCAUUAUAAUUGGUUUAUUUUGGGUAUGACUUGACUGGAUCUCUUUUAUGAUGAAGUACAAUGUUUAGUCAGUCCUUGAUCUUUAAAGGUGCUCUGCAUUUAUGUUUUGCGGUCUCAGAAAGGGCUAGCGAGAUACCAUUUCGUUAUAUCAUGUUAUGAUUAUUUUGAGAAAGUGUUGUCAUCCAAGUUUUAUUAUUAUGGCUCGCUAGCUGAUUAUAUUAUUGAUAUGAGUAAUUGUGAGACCUACGUGUUAUUUUGAGUAUGGUUAGUUCAUAAUAAUUGCUGAAACUUGAAUGCUGGCUUUUCAUGUUUACAAUAACAAGAGCAAACAGAGUUUGUAAAAGUUUUUCUUUUUCUCUUUCAGUUUGUCAACUGAAUUUCUUGAGGACAAGCAAGGGUUUAAGCUUGGGGGAGUUGAUACGUCUCCGUCGUAUCUACUUUUCCAAACACUUUUGCCCUUGUUUUGGACUCUAACUUGUAUGAUUUGAAUGGAACUAACCCGGACUGACGCUGUUUUCAGCAGAAUUGCCAUGAUGUUGUUUUAUGUGCAGAAAACAAAAGUGGAAUGACCUGAAACUCCACGGAAUAUCUUAGAAUAAAUAAUAAAAAAGUCCUCGCCAAAGAUGAAGACUAGGGGGCCCACACCCUGUCCACGAGGGUGGGGGGCGUGCCCCUCCCCCUAGGCGCGCCUCUCCCCCCUGGGCGCGCCCCCCUACCUCGUGGGCCCCCUGGAUGCCCUCCGACGCCAACUCCAACUCCAUAUAUUGGCUUUCGGGGAGAAAAAAACCAGAGAGAAAGUUUCAUUGCGUUUUACGAUACAGAGCCACCGCCAAGCCCUAAUCUCUCUCGGGAGGGCUGAUCUGGAGUCCGUUCGGGGCUCUGGAGAGGGGGAUUCGUCGCCGUCGUCAUCAUCAACCAUCCUCCAUCACCAAUUUCAUGAUGCUCACUGCCGUGCGUGAGUAAUUCCAUCGUAGGCUUGCUGGACGGUGAUGGAUUGGAUGAGAUUUAUCAUGUAAUCGAGUUAGUUUUGUUAGGGUUUGAUCCCUAGUAUCCAUUAUGUUCUGAGAUUGAUGUUGCUAUGACUUUGCUAUGCUUAAUGCUUGUCACUAGGGCCCGAGUGCCAUGAUUUCAGAUCUUAACCUAUUAUGUUUUCAUGAAUAUAUGUGUGUUCUUGAUCCUAUCUUGCAAGUCUAUAGUCACCUACUAUAUGUUAUGAUCCGGCAACCCCGAAGUGACAAUAAUCGGGACCACUCCCGGUGAUGACCAUAGUUUGAGGAGUUCAUGUAUUCACUAUGUGCUAAUGCUUUCUUCCGGUUCUCUAUUAAAAGGAGGCCUUAAUAUCCCUUAGUUUCCAAUAGGACCCCGCUGCCACGGGAGGGUAGGACAAAAGAUGUCAUGCAAGUUCUUUUCCAUAAGCACGUAUGACUAUUUACGGAAUACAUGCCUACAUUACAUUGAUGAACUGGAGCUAUUUCUGUGUCACCCUAUGUUAUGACUGUUACAUGAUGAACCACACCCGGCAUAAUUAUCCAUCACUGAUCCGGUGCCUACGAGUUUUCCAUAUAUUGGUUUACGCUUAUUUACUUUUACGUUGCUGCUGUUACAAUCACUACAAAAAUACCAAAAACAUUACUUUUGUUACCGUUACCACCACUAUCAUAUUACUUUGCUAUUAAACGCUUUGCCGCAGAUACUAAGUUUCCAGGUGUGGUUGAAUUGACAACUCAGCUGCUAAUACUUGAGAAUAUUCUUUGGCUCCCCUUGUGUCGAAUCAAUAAAUUUGGGUUGAAUACUCUACCCUCGAAAACUAUUGCGAUCCCCUAUACUUGUGGGUUAUCAGGGAUCAUCUUAUUUACUACCGUCGUUCUAAGCAAAUAAGAUGCAAAAACAUGAUAAACAUCACAUGCAAUCAAAUAGUGACAUGAUAUGGCCAAUAUCAUAUUGCUCCUUUGAUCUCCAUCUUCGGGGCGCCAUGAUCAUCUUCGUCACCGACAUGACACCAUGAUCUCCAUCAUCAUGAUCUCCAUCAUCGUGUCUCCAUGGAGUUGUUCGCCACCUAUUACUUCUACUACUAUGGCUAAUGGUUUAGCAAUAAAGUAAAGUAAUUACAUGGCGUUUAUUCAGUGACACAUAGGUCAUACAAUAAUUAAGACAACUCCUAUGGCUCAUGUCGGUUGUCAUACUCAUCGACAUGCAAGUCGUGAUUCCUAUUACAAGAACAUGAUCAAUCUCAUACAUCACAUAUAUAUCAUUCAUCACAUCCUUUUGGCCAUAUCACAUCACAAGGCAUAUGCUGCAAAAACAAGUUAGACGUCCUCUAAUUGUUGUUGCAUGUUUUUACGUGGCUGCAUUAGGGUUCUAGCAAGAACGUUUCUUACCUACUUCAAAACCACAACGUGAUAUGCCAAUUUCUAUUUACCCUUCAUCAGGACCCUUUUCAUCGAAUUCGAUCCGACUAAAGUGGGAGAGACAGACACCCGCUAGCCACCUUAUGCAACUAGUGCAUGUCAGUCGGUGGAACCUGUCUCACGUAAGCGUACGUGCAAGGUCGGUUCGGCCGCUUUAUCCCACGAUGCCGCCGAAACAAGAUAAGACUAGUAGUGGCAAGUAAAUUGACAAAACCUACACGGACAACAAAAUUGUGUCCUACUCGCGCAUAGAAACUACGCAUAGACCUAGCUCUGAUACCACUAUUGGGGAACGUUGCAGAAAAUAAAAAAUUUCUAUGCUUCACCAAGAUCAAUCUAUGGAGUCAUCUAGCAACAAGAGAGAGGAGUGCAUCUACAUACCCUUGUAGAUCGCGAGCGGAAGCGUUCAAGAGAACGGGGUUGAGGGAGUCGUACUCGUCGUAAUCCAAAUCACCGAAGAUCCUAGUGCCGAACGGAUGCCACCUCCGCGUUCAACACACGUACGGUUGGGGAAGACGUCUCCUCCUUCUUGAUCCAGCAAGGGGGAAGGAGAGGUUGAUGGAGAUCCAGCAGCACAACGGCGUGGUGGUGGAAGUAGCGGCGAUCUCGGCAGGGCUUUGCCAAGCUCAGGGAGAGGGAGAGGUGGUACGGGGGGAGAGGGAGGUGCCAGGGACUAGGGUGCGGCUGCCCUCCCUCCCCCCUCUUUAUAUAGGCGCCCUGGGGGGGCACCGGCCCCCUAGAAAUCUAAUCUCAAGGGGGGGGGGCAAGGGGGGACUUGCCCCCCAAGUCAAGUGGGGCGCCCCCCACCCCUAGGGUUUCCAAUCCUAGGCGCAGGGGGAGGCCCAAGGGGGGUGCACUAGCGCACCAGGGGCUAGUUCCCUUCCCACUUCAGCCCAUGUGGCCCUCCGGGAUGGGUGGCCCCACCCGGUGGACCGCCGGGACCCUUCUGGUGGUCCCGGUACAAUACCGGUGACCCCCGAAACUUUCCCAGUGGCCGAAAUUGGACUUCCUAUAUACAAUUCUUCACCUCCGGACCAUUCCGGAACUCCUCAUGACGUCCGGGAUCUCAUCCGGGACUCUGAACAACUUUCGGGUUACGACAUACUAAUAUCUCUACAACCCUAGCGUCACCGAACCAUAAGUGUGUAGACCCUACAGGUUCGGGAAUCAUGCAGACAUGACCGAGACAGUUCUCCGGCCAAUAACAAAUGAUGUCUACUACGCAACCUUCUCCUUGUAGACAUUGUUGGGCCUGCAAGUGCACAUGUUUGUAGGACAGUAGCAUAUUUCCCUCAAGUGGAUGACCUAAGGUUUAUCAAUCCGUAGGAGGCGUAGGAUGAAGAUGGUAUCUCUCAAACAACCCUGCAACCAAAUAACAAAGAGUCUCUUGUGUCCCCAACACACCCAAUACAAUGGUAAAUUGUAUAGGUGCACUAGUUCGGCGAAGAGAUGAAGAUACAAGUGCAAAAUAGAUAGUAGAUAAAGGUUUUUGUAAUCUGAAAUAAUAAAAACAGCAAUGUAGUGAGCGAUAAAAGUGAGCGUAAACGGUACUGCAAUGAUAGGAAACAAGGCCUAGGGUUCAUAUUUUCACUAGUGCAAGUUCUCUCAACAAUAAUAACAUAGAUAGAUCAUAUAACAAGCCCUCAACAUGCAACAAAGAGUCACUCCAAAGCCACUAAUAGCGGAGAACAAACAUAGAGAUUAUGGUAGGGUACGAAACCACCUAAAAGUUAUUCUUUGGGAUCAAUAUAUAAAAGAGUUCGUACUAGAAUAACACCUAAGACAUAAAUCAACCAAAACCCUAAUGUCACCUAGAUACUCCAUUGUCACCUCAAGUAUCCAUGGGCAUGAUUAUACGAUAUGCGUCACACAAUCUCAGAUUCAUCCAACAAACAUAGAAGUACUUCAAAGAGUGCCCCAAAGCUACUACCGGAGAGUCAAGAACGUGUGCCAACCCCUAUGCAUAGGUUACCAAUGUCAUGAAACCCACAAGUUGAUCAUCAAGACAUACAUCAAGUGGAUCGCAAGACAUACAUCAAGUGUUCCCAUAAAAGACUCAAUCCGAUAAGAUAACUUCAAAGGGGAAACUCAAUUCAUCACAAGAGAGUAGAGGGGGAGAAACAUCAUAAGAUCCAACUACAAUAGCAAAGCUCGGGAUACAUCAAGAUCGUGCCAUAGAGGGAACACGAGAGAGAACACGAGAGAGAGAGAGAGAGAGAGAGAGAGAGAUAGAUCAAACACAUAGCUACUGGUACAUACCCUCAGCCCCGAGGGUGAACUACUCCCUCCUCGUCAUGGAUAGCGCCGGGAUGAUGAAGAUGGCCACCGGUGAAGGAUCCCCCCUCUGGCAGGGUGCCGGAACAGGCUCCCGAGAGGUUUUUGGUGGCUACAGAGGCUUGCGGCGGCGGAACUCCCGAUCUAUCUUCUGUUCUGGAAGUUUUACGAGACGUAGGUAUAUACGGGUGCAGGGGGUACGUCGGUGGAGCUACGGGGGCCCCACGAGGCAGGGGGCGCGCCCUAGGGGGGUGGGCGCACCCCCCCCCCACCCUCGUGAGCACCUCCUGUAUCUCUUGACGUGCACUCCAAGUCCAUCGGGUGGCUUUCCUUCCAAAAAUAACUUCUCCAGUUGAUUUCGUUCCGUUUUGACUCCGUCUGAUAUUCCUUUUCCUCAAAACACUGAAAUAGGCAUAAAACAGCAAAUCUGGGCUGGGCCUCCGGUUAAUAGGUUAGUCCCAAAAAUAAUAUAAAAGUGGAUAAUAAAGCCCAAUAUUGCCUAAAACAGUAGAUAAAGUAGCAUGGAGCAAUCAAAAAUUAUAGAUACGUUGGAGACGUAUCAAGCAUCCCCAAGCUUAAUUCCUGCUCAUCCUCGAGUAGGUAAAUGAUAAAAAGAGAAUUUUUGAUGCGGAGUGACAAUGUGGCAUAAUUUCAAUGUAAAUCUUCUUAAUCGUGGUAUGAAUAUUCAGAUCCGAAAGAUUCAAGACAAAAGUUCAUAUUGACAUAAAAAUAAUAACUUCAAGCAUACUAACUAAGCAAUUAUGUCUUCUCAAAAUAACAUGGCCAAAGAAAGUUAUCCCUACAAAAUCAUAUAGUCUGGCUAUGCUCCAUCUUCCCCACACAAAAUAUUUAAAUCAUGCACAACCCCGAUGACAAGCCAAGCAAUUGUUUCAUACUUUAAUAAUCUCAAACUCUUUCAACUUUCACACAAUGCAUGAGCGUGAGCCAUGGACAUAGCACUAUAUGUGGAAUAAAAUGGUGGUUGUGGAGAAGACAAAAAAAGAAGAAGAUAGUCUCACAUCAACUAGGCGUAUCAACGGGCUAUGGAGAUGCCCAUUAAUAGAUAUCAAUGUGAGUGAGUAGGGAUUGCCAUGCAACAGAUGCACUAGAGCUAUAAAUAUAUGAAAGCUCAACUAAAGAAACUAAGUGGGUGUGCAUCCAACUUGCUUGCUCACGAAGACCUAGGGCACUUUUGAGGAAGCCCAUCAUUGGAAUAUACAAGCCAAGUUCUAUAAUGAAAAAUUCCCACUAGUAUAUGAAAGUGACAACAUAUGAGACUCUCUAUCAUGAAGAUCAUGGUGCUACUUUGAAGCACAAGUGUGGUAAAAGGAUAGUGGCAUUGUCCCUUCUCUCUUUUUCUCUCAUAUUUUUUUAGUUGGGCCUUUUUUUGGCCACUCUUUUUUUAUUUCGUCCGGAGUCUCAUCCCGACUUAUGGGGGAAUCAUAGUCUCCAUCAUCCUUCCCUCACUGGGACAAUGCUCUACUAAUAAUGAUGAUCAUCACACUUUUAUUUUUCUUACAACUCAACAAUUACAACUCUAUAUGAAUGCCUCCGGCGGUGUACCGGGAUAUGCAAUGAAUCAAGAGCGACAUGUAUGGAAAUUAUGAAGGUGGGCUUGUCACAAAUACAAUGUCAACUACAUGAUCAUGCAAGGAGCAAUAUGACAAAAGUAAUGUGUGUCAUAUGAAUGGCACGGUGGAAAGUUGCAUGGAAAUAUAUCUCGGAAUGGCUAUGGAAAUGCCAUGAUAGGUAGGUAUGGUGGCUGUUUUGAGGAAGGUAUAUGGUGGGUGUAUGAUACCGGCGAAAGGUGCGCGGUAUUAGAAAGGCUAGCAAUGGUGGAAGGGUGAAAGGGUGCGUAUAAUCCAUGGACUCAACAUUAAUCAAAAGAACUCAUGCACUUGUUGAAAAAAUUUAGAAGUCAUCAAAAACCAAAGCACUACACGCAUGCUCCUAGGGGGAUAGAUUGGUAGGAAAAGACCAUCGCUCGUCCCCGACCGCCACUCAUAAGGAAGACAGUCAAUAAAUAAAAUUGUGCUCCGACUUCAUCACAAAGCGGUUCAUCAUACAUGCAUGCUACAGGAAUCACAAACUUCAACACAAGCAUUCUUUAAAUUCAUAAUCACCCAACUAGCAUCACUUUGAUAUUAUCACCCUCAUAUCUCAAAACAAUUAUCAAGCAUCAAACUUAUCUUAGUAUUCAACGCACUCAAAAGAAAGUUUCGCAUAUCUUGAAUACCAAGUAUAUUAUCUUUAAGCAAUUACCUUGCUAUUAACGACUCUCAAAAUAAUCUAAGUGAAGCAUGAGAGAUCAAUAGUUUCUUUAAAACAAAUCCACCACCGUGCUCUAAAAGAUCUAAGUGAAGCACUAGAGCAAAAAUUAUCAAGCUCAAAAGAUAUAAGUGAAGCACAUAGAGUAUUCUAGCAAAUUCCAGAUCAUGUAUGGCUCUCUCAUUAAAUAAUUUAAGAUCUUGGUACUUUAUUCAAACAGAAAGCAAAGCUAAAUAAAACUACAUUGCAAGGAUAGCACAACUCAUGUGAAGAAGCAAAAACUUAGGUUCAACCGAUACUAACCGAUAGUUGUCGAAGAAGAAAGGUGGGAUGCCUACCGAGGCAUCCCCAAGCUUAGAUGCUUGAGACUUAUUGAAAUAUUAUCUUGGGGUGCCUUGGGCAUCCCCAAGCUUGAGCCUUUGUGUCUCCUUAAUUCCUCUCAUAUCAUGGCUUCUCUUUUUAUCAAAAGCUUCAUUCACAACAAACUCAACAAGAACUCGUGAGAUAGGUUGGUAUAAGCCAAUGCAAAACCUUAUCAUAUUCUACUGUAACAAAUCACUAAAAUUAUUAUUCAACAUUGAAUACUAAAUGCCUCUGCAUAUUUAAUACUCCUAUCCUCAAAUAGAAUCAUUAAACAAGCAAACAUAUGCAAACAAUGCAACCAUAACAGCAAUCUGCCAAAACAGUACAGUCUGUAAAGAAUGCAAGAGUAUCAAUACUUCACUGACUCCAAAAAUUAUGAAAUAAAAUUCCCACUGUAAUAAAUUUAUCAGAGCUUAAUAUGAAAAACGAUUCAACGUUAUACCAUUCCUUGACUUUUCUAGGGAAUUUUUGCAACAGCGGUAAACUUUCUGUUUUCAAACAGCAACAUGUAUACUAGCAAAAUAAGCAUGGGAAAGGCUAUCCUUGACCUUUUUUAUUGAAACUAAAGAUGCAAAACAUUAUUCUAACUAACAGCAAGCAAAAACUAACAAGAUAAAAUGAUGCUCCAAGCAAAACACACAUCAUGUGGCGAAUAAAAAUAUAGCUCCAAGUAAAGUUACCGAUGAACGAAGACGAAAGAGGGGAUGCCUUCCGGGGCAUCCCCAAGCUUAGGCUCUUGGUUGUCCUUGGAUAUUACCUUGUGGUGCCUUGGGCAUCCCCAAGCUUAGGCUCUUUACACUCCUUAUUCUAUAGUCCAUCGAAUCUUUACCCAAAACUUGAAAACUUCAACCACACAAAACUCAAAACAAAACUCGUAAGCUCCGUUAGUAUAAGAAAAUAAAUCCACCACUUAGGUACUGUAAUGAACUCAUUCUAAAUUCAUAUUGGUGUAAAGCCUACUGUAUUCCAACUUCUCUAUCAUUCAUACCACUUAAUACUAGCCAUAGAUGCAUCAAAAUAAGCAAACAACACAAUGAAAGCAGAAUCUGUCAAAAACAGAAUAGUCUGUAGUAAUCUGUAUAAAACGUAUACUUAUGGAACCCUGUCUAUUAAUCAUCUGCAAAAAUAAUCAACCAAAAAGCACUCUCCAGUGAAAAAUGGCAGCUAAUCUCGUGAGCGCUAAAGUUUCUGUUUUCUACAGCAAGAUCAUAUAAACUUCACUCAAGUCUUCCCAAAGGUUCUACUUGGCACUUUAUUGAAACAAAAGCUAUAAAACAUGAUUAAUACAGUAGCAUAAUCAUGUGGACACACAAAAACAGUAAGGGUAAAUAUUGGGUUGUCUCCCAACAAGUGCUUUUCUUUAAUGCCUUUCUAGCUAGGCACGAUGAUGAUCAUGAUGCUCACAUAAAAGAUAAGAAUUGAAACAUAACGGGAGCAUCAUGAAGAAUAUGACUAGCACAUCUAAGUCUAGCCCACUUCCUAUGCAUAGGUAUUUUGUGAGCAAACAACUUAUGGGAACAAUAAUCAACUAGCAUAGGAAGGUAACACAAGCAUAGCUUCAAGAAUUUAAGCACAUAGGGAGGAAACUUGAUAUUAUUGCAAUUCCUACAAGCAUAUGUUCCUAUCUCAUAAUAAUUUUCAGUAGCAUCAUGAAUGAAUUCAACAAUAUAACCAGCACCUAAAGCAUUCUUUUCAUGAUCUACAAGCACAGAAAAUUUACUACUCUCCACAUAAGCAAAAUUCUUCUCAUGAAUAGUGGGAGUAUCAUAAGAGACUUGAACACUAAAAAUUGUUUCUGCAUUAAAAGAGUAACGUUCAGAAAAAGGGUAAUCAUAAUCAUGACAAGAUUUGUAAAUAUAAUCAUCACUACUUUUUAUAGCAUAAAUUUCAUCACAAUAAUCAUCAUAAGUAGCAACUUUGUUAUCAUCAUAAUCGAUUAAAACCUCUCCCAAGAUAGUGGAAUCACUAAAUAAAGUUAACACUCGUCCAAAUCCACUUUCAUAUUCAUCACAAUAAAAUUCAACAUCCUCCAAGAUAGUGGGAUCACUACUUCCUAAAGUUGACACUCUUCCGAACCCACUUUCAUCAUCAUAGGUAGGAGGCAUGCUAUCGGGUGAGGGCUUUUGGAGGCCGAGCUCCACAGAGCUUGUUUUCAAAAUACAAAUUUCCACAAGGUGAAAAAAAUUUAAACUUGUUUGUAUACACUUUCACACAUGUGUAUUGCGUCUAUGCAAAAAUUCAAAACCAAAUACUUUCACACGUGGCGUACAGAAAAAAGACAAAAACGUAUUUCUAGAAUGGGCCAAUAUUUUCUGUUGUUGGGCCGGAUUUUUGUUUUUUUGUACAGCCUACAAAUCACAACAAAUUCAAAUAAUUUUUGUACACGUUCGUCCGGAAAUCUAUUAAGUUACCGUGGAAUUUUGUUUUGAAUUUUUAUGAAACUUUGAAAUAUAAAUUUUGAUUUUUUCAAAAUACCGAGCUCCCUGGAGCUCGGCCUCCGUUGGCAUUUUCUGGCAUGCUAUCAUCAUAACAACUUUGCAUAUCAAAACUUGGGGUGCUAAAAAUAUCAUCUUCAUUAAACAUAGCAUCCCCAAGCUUGGGACAAACAUUAGUUCCAGCAAAUAUAUUCUCAAAUAUUUCAUCCUCAUCAAACAUAGCUUCCCCAAGCUUGGGCCUUUUCAUAUCAUAAGCAUAAUCACUCUCAUCAUUAAAAAUAUGAAUAGCACCAAUAGUAUAGCAAUUAUCAUCAUCACAUGUAGUAGUAGGAGCAACAUCAUUUGGGAGGGAUACCUUUUUACCUUUGUUGCUCCUUCUUUUUUUUCUUCUUCACAUUAUGUGUAGGUUCAACCUUCCUCUGUGAGCUCCUUAUUGAUGAGAUUGGCUGAAUAGAAAGCUCCUCCUCGUUACCUGGUUCAUCAUAAGAAAUAAUAGGAGGAGAUUGGGAAGCCUCUUCCCUUUCAUUAGUAUUCUCAUCAUCUUCCAUUUGCUUUCUUUUCUUUAGGUAAUUGGCAAUAUAAGGAUUUUCAAUGCAAUUCUCCGCACAAUACAUAUAAAUUUCCUCUAUAUCAAAACCAAGAAGUUUAUAACGGGAAAAAUCUGGGAGAUAGUUGGUUAUACGUUUCAUUUCUUCAUAGCCCAUAAUAAGGCUAAGCUCUUUAUGAUGCUCAAGGGUAAUCAAAUUAUCACAAUAUUUGGACACGACUUGAUCAUGAAACAAAUAGCAUUGGAGCUUUAAAUGACCAUGUUCAUUGCAAAGUUCACAAGGGGUACUAUAAAUAUUGAAUCUUUCAGCACAUUCAUCUAGCUCUUCUUGCAACAAUUUGGUUUCUAAGUACUUAUGCCUCUUGCAAUAUCUAUCUUCCCUAUUUGGUGUGUACUUACAAACCCAAUGCACUCCACAAAAAUUGACAUGUUUAUAGGAGACAUUUUCAUCAUAACUAGUGCAAUCAUCAUUAGCAUCAUGGAUAUUCAAAGAAUUCAUACUAACAACAUUGCAAUCAUGCUCAUCAUUCAAAUAUUUAGUGCCAAACAAUUUAGAGAUUUCUUCUUCUAGCACUUGAGCACAAUUAUCCUUUCCAUCAUACUCACGAAAGAUAUUAAAAAGGUGAAGCGUAUGAGACAAACUUAAUUCCAUUUUUUUGUAGUUUUAUUUUAUAAACUAAACUAGUGAUAAAACAAGAAACAAAAAGAUUCAAUUGCAAGAUCUGAAGAUAUACCUUCAAGCGCUAACCUCCCCGGGAACGGCGCCAGAAAAGAGCUUGAUGUCUACUACGCAACCUUCUCCUUGUAGACGUUGUUGGGCCUGCAAGUGCACAUGUUUGUAGGACAGUAGCAAAUUUCCCUCAAGUGGAUGACCUAAGGUUUAUCAAUCCGUAGGAGGCGUACGAUGAAGAUGGUCUCUCUCAAACAACCCUGCAACCAAAUAACAAAGAGUCUCUUGUGUCCCCAACACACCCAAUACAAUGGUAAAUUGUAUAGGUGCACUAGUUCGGCGAAGAGAUGAAGAUACAAGUGCAAAAUAGAUAGUAGAUAAAGGUUUUUGUAAUCUGAAAUAAUAAAAACAGCAACGUAGCGAGCGAUAAAAGUGAGUGUAAACGGUAUUGGAAUGAUAGGAAACAAGGCCUAGGGUUCAUACUUUCACUAGUGCAAGUUCUCUCAACAAUAAUAACAUAGAUAGAUCAUAUAACAAGCCCUCAACAUGCAACAAAGAGUCACUCCAAAGCCACUAAUAGCGAAGAACAAACGUGGAGAUUAUGGUAGGGUACGAAACCACCUCAAAGUUAUUCUUUCAGAUCAAUCUAUAAAAGAGUCCGUACUAGAAUAACACCUUAAGACACAAAUCAACCAAAACCCUAAUGUCACCUAGAUACUCCAUUGUUAGUUUGUCACCUCAAGUAUCCGUGGGCAUGAUUAUACGAUAUGCGUCACACAAUCUCAGAUUCAUCCAACCAACAUAAAAGUACUUCAAAGAGUGCCCCAAAGCUACUACCGGAGAGUCAAGAACGUGUGCCAACCCCUAUGCAUAGGUUCCCAAUGUCACGAAACCCGUAAGUUGAUCACCAAGACAUACGUCAAGUGGAUCGCAAGACAUACAUCAAGUGUUCUCAUAAAAGACUCAAUCCGAUAAGAUAACUUCAAAGGGGAAACUCAAUUCAUCACAAGAGAGUAAAGGGGGAGAAACAUCAUAAGAUCCAACUAUAAUAGCAAAGCUCGGGAUACAUCAAGAUCGUGCCAUAGAGGGAACACGAGAGAGAACACGAGAGAGAGAGAGAGAUCAAACACAUAGCUACUAGUACAUACCCUCAGCCCCGAGGGUGAACUACUCCCUCCUCGUCAUGGAUAGCACCGGGAUGAUGAAGAUGGCCACCGGUGAAGGAUCCNNNNNNNNNNNNNNNNNNNNNNNNNNNNNNNNNNNNNNNNNNNNNNNNNNNNNNNNNNNNNNNNNNNNNNNNNNNNNNNNNNNNNNNNNNNNNNNNNNNNNNNNNNNNNNNNNNNNNNNNNNNNNNNNNNNNNNNNNNNNNNNNNNNNNNNNNNNNNNNNNNNNNNNNNNNNNNNNNNNNNNNNNNNNNNNNNNNNNNNNNNNNNNNNNNNNNNNNNNNNNNNNNNNNNNNNNNNNNNNNNNNNNNNNNNNNNNNNNNNNNNNNNNNNNNNNNNNNNNNNNNNNNNNNNNNNNNNNNNNNNNNNNNNNNNNNNNNNNNNNNNNNNNNNNNNNNNNNNNNNNNNNNNNNNNNNNNNNNNNNNNNNNNNNNNNNNNNNNNNNNNNNNNNNNNNNNNNNNNNNNNNNNNNNNNNNNNNNNNNNNNNNNNNNNNNNNNNNNNNNNNNNNNNNNNNNNNNNNNNNNNNNNNNNNNNNNNNNNNNNNNNNNNNNCUCCCGUAUCUCCUGACGUGCACUCCUAGUCCAUCGGGUGGCUUUCCUUCCAAAAAUAACUUCUCUAGUUGAUUUCGUUUCGUUUUGACUCUGUCUGAUAUUCCUUUUCCUCGAAACACUGAAAUAGGCAUAAAACAGCAAGUCUGGGCUUAGUCCCAAAAAUAAUAUAAAAGUGGAUAAUAAAGCCCAAUAUUGCCUAAAACAGUAGAUAAUGUAGCAUGGAGCAAUAAAAAAUUAUAGAUACGUUGGAGACGUAUCAACCAACAGUGGGAUCUGGAUACCCAUGUUGGCUCCCACAUGUUCCACGAUGAUCUCAUCGAAUGAACCAUGAUGUCGAGGAUUCAAGUAAUCCUGUAUACAAUUCCCUUUGUCAAUCGGUACAUUACUUGCCCGAGAUUCGAUCGUGGUAUCCCAAUACCUCGUUCAAUCUCGUUACCGGCAAGUCACUUUACUCAUACCGUAAUGCAUGAUCCCGUGACCAACCACUUGGUCACAUUGAGCUCAUUACGAUGAUGCAUUAUCGAGUGGGCCCAGAGAUACCUCUCCGUCAUACAGAGUGACAAAUCCCAGUCUCGAUCCGUGUCAACCCAACAGACACUUUCGGAGAUACCUGUAGUAUACCUUUAUAGCCACCCAGUUACGUUGUGAUGUUUGGUACACCCAAAGCACUCCUACGGUAUCCGGGAGUUACACGAUCCCAUGGUCUAAGGAAAUGAUACUUGACAUUGGAAAAGCUCUAGCAAAUGAACUACACAAUCUUGUGCUAUGCUUAGGAUUGGGUCUUGUCCAUCACAUGAUUCUCCUAAUGAUGUGAUCCCGUUAUCAAUGACAUCCAAUGUCCAUAGUCAGGAAACCAUGACUAUCUGUUGAUCAACGAGCUAGUCAACUAGAGGCUUACUAGGGACAUGUUGUGGUCUAUGUAUUCACACAUGUAUUACGAUUUCUGGAUAACACAAUUAUAGCAUGAAUAACAGACAAUUAUCAUGAAUAAGAAAAUAUAAUAAUAAUCAUGUUAUUAUUGCCUCUAGGGCAUAUUUCCAACACCAAGGCCCAAAGGCGGCUUAAGGCCCGUAGAGAUAAACCGUCGUAUAUGUAUAACUUGUAUUAUAAGGCAGGAAUAGAUAGUCACCGAGCUGGACACUGUUUAUGAUCCGACUGAGACUCUGUAUACCGCUGGGCGUCGACCUCUAUAUAUAAAGGGAUGGCCCGGCGGCGGUUCAGGACAAGAAACAAGACAUCGAAAGCUAGGUCAAGCGGAUUCGCUCCCUGCUAAUCGAGACAUAAGCUAUCCCACCCAAACUGGAUCAUAGGCUUUUACCUUCACCGCAAGGGGCCGAACCAGUAUAAACUCCCGUGUCCUUUAUCCCGUUUAACCUCUUUAAGCUUCCUAGUUGUGAUGGCUCCACGACUAAGUCCUUUUCUAGGACAUCUACCGUGACCUUUCCACGACACUACCCCUACAAAAGCACGAAGUGCAGAGAUGCAAAACAAUCACAUCCAUCCAUACAUGAGAUCCUACAGCCCAUAAUGCUCACAUCUUUAAUGUUAAUUGCAAUUAGCGCUCUCCUCAAUCGCACGCCCGCAUCCCACUUCUCCACCUCAAACGCACGGUUACGAUCGCUAACCCAGCCCCGCCGUUAAAAAAAUCGUUCGCAGCGCACGAGCUCUCGCCACAUCCUCCUCCCGCGCCAUUCGUCGCCCCCGCAAACUCACGCAGCCGUUAGCCGUGGGAGCCGCCCUUCGCCGCUGGAGCCGCUGCGGUCGCCACCGGAGCCGCCCGCCCCUGGAGCCGCUCGUCGCUUGCCGCUGGUCGCCCUCUGCCCGUUGAUGGAUGUGAGGGCGGUCCUAUUCUACCUUCCCCGAGCGAACAACCAUGCUAGGGAUUCCCCGCCCGCCGCCGCCCUCAAAUCCUCUACUUACCCAUGAUCCGAACCUUAGAGCAACUCCAACAGGGCGGCCCAUUUCGUCCGCUGCUGUCCGUUUGGAUCAGCGCGGACAAAAGUGGAGGCCCAACGCGGCGACCCAAACCCAAAUCACGUCCGCUUCGCAUCCGCGCAGACGCAUUUGCGGCCCAAAUUUGCGUCCCAAAUGCGUCGGUACGGACGCGGAACGGACGCCAUGCGUGCCUUCUCGGUGUUCGCCGCAGCCUCACCUGGCGGUCUUCCAACUGCCCGCCACCUCGCCGGUCAACUUAUUUUAUGACCCCGGGCCCACGCAUCAGUGAUGGCGGUCGUCCUUUUUUAAGCCGACCAUGUGGUCGGGCUGUCCUCAUCCAGCCCCCGUCCUCGUCUAGCCACACUCGCUCCCCCGUUGCCGGCAAACCCUAGCCAACCCUAGCCACCCCAGCCGUGCCAAAUGGGGCUCUUCUUCGGCGCCGGCAGCAGCAGCAAGGCGAAGGGCAAGUCGCCCGCCAUCCUUUCCCCACGGAGUUUUUCCCGUCUCUGCUAGCGCCAGCUCGCCGGCCAAGGCAUCGUGUCAACGUGCCCGUGCACCAGGCAGAGUGGCACUGGCAGCACCGCAUGCCUCUCCCCUACCCGAUGCCACCCUGCCGCACGACUGGCACUUGGAUCCGGAGAGGAUCCCGGUGUCGGCUGACCCGCGGUCGGCUAGGGUGCAUGCGGAGGAGGUGCGGUGCCGGCGGGCGCUCCUGACGCCGAAGCAGUGCCGUGACCACGCCUAUGCCUCCGACUCGCCCAACUAGGCACGCUGGUUCGCCUUCGAGCACGAGGAGGCAAGGCGACGCGGCGUCCGCGAAGUUGACCGCACCGUGUCACCGCCCUCGCUCGUCAUCCGUGAGGAGGACCAAGCGGCGGAGGCCGUCUACCAGGCUACCCUUGGGGCGGUCUACCGGGACAGCGAGGAGGACGAGCGGCGCAGGGCGGCGGCGGUCGAGGAAGAGGAGGCGGCGUACGAGGCGGCCAUGGCCCUCUCCGCGGCGAGCGACUGCGUCUUGCCACCGGUGACCCCGCCGUCCCCUGUGAAAGCGGAGCCGGAGCUGGAGGCGUCCCCCAUCGAGCGCUACUCCUGGACGGGAGUAGUGCGCGAGUGGGUAGCGCGCCACCGGUCUGUCUGGGGGCAACGCCGGCACAAGAGGCGGCGUACCUCGAGCACUGGUGCCAGAUACGGCUGGCCGAGGAGUGCCGCGACGGCGAGUAUCUCGAGAUGCUCGAGCGCGACGCCGAGGCCGAGCAGCGCGAGGCCGAGGAGGAGGCUCGCUAGGCCAUGACACAACCCAUGGCGGCUCUGCCAGCUCCGGCACCGCCCGCGCCCGACAUGAACGUGCUCUGGAACACGGCGUUCCCCUGGGCCGGUCCGGCGCCGACGCUCAUCGACCGCACGGACCCCGAGGACAACGAAGACGACGCCUAGAGCAGCGCGCCGACGCAUAGUUUAUUAUGUUUUUAUUUUUCUUAAAUGCAAAUAUGGACGCGUGGACUCCCGCCGGCCUUCGUGGCCGGUUUUAAGUUUAAUUAAUGUUGUUUUUUAUGUUAAAUGUGCAUGCAUUCUUUUUUUUUCUAGCGCCGUCAAAAUGGGUCGCGCAUGGGUUGGGCACACGCACCGACCCAAACACGGUCCCAAACUGAUAAAAAACGGAUAAAAUCGUCGUUCGUUUGGGUCGACCCGUUGAAGUUGCUCUUAUCCCCGCGGAAUUGCAGGUACAACAGCGACACCGGAGCGCGAGAUGGAGGGCUGCGGAUCAAGUGUCGUCGACGUGCAACAUGCGAUGAGGUGUGGACAAGCGACAAGGGGGGCGGAGGAAAAGGCAUUGGAGGAAGACAUGGUGCCGGAGAGGUCUUAUACGAUAUUGUGAAGAAGACAUUGCGGCCGCCGGGAUGGUUUGGCUGCCACGGCUAGGUUGCACAUCGGGCGUCGACGUUCGAACAGAGUGGGGGGAGGGAAGCUGGUGCAAAUAGGGAUGGCACCCGCCGGGUUUGGGUACGGGUGGAGCCACCCCAUACCCUUACCCGUGACCCCAAACCUUACCCAUCACCCGUACCCAUACCCGUCAACGGGUACAAUUUUUCCCCAUACCCAUCACCCGUCAGGGUAAAUGGAUACCCGCGGGUAAAAUUACCCAUAUUUGCAACACAUCAAUUUGAGCAUUACAUAGUCACAAACAAUAACUUAUAAUAAUAAUAAUUUAUAAAAAACAAAACUUCAUUUGAAUUUACACACAAGAACAACACUUCAUUCGAACAGUUGCACUCUAAAACAUUUGGAUUUACACACAAGAAUCCCUACAAGAACGCUCAUGUGAUAAAUAACGCUGCUAUUUUUUUAGAAUUUCUGAAGCUAAAUGAACAACUCGUCACUCUUGCUGCAGCAAAAGAAUUCACGGUUCAGAUAAUCACUUUACACACGGAGUGCUCGUAGCUGUAUCUCUGUGCAAAAUAAUGAAUUACCAAAAAGAGGUGGAUGCUGUGGUAACAAUCGUUGAACACAAAUAGUGCUCGUCACCAUUUUGCUGCAGCAAUAACCACGACAUGAUCCCUCUUUCUAAAACUUCAUGGUUCAGUUCAGACUUAAGAAGCUCGCAAUGACACACAGAAAGUCGUAUUCAUCACAUCAUCUAUAUACAUCACGUCUACUCAGCAGAAAUCAAUGCUCAUCUACAUGAAUGCAUCACAGCAUCUUGUACAGCAAAUAUCUCCAAACUAUAAGAUCGGUGCUCGUAAUCGUAAAAUCAUAAAGAAAAUCGAUACUCUCCUAGCUGAAAUAGCCAUGCUCCUGUUCUUGUGCUUUGCGGCAGCAGAUCGACCAUUGCUAAGUAGGCUAGGGCGUACCUGCUUCACGGACGUCUUGGACAUAGUGUUGCGAUGGUGUUGCACCUUGGACCCUGGAGCAUGAGGUGGAAGACCUUGACGUCAGCCGGGGAGUUGGCUCUUUCCUGGCGCGCGAGGAGGAAGGCACCAUACAACGAUAGGGUUGGGCUUGGGCUCGGUGUUGGCGUGUUGUGCUCCUCGCUGUGGUGGUCGCCGAGCUGCAGAUCCUUGCGGUUCCCAUCCACACGCGAGCUAUCAUCGUCCUCUGGGUCCAUGGUGGUGGCGCGAGGCAGCAAGCGGCUGGAGUCGCUGGCGUUGGCGGCCGGCAGCGAGAGCCGAGAGCCCAAGAAGAUGAGAUCAAUCUAUUCUGCUGGGCGUUGGCUGCUACAAGCAUGCGACUUAAUUUUGGACAACAAUCACGCAAUCACGUUGAUAUAUAACCAUAAAAGGAACGAGGCAAUUCUGGACAUCAAUUACCUAGACACACGUACUAUCAUGUUUGGGAUUCUGGACGUGGGAUAGCUGCGGGAUUUAUGUCCACAUAAUGAUACAAUACAUUUAAUAUGUGGAUUUAUAAUAUUUUAGGCCUAUUUAUCCAAUUAUACGUGGGUACAUGGGUACACGGGUAUGGGUUAUACUAAACCAUACCCGUACCCACCAAACCCGAUGGGUUUCAAAUUUUCCUAUUUAUGUACCCAUGGGUAUUUUUGUGAUCCAAACCCUUGCCCUAAUAGGAUUUUUACCCGCCGGGUACGCGGGUAAUGGAUACCCAUUGCCAUCCCUAGGUGCAAAGGCUGCGCCCAAGAGGUCAUCGUCAAGAUAAAGCUCUGAGGUAUCUUGAUCCCACGUAGGUAAUUCAGAUCCAGCUACAUGCAGCAGCACGCAACUUGCUGCCAACCAAGUCAUCACUGUUGGCUGAUAUGGAGGCCGGCAGGUGCUUCCUUUUCUAUACAAACCUCAUACGUGUCCCCAUGGAAUAUUUUAGCAAACAAAAAUUACAUGGGAAUAGUUUAAUGUGUUGUUGUACCAAUCCGAGUAUGAAUUUUUGAAUUUUGCGAGGUUCAGUACAGAUUUUAUUUUAUUUCCCACCUCCUUCUGUAUGGACGGUGUGUGUAUGGCAUUUAAAUAAUGAUUAUGUGAAAUUAAUAAACAUUGCGAGGCAUGGAUGAUUUUGAUCAUUAAUUAAAAAGUAUGGUCAAGCUUGAUCUUUUCGAAUAUUGCGAAUACGUGCCGCCUUUCCCCCAGCUUAUAAAUUUUUUUUUGAAAAAGAAAGGAAGCUCUGGGCCGCCUUUAUAUUUCAAAACAGGCCGUAGCCUGAGGAACAAAGUUACAAUUACAUGAAGCUUGUGGGGUGCACUUUAGUGCAAAACCACAAGAGCUGAUAGAAGAGGAGGGGGCAGGGGCAGGCAGGAAAACAACAUCAGUGAGAAAAACUACGCGACUAUGCUGCUAUAAGAUUGCCCCAAAACAUAAGGUCCUCCUUAUCCUGUUGCUUCUUGGCUCUGCAGUACCAAAGACGGAUCAAAUCCGCUGCAUAGUAGCUUAUGUAAGAAGCUGUCCACGACGUGAGUUAAAGAUACAAUCAUUUCAUGCAUGCCAGAAAGUGAUGGCGCAAGCAGCAAAAGCCACAUUCCAUUUGCGCUUGAACUCUAGAUGAGCAGCAACUUGUUGAAUGAAAGACCGUAUAUCAGGCGAUCUGCUAGCCAAAGGUGCCAGGCGUAGUUGAUGCCAGAGUGUAGACGCCGCCCUGCAGUGCAGCAUGAUAUGGUGAACCGAUUUCACAGCCGGACAUAGAUCACAGUCUGCGCUUGGAGCAAUAGCCGCCCAAUGUUUCUUGACCAUGUUGUUUCUGGUGUUGAGCCGGCCCCAAAAAGCUAACCAGAGGAAAGUUUUAUGCUUCAAGGGGAUCAACACAUCCCAUACCCAAUCGUGGAAAGCACAAGUAGCAGCAGCCGAUAGAAGUAACCUGGGCUGAUCUUCUUAGCAAACACUGAGGGAGUACGCACGUCCUUGCGCGAAUCAUCAGGAGCGAAAUGUGCAAUGCGUUGUCGCAGCAGGAUGAGCUCACGCUCAGCAGGGUGGGAGAGGUUGGGGUGGAGUUGCACUGACCAAGUACCGUCCGAGAACUGUGAGCUAACCGAGCAGCAACGGUUCCUGCCAAAGGAAUAGAGGACUGGUAGUAGUAAGUGGAGUCUGCCAACUUCAAUCCAAAGGUCGUGCCAGAAGGAUAUGAGGUUGCUAGAGCCCAGAAUGCACCGUGAAGAGUUUAUAACCAUGGGGAUGUGAUCCUUGAAACCGCGCCACAUGGCUGUAUCUCUGUUGCUAGCCCCAAGGGGUAUAGAUUUCCUGUAAUACUGCAGAGUGAACCAAUGAUAGCAAUGAAUAUCAGAAGACUGCAAAAUCUUGGAAAGGAACUUGCAUAGCAUUGCCUGAUUAUGGGCUUGAAGAUUUCUCACACCCAGGCCUCCAUUCUUUUGGUGGAGAGUGACCUUGUCCCAAGCUACUAGACACUGACCACCAUUAACUUUAUUCUUGCCUUGCCAAAGAAAAGCAUGCAACAGACUUUCCAGAGAGCUAAGUGACUCCUUAGGCCAUGGGAAGCAAGACAUAAAGUAGCUAGGUAUGCCGGCCAACCCAGAGUUGACGAGCGUGAGCCUCCCUCCCAGUGUUAAGAAAGUGGCCAACCAACCCGAGAGCCCGCGGUCGACCUUGUGAAUGACUGGCAUUAACAUCCCAUGCGUGAUCUUAUUCAGAGACAGGAGAAGUCCAAGAUAUGUGCAUGGAGUGGAGUAGGGAUGGCAAUGGGUACCCAUUACCCGCAUACCCUGCGGGUAAAAACCCUAUUAGGGUACUAAGGGUAUGGGACAAAAAAAUAUCCAUGGGUAUAUAAAUAGGGAAAUGUUAAACCCGUCGGGUAGAGUGGGUACGGGUAUGGGAUCAUAUAACCCAUACCCACGUACCCAUGUACCCAUAUAAAAUUUGUAUGAAGUCAAAAUUAUCUCUUUCACUUUGUCAUGAAUUUGUGAACUCAAAAUAUAUCACAAUAUGCUGAUGUUUUGAUGUGUUGUUAUUUAAGGGAAAGUGAUGUUGUUUAUGAUGUGUUGUUGUUUGAAAAUGUUGUUGUUGUCAUAAUCUAUUGUUGUUUAUAGAUUAUAAUUAUAUGUUGUAUUUUAUGACUAUGAGUUGUUCAAAGUGAUGCUUGCAAACAUGGGUAAUUUUACCCACGGGUGCCCAUCUACCCUGUCGGGUAACGGGUAUGGGAAAAAAUUAUACCCAUUGAUGGGUAUGGGUAAGGGUGAUGGGUAAGCUUAGAGGUGACGGGUAAGGGUAUGGGGUGGAUCCACCCAUACCCAAACCCUACGGUUGCCAUCCCUAAAGUGGAGAAAAUAGGGCAGCCAAGUAGUUGAGCGAUAUCCGAGGCCACAGUUGCGUCCACAGAGACAGGUACUAACGUGCUUUUGUGAAAGUUGAUAGUCAGACUUGAGAAAGCCGAGAAAGAGGUUAGAAUAUCCUUGAUAACCAUGGCCUGCUCGAGACCCCCCUUGAAAAUGAUCAGGGUGUCGUCCGCGUACUGCAGCACCGAGAAAAAACUGCCCGUGCCAAGCAGUCUCGUUUCGAUAGUUCAUGCAAGACAACCUUUGUAACACAUCUGCCACCAGAAUGAAGAGAUAUGGUGACAAAGAGUCACCCUUCCAGAAGCCUCGCUUGGCAAGGAUGGGGUGCCUAGCUCUCCAUUGAUCAUGACCCUUGAGCGUCCAGAAGAGAGGAGGUUAGAGACCCACUGCCUCCAGGGCUGAGGAAAGCCCCUUGCUUCCAUGACUAGCUUCAGGCAGUCCCAACUGACACUAUCGAAGGCCUUGUGGAAGUCCAACUUCAAAGUGAUGACAGACAACUUCCUUUUGUGAGCACAUUAGAUUAACUCAGCAGCCAACGCAAAAUUCUCGACGAUGGAGUGACCCUUCAAAAAACCAGACUGCAGAGAAUGCACUAAGGCCGGAAUCUGCUGCAAUCUAUUUGCCAUAACCUUGGAAGCUAGCUUGGGCGUGCUAUGAACCAAAGAGAUGGGUCUAUAAUCCUUUAUCUCCAAGGGGGUGUCCUUUUUGGGCAGCAAAGUGAUGUAGGCAGUGCUAAUGCCAUCAAGGUUAACACUAUUACUGUGCAAGUCUUCAAAGAACCUGACUAAAUCAUCCUCAAUGAGAUGUUUGAAUGCCUUGUAGAACUCAUUAGUAAAACCAUCUGGUCCCCGGGCUCCUAUUAUUUGGAGCUUUGUUAAUAGCCUCAACAAUCUCAGCCUAGGAGAAAGGAUCUGCAAGCCCAGAAAGAUCUGUAGGACUGUACAAAGAGCUGAGCUAUACAAUUGGCAAAGAAGCAGCAGUCUGUCCCAAAACCGCAGAGAAAUAUUCAGUUGCAAUGCAAAGCUUCUGGCUGUUCUGGUAGUGUUCGACCCCAUUGUGAACAAGGACUUUCACCUUAUUACGACGGGCCUGACAGUUGGCCGCUGCAUGGAAGAACUUGAAAUUUUCAUCCCUGGAUACGCACCACCUCACUUUUGCCCUGCGACGCCAGAUCGCGGUUUGCCACAAGAUCAACUGCUCUGCCUUGGCAGAAGCGACUUCUCUGAGAACUGCUUCCAAGACUGACAACUGCCUCCUCUCCUCCACAACAUUGAGAAAGCAAACAACAUGUUUAUUGUUGUCAAUCAGCACACGCAGACAAGAUUUGCGUCGGUUCCAUUGCCGUAGAGCUUCUCGCAGCCGCCUCAUUUUAAAGUUAACGAGGGAAGCAGAGGAAGAGAUGUGCCUGAGCCCUCUGUUCCAGCAACUGAAAAUGAUCUCUCUCGACUCGUCCAUCUCCAACCAAUGGUUUUCCAUGCGAAAAAACCUGCUCGUGGGAGUGUCAGCAGAGAACUGAAGCAUGAUCGGUGCAUGAUCCGAGGUGGUUGUAUGCGGGCAAGAGGCCGCAGUCUGCAUAAAGCCGAGACUCCAGGCAUCAUUAACAAGGGCGCACUCGAGGCCUACCAAGGUUAGUGAGCCUCGCUUGUUGGACCAAGUAAACAACCCGUUGCCGAUCGGGAUGUCGUCCAGCCCUUGCUCUUUGAUCCAGGAAUUGAAGUGUUCCAUUGUAGUCCAAUAAAUCCGACCCCUUGAUUUCUCGUGCGAGAAUCUGUACAUGUUGAAGUCUCCCAGAACAGCCCAAGGUGUGUCAGAAUCAGCUGCCACUUCAGAAACUGUCUCAAAGAAGACUUACUGCUUGGUGCUCAGGCAUGGUGCAUGAACAACAGUAAGCAGGAAGUAGCAGUUAGCUACAAUGGAAGUCAGCUUGAUCGUGAUGUGGUAUUUGUGUGUAGCAAUGAUUUGACAAGUAACAUAUGAGGAACCCCAAGCCACCAGAAUUCCCCUGGAGGCGCCUUCAGAAAGAGUAACAACAUGAUCUGUGAACUUUGCAGGUAGGAAAGAUCUCAACUUGAACGGGGUGAGGGAAGCCAGCUUACACUACUAGGGAAAACCUUAUACACAGAAUCUUACCAGUAGCGCUUGUUAAAAUGAGGCGCUACUGCUACUUAGCAGUAGCGCGUCUGCCAAAACCGCGCUACUGUUACCCCCUUAGCAGUAGCGCGGCAGGAACAGAACGCGCUACUACUAUAAUUGCCACACCGUUCCCGGCGUGCUAGGUAUAGUAGUAGCGCCCUUCUAGAAUCGAUGCUACUACUACGAAUUUUAGCAGCCACGCGUUUUUCCUCCCCACACUACUGUUAAAGCUAUUUUCACCUAACCCCCCGCGCGGCCUGAUUCCCUCUCCUCUGCUUCCUCCCCCAAUUCUCCACUCUCUCUUCUCCCCCUCGUCGCCUCCGCCUCGCCGCCGUCUCGCCGCCGUCUCCCCCGACCCCACCUCGCGGCCGUCUCCCCCGACCCCGCCUUGCNNNNNNNNNNNNNNNNNNNNNNNNNNNNNNNNNNNNNNNNNNNNNNNNNNNNNNNNNNNNNNNNNNNNNNNNNNNNNNNNNNNNNNNNNNNNNNNNNNNNNNNNNNNNNNNNNNNNNNNNNNNNNNNNNNNNNNNNNNNNNNNNNNNNNNNNNNNNNNNNNNNNNNNNNNNNNNNNNNNNNNNNNNNNNNNNNNNNNNNNNNNNNNNNNNNNNNNNNNNNNNNNNNNNNNNNNNNNNNNNNNNNNNNNNNNNNNNNNNNNNNNNNNNNNNNNNNNNNNNNNNNNNNNNNNNNNNNNNNNNNNNNNNNNNNNNNNNNNNNNNNNNNNNNNNNNNNNNNNNNNNNNNNNNNNNNNNNNNNNNNNNNNNNNNNNNNNNNNNNNNNNNNNNNNNNNNNNNNNNNNNNNNNNNNNNNNNNNNNNNNNNNNNNNNNNNNNNNNNNNNNNNNNNNNNNNNNNNNNNNNNNNNNNNNNNNNNNNNNNNNNNNNNNNNNNNNNNCGCCUCAUAGCCGUCUCCCCCGACCCCGCCUCGCCGCGCCUCGGUGCCUUCGUCUCCCCCGACCCCAUCUCUCUCCGCGCCCUCUGUAAGCACUCUCCCCUUCCGAUCCCUCUUGUUUGCUUAGUAUGAACCCUAGCUAUUUAGUGCUAGUUAGUAUGAACCCUAGGCUAUUUUUAGUGCAAGUUAGUUAAUUACAAUUGCAUUAACCCUAUUUAAUUAGGCAGUAGUUCCUAGGUACUAAUUAGUUAGUAAGAACUAGGUACUAAUUAGCUAGGUACUAGUUUAUUUUUAUUUAUAGUAAGUUUAUUUUCAGUAAGAACUAAUUGAAUUAAUAGAACUAGUUAGUAAGAACUUGUUGCUAUCUUUUUAGUUAAAGCAAUUUUUCCCGCAUCGACGUGGACGAUGCCUAUCCCGCAUCCUUGUCGUCGAGUCGGUGGAGGCCGACACCUGCUUGACCAGAUGGGCCAUGUCCGGGACUGGGCUCCGCCGAGGUGGUACUGGGAGGCGCUACCUACCGGGGGGUGCAGGUUGGUGAGAAGCCAGCCUGUCGUUGACCCGAACCUUCUUUGGUGGCGGUCGCGUGGGCCAGUGAUGGUCCAGAGGCUCGAGGACCCCGCGGAGGUGGUGAGUCACCAUGUUAGUGAGGAGGACGCGCACGUCCGUCGCUACUUGUUUGCGUUGGAGCACAGGUUCUCCAAUACCUGGCAGGUUCUCCAGGGAUCUCACUGGAGCUAUGAUCCCAUGAUGGUUCCUUCUCUGUGGGUGUCCACCGCCCGCGCCGAUACCCGUCGUGUGCUAGGGUUUUAGUUGUAUUAGUGAUGUUAUAUGUAUGACACUAUUCGGGAUGUAUUAGUGAUAAUAUUCGACGAUGUACGAACACGCAUGAGAUGGUUUACUUUUGCUUAUUCAAUGCAUGCUAAUUUGAGUCCUAUAAGAUAUUUUGAAAUGUAUAUCUUGUGUUGCUCAAAUAGGAUAUGUGCUUGCCCAAGUGGACGGUCAUGUUUGCAGGUUACACCUCCGAGUGGCCUAUGUUUUGCCGGAGUGUUGAUUCAUUUCCGUUCUGGCAAAUUUCAGGCGCUCAAUAUGUCCUAUUUUAGCAAAGGUCAUGCCGGAUUUUUCCGUGAAUUUUGGCAUGACUUGUGCCAGAAUAUGUAGGAAAUAUCGAGUGCCCCGGAUUUGUGUGUUGAGUAUCCUGGUAGUUGUCUUCGAUUGAUUUUCAAUUAAUGUUUUAACUAUGAACAUAGGAAAUGUCUGACGACGAAAAGGAUUUCGGUAUUUGCAAAUACUGUGAAGACGAGCCCGGCCUAUGCGACGGAAUCUUUCUAGAUGAUGAUAGGCGCUUCAGCAUCAAGCUGGACGAGAACUUCGAAGUGGAUACAGUAAGUCACAACGACAAGUCUUUUUUCGUAAUUAAGCAUGACAUAUGCUUCAUUUGCUUCAACUUAUAAUUUGUUUUUACUAUUCUACUAGCGUAUACCCUGCCAUGCAAGAGUUUUUGUAUUGGAUAAGAUAGGUUGCAGUCGUACUAUGGAGGUAAAGAAAUUUUACUUAAAGACCGAGCAUGGUUAUAUUUUCCACACAAAAUUAUACAAUUCAGACGACUACACCUAUUUUGGAUGCAAAACAUGGUGAGCACUAUGCAAGACUUAUGCAUUUGAGCCUGAUAUGCUUAUCACCUUUGAUAUUCGUCCGGAAGAUGAUAUUGAAGGUAAUACCGAUAUCUGGGUCGAUGUGCAGACGCCUCCAGUUAUACCAAAAUGUGAGUUUCUCAACCAUAUUUAUGUCUUUGAUAUUGUUUAUUCAAAAAUAGUUGACAUUUAAUUUCUAUUGAUAGCUUAUUUCGGUGCAAGCAAACAUGUCCAGCGCUUGGUAGACAGGACCGUAUACUGUGCCGGGGCUGAACUCAACUGUGAGGAGCUCAGUCAUCAUGUUUCAUGGCUUGCGGAUCUUGAUACUGUCAAGACAAAUUUUCUUCCUGCAUUUAGAAAUGUUAGUACUGAAAACGUGCGACCAAUAGUGUUCGUACUGAACUACGGUCACAUAUAUUUAGGAAGGAUGGUAAGAUUUUUAAUAUUUGUCCUCAGUGCAUCUUUUCCAUACAUUAUUUUUGAAGCUAAACUUCAUUGCUAAGUAUGUUACCAUACGAUGUUCUUCAACAGGGAGUCCCGAUGAAUGUUGUGCCUUAUGGGAUCGAGACUAAAGGUACCAUGAGUAUUAUUAGCUUACGGCCAAGAUAUCCUACAGAUUACUUUAGUGCAUUCAAGAUUAGCGACAGAUGCUUAAUAGUGCAAGACUGGACCAAAUAUGUGAUGGGGGAGCGCAGAGAAGUACUAGGGGGCAGCAAACAGAUGCGCUACCCACGAUUAGGAGACAGGUUCAUCUGCAUGCUCCAACUUUAUCAAGGAGGAGAGCUAUACAUGUUUUAUGUUAUUUUACCUGCGAGAGAGAAGCAGGAGUGAUUAGCUAGCUAGAAAUGAGUUUUAAGAUGAUGAUGUGCUAUACUAUUACUAUAAUGAUAAAAUAGCUAGUGUUGGUGGUAAUGACUAUGAUGAUUAUUAUUAGAUAGUGUUAGUGGUGAUUAAAUAAAUAUUGUUGGUGAUAAUGACUAUGAUGAUGAUUAAAUAGCUUGUGCUGGUGGAUUAGAUUCAAGUGGAGGCAACAUGUGGUGCACAUCGAAAGUACCACUAGUCCAAACUAGAUCAAGUUUGAUUAGUAGUAUACUUUUGACAUGCACCAUAUAUUGCCUCCACUUGAACCUAAUCCACCUUCAUUUGACACACUGUUAUGGACAUAAUGAUGUAAACCUCGUAACUGGUAUUGUACCAAUAUUUGUACGAUGGAGAGAAAACCGCAUAAAUACACUAAAAAUAAAAAAAUAAAAAAUGAAUACUAGUAGCGAUGGAGAGAAAAUGCGCUGCCACUAGUUUCAUUAGCAGUAGCGUGGGGAUGAACAAAUGCUGUAGCUAUUUGUCCCAGCAGUAGCGCGCGCCGGCACGCGUUACUGCUAAGCAAUAGCUGUAGCGCCUUAUUAGUAGCGUGCCUACCCGCGCUACUAGUGAGCACAAAACCAGCGCUACUGCUAGGGUUUUCCUUAGUAGUGUUAGUCUCCUGCAAACAAACGACACUAGGACAGCAAGAAGUUAUGGCAUCACGGACGAGCGAACACUUAUCGUCGUUGCCGAGUCCGCGGACGUUCCAGCUUAGUAUCUUCAUAGAGAAACAUUGAGCAUACAACCCGAGGUGAAGAGCAAGUAUAGUACAUGCAUGCAAGUGAAAACAUGGAACAAAAAGGAAACAUGAUAAUUCUUGUUGUAAGGGAGACAAACUCGAUACAUAUUGGUAUAGUACAGACUGAUACGGACAGCAACACUCACUACAUAGACAGAAGACACACUAAUAUAACACGGAUUCAAGCCAAGGGCUAGAUAUAAUGAAAGACUAACAGGCAGAGAUGACAGUAAAGACAUUAAAGCAGCGGACUCGAGCAUGGACCUCCAAAAACAGUUGACAGCAGAGGAAUUAUUCAUGGGGGGUGUCGAGUGCUACGUCUUGAGCUUGUGUUGGUUUUCCUUGAAGAGGAAAGGGUGAUGCAUCAUAGUAGCGUAAGUAUUUCCCUCAGUUUUUGAGAACCAAGCUAUCAAUCCAGUAGGAGGCUCCUCACAAGUCCCACGAACCUACACAAACAAACAAAGAACUCGCAACCAAUGCGAUAAAAGGGGUUGUCAAUCCCUUCACGGCCACUUGCGAAAGUGAGAUCUGGUAGAGAUAAUAUGAUAAGAUAAAUAUAUUUUUGGUAUUUUGUGAUAUAGAUUGGAAAAGUAAAAAUGCAAAUAAAGGUAUAUUGAAAGCGUAUAUGAUAAAAGAUAGACCCAGGGGCCAUAGGUUUCACUAGAGGCUUCUCUCAAGAUAGCAUAAGUAUUACGGUGGGUGAACAAAUUACUGUCGAGCAAUUGAUAGAAAAGCGAAUAAUUAUGAGAUUAUCUAGGCAUGAUCAUGUAUAUAGGCAUCACGUCCAUGACAAGUAGACCGACUCCUGCCUGCAUCUACUACUAUUACUCCACACAUCGACCGCUAUCCAGCAUGCAUCUAGAGUAUUAAGUUCAUAAGAACAGAGUAACGCAUUAAGAAAGAUGACAUGAUGUAGAGGGAUAAACUCAUGCAAUAUGAUAUAAACCCCAUCUUUUUAUCCUUGAUGGCAACAAUACAAUACGGGCCUUGCUGCCCCUGCUGUCACUGGGAAAGGACACCGCAAGAUUGAACCCAAAGCUAAGCACUUCUCCCAUGGAAAGAAAGAACAAUCUAGUAGGCCAAACCAAACCAAUAAUUCGAAGAGACUUGCAAAGAUAACUCAAUCACACAUAAAAGAAUUCAGAGGAGACUAAAAUAUUUCUUAUAGAUAAACUUGAUCAUAAACCCACAAUUAAUCGGAUCUCGACAAACACAGCGCAAAAAGAGUUACAUCGAAUAGAUCUCCACAAGAGAGGGGGAGAACAUGGUAUUGAGAUCCAAAAAGAGAGAAGAAGCCAUCUAGCUAAUAAAUAUGGACCCGAAGGUCUGAGGUAAACUAGUCACAACUCAUCGGAAGGGCUAUGGUGUUGAUGUAGAAGCCCUUCGUGGUGGAUUCCCCCUCCGGCAGAACACCGCCGACGGCUCCAAGAUGGGAUCUCGCGGAUACAGAAGGUUACGGUGGCGGAAAUAUUUCUUCGGUGGCUCCCUUGAUGGUUUCGAGGUAUAUGGGUAUAUAUAGGAGGAAGAAGUACGUCGGUGGAUGCCCGAGGGGCCCACGAGACGGGGGGCGCGCCUUAUAGGGGGGGCGCCCUCCACCCUCGUGGCUUCCUCGAUUGCUUCUUGACUUGCACUCCAUGUCCUUUGGAUCACGUUCAUUCCAAAAAUCACACUCCCGAAGGUUUCAUUCCGUUUGGACUCCGUUUGAUAUUCCUUUUCUUCGAUAUACUGAAAUAGGCAAAAAAAUAGCAAUACGGGCUGGGCCUCCGAUUAGUAGGUUAGUCCCAAAAAUGAUAUAAAAGUGUAAAGUAAAGCCCAUAAACAUCCAAAACAGGUAAUAUAAUAGCAUAGAACAAUAAAAAAUUAUAGAUACGUUGGAGACGUAUCAAGCAUCCCCAAGCUUAAUGCAUGCUCGUCCUCGAGUAGGUAAAUGAUAAAAAGAGAAUUUUUGAUGUGGAAUGCUACCUAGCAUAAUUCAAUAUAUUUCUCUUUAUUGUGGCAUGAAUGUUCAGAUCCAAAUGAUUCAAAAUAAAAGUUCAUAUUGACAAAAGAAAUAGUAAUACUUCAAGCAUACUAAUAAAGCAAUCAUGUCUUCUCAAAAUAACAUGGCUAGAGAAACUUAUCCCUACAAAAUCAUAUAGUCUGGCUGUUGCUCUAUCUUCAUCACACAAAGUAUUUAAUCAUGCACAACCCCGAUGACAAGCCAAGCAAUUGUUUCAUACUUUAGUAAUCUCAAACCUUUUCAAUUUUUCACGCAAUACAUGAGCGUGAGCCAUGGACAUAGCACUAUAUGUGGAAUAGAAGGGUGGUUGUGGAGAAGACAAAAAGGAGAAGAUAGUCUCACAUCAACUAGGCGUAUCAACGGGCUGUGGAGAUGCCCAUUAAUAGAUAUCAAUGUGAGUGAGUAGGGAUUGCCAUGCAAUGGAUGCACUAGAGCUAUAAAUAUAUGAAAGCUCAAUAAAAGAAACUAAGUAGGUGUGCAUCCAACUUGCUUGCUCACGAAGACCUAGGGCAUUUUGAGGAAGCCCAUCAUUGGAAUAUACAAGCCAAGUUCUAUAAUGAAAAAUUCCCGCUAGUAUAUGAAAGUGACAACAUAAGAGACUCUCUAUCAUGAAGACCAUGGUGCUAUUUUGAAGCACAAGUGUGGAAAAAGAGAUAGUAGCAUUGUCCCUUCUCUCUUUUUCUCUCAUUAUAUUUUUUCCUUCCCUUUUUUUCUUUCUUUUUUUUUCUUUUUUUCUUUUUGGUGGGCUUCUUUGGCCUCUUUUUUUCAUGGGAUUCUUUGGCCUCUUUUAUUUUUAUAAAGUCCGAAGUCUCAUCCCGACUUGUGGGGGAAUCAUAGUCUUCAUCAUCCUUUACUUACUGGGACAAUGCUCUAAUAAUGAAGAUCAUCACACUUUUAUUUAUCUACAACUCAUGAUUACAACUCGAUAUUAAAACAAGAUAUGACUCUAUAUAGAUGCCUCCGGCGGUGUACCGGGAUAUGCAAUGAAUCAAGAGUGACAUGUAUGAAAAAUUAUGAGGUGGCCUUGCCACAAAUACGAUGUCAACUACAUGAUCAUGCAAAGAGCAAUAUGACAAAGAUGAUGUGUGUCAUAAUAAACGGAACAGUGGAAAGUUGCAUGAUAAUAUAUCUCGGAAUGGCUAUGUAAAUGCCAUAAUAGGUAGGUACGAUGGUUGUUUUGAGGAAGGUUUAUUGUGGGUGUAUGGCACCGGCGAAGGUUGCGCGGCACAAGAGAGGUUAGCAAUGGUGGAAGGGUGAGAGUGCGUAUAAUCCAUGGACUCAACAUUAGUCAUAAAGAACUCAUAUACUCAUUGCAAAAAUCUACAAGUCAUUGAAAACAAAGUACUACGUGCAUGCUCCUAGGGGGAUAGAUUGGUAGGAAAAGACCAUCGCUCGUUCCCAACUGCCACACAUAGGAAGACAAUCAAUAAAUAAAAUUGUGCUCCAACUUCAUCACAAAGCGGUUCACCAUACGUGCAUGCUACGAGAAUCACAAACUUCAACACAAGUAUUCUUUAAAUUCACAAUUACCCAACUAGCAUGACUCUAAUAUCACCACCUCUAUAUCUCAAAACAAUUAUCAAGUAUCAAAUUGAUCAUAGCAUCCAAUUCACUUUCUAUGAUAGUUUUCAUUAUACCCAACUUGGAUGCUCAUCAUUCUAGGACCAAAUUUAUAACCAUAGCAAAUACCAUGCUGUUCUAAAAGACUCUCAAAAUAAUAUAAGUGAAGCAUGAGAGAUCAACAAUUUCUUCAAAAUUAGGGCACCGCCGUGCUCUAAAAGAUAUAAGUGAAGCACUAGAGCAAAAGUUAUCUAGCUCAAAAAAUAUAAGUGAAGCACAUAGAGUAUUCUAACAAAUUUCAAUCAAGUAGGCUUCUCUCAAAAGGUGUGUACAGCAAGGAUGAUUGUGGUAAACUAAAAAGCAAAGACUAAUAUCAUACACGACGCUCCAAGCAAAACACAUAUCAUGUGGCGAAUAAAAAUAUAGCUCCAAGUAAAGUUACCAAUGAACGGAGACGAAAGAGGGGAUGCCUUCCCGGGGCAUCCCCAAGAUUAGGAUUUUGGCUAUUCUUGAAUAUCUUGGGGUUCCAUGGGCAUUCCCAAUCUUAGGCUUUUUCCACUCCUUAUUCCAUAGUCCAUCAAAUCUUUACCCAAAACUUGAAAACUUCAUAAGCUCCGUUAGUGAAAGAAAGAAAAACCACCACAUAAGGUAUUGUAAUGAACUCAUUCUUUAUUUAUAUUGGUGUUAAACCUACUUUAUUCCAAGUUCUCUAUGGUUCAUACCCUUACAUACUAGCCAUAGAUGCAUCAAAAUAAGCAAACACCACACGAAAGACAGAAUCUGUCAAAAACAGAACAAUCUGUAGCAAUUUGUAACUUUCGGUUACUUAUGGAACUCCAAAAGUCCUACCAAAAUAGGAAGUCCUAAAAAAUUUGUCUAUUGAUCUACAUCAAAAAGAAUCAACGCAAAAGAACAUUUCUUUGAUUUAUUGAAUUUUUUCUCGUGAGCACAAAGUUUCUGUUUUCCAGCAGAAUCAAAUUAACUCAUAUCAUAGGUUAUCCUAUAGGUUCUACUUGGCACAAACACUAAAUAAAACAAGAAAACACAUAUAAACAGAAAGUAGAUGCAAAAUUUAUUACUAAACAGGAACAAAAACAAAGAACACAAAUAAAAUUGGGUUGCCUCCCAACUAGCGCUAUUGUUUAACGCCCCAAGCUAGGCAUAAAAGCAAGGAUAGAUAUAACUAGUGCCAUCUUUGGCACUUGGUUCAUAAGUAGCUCGUAUGAUAGAUUCAUAAGGUAAUUUGAUUUUCUUUCUUGGAAAGUGUUCCAUGCCUUUCCUUAAUGGAAAUUGGAAUCUAAUAUUCCCUUCUUUCAUAUCAAUAAUCGCGCCAAUCGUUCUAAGGAAAGGUCUACCAAGAAUAAUAGGACAAGAAAGAUUGCAAUCUAUAUCAAGGACGAUAAAAUCUACGGGCACCAAAUUUCUAUUUGAAACAAUGAAAACAUCAUUGAUCCUUCCCAUUGGCUUUUUAAUGGUGGAAUCCGCAAGGUGCAAAUUCAAAGAGCAAUCAUCAAGAUCAUGGAAGGCUAGAAUAUCACAUAAAGUUUUCGGAAUCGUGGAAACACUAGCACCCAAAUCACAUAAAGCAAAACACUCAUAAUCUUUAAUUUUAAUCUUCUUAGUAGGUUCCCACUCAUCAUUAAGUUUUCUAGGUAUAGAAACUUCCAAAUUAAGUUUUUCAUCAAAAGAUUGCAUCAAGGCAUCAUUAAUAUGUUUGGUAAAGGCUUUAUUUUGACUAUAAGCAUGAGGAGAAUUAACAACGGAUUGAAACAAGGAAAUACAACUUUCCAAAGAACAAUUAUCAUAAUUAAAUUCCUUGAAAUCCAAGAUAGUGGGUUCAAUGCUAUUUAAGGUCUUGACCUCACCAAUCCCACUUUUACCAAAUUUAGUAUCAAGAUCUAAAAACUCCAAAUUAUCGGAACACUUUUUAACCAAAGUUGAUUCACUUCCAGUACCAUUAUAAAGAUUAUAUUGCAAAACAAAGAUCUAAUAGGGGACACGUCAAUAAUUUUAAAAUCUUCAUCAUUAUUUUCAUGGAAACUAGAAGAACGCGCUUUAACAAAGCAAUCUUUCUUAGCAAGCAAUCUAGCGGUUCUUUCUUUGCACUCGUCAAUGGAACUUUUCAUAGCUUUGAGAGACUCAUUGAUAUCAUGCUUAGGAGGAGUAGAUCUAAGUUUCAAAGAAUCAACAUCAAGCGAAACUCUAUCAACGUUCCUAGCCAAAUCAUCAACUUUAAGCAAUUUUUCUUCAAGCAAGGCAUUAAAAUUCUUUUGAGAAAUCAUAAAUUAUUUCACACUAUUUUCAAAAUCAGAUGGCAUCUUAUUAAAAUUACCAUAAGAAUUAUUGUAGGAAUUUCCAUAAUUAUUAGAGGAAUUACUAGCGAACGGUCUAGGAUUAAAGUUUCCUCUAUAAGCAUUGUUACCAAAAUUAUUCCUACCAACAAAAUUCACAUCCAUAGAUUCAUUAUUAUUCUCAAUCAAGGUAGAUAAAGGCAUAUCAUUGGGAUCAAUAGAAGCACUCUUAGUAGCAAACAAUCUCAUAAGUUCAUCCAUCUUUCCACUCAACACAUUAAUUUCUUCUAUAGCAUGCACUUUUUUACUAGUAGAUCGUUCGGUGUGCCAUUGAGAAUAAUUAGCCAUAAUAUUAUCAAGAAGUUUUGUAGCAUCUCCUAAAGUGAUUUCCAUAAACAUGCCUCCCGCGGCUGAAGCUAAAAGAUUUCUAGAAGCAAAUUUCAAUCCGGCAUAAAAUUAUUGUAUGAUCAUCCAUAAAUUCAAACCAUGAGUAGGGCAAUUGCGAAUUAUCAAUUUCAUUCUUUCCCAAGAUUGGGCAACAUGCUCAUGAUCAAGUUGUUUAAAAUUCAUAAUAUCAUUCCUAAGCGAGAUGAUUUUAGCGGGAGGAAAAUACUUAGAGAUAAAAGCAUCUUUGCACUUGUUCCAAGAAUCAAUACUAUUUUUAGGCAAAGACGAAAACCAAACUUUAGCACGAUCUCUAAUUGAAAAUGGAAAUAACUUCAAUUUAACAAUAUCAUUAUCCGUAUCUUUUUUCUUUUGCAUCUCACACAAAUCAACAAAGUUGUUUAGAUGGGUAGCGACAUCUUCACUAGGAAGGCCGGAGAAUUGAUCUUUCAUAACAAGAUUCAGCAAAGCAGCAUUGAUUUCACAAGACUCAACAUCAUUAAGAGGAGCAAUCGGAGUACUAAGGAAAUCAUUAUUAUUGGUAUUGGAGAAAUCACACAAUUUGGUAUUAUCUUGCGCCAUGGCGACAAGUAAUCCAACACACAAGCAAACAGAAAAAGGGCAAGCGAAAGAGAGGGAGAAAAAGGCAAGCAGAAAAGAGAGGAGAUUGGGAAAGAGAGGGCGAAUAAAAUGGCAAGGGUGAAGUGGGGGAGAGGAAAAUGAGAGGCAAAUGGCAAAUAAUGUAAAUGCGUGGGAGAUGAGUUUGUGAUGGGUACUUGGUAUGUCUUGACUUGAGCGAAGACCUCCCGGGCAAUGGCGCCAGAAAUCCUUCUUGAUACGUCUUGAGCUUGCGUUGGUUUUCCUUGAAGAGGAAAGGGUGAUGCAGCAUAGUAACGUAAGUAUUUCCCUCAGUUUUUAAGAACCAAGGUAUCAAUCCAGUAGGAGGCUCCUCACAAGUCCCACGAACCUACACAAACAAACAAAGAACUCACAACCAACGCGAUAAAGGGGUUGUCAAUCCCUUCACGGCCACUUGCGAAAGUGAGAUCUGAUAGAGAUAAUAUGAUAAGAUAAAUAUAUUUUUAGUAUUUUUUUGAUAUAGAUUGGAAAAGUAAAAAAUGCAAAUAAAGGUAGAUUGAAAGCGUAUAUGAUAAAAGAUAGACCCGGGGGCCAUAGGUUUCACUAGAGGCUUCUCUCAAGAUAGCAUAAGUAUUACGGUGGGUGAACAAAUUACUGUCGAGCAAUUGAUAGAAAAGCGAAUAAUUAUGAGAUUAUCUAGGCAUGAUCAUGUAUAUAGGCAUCACGUCUGUGACAAGUAGACCGACUCCUGCCUGCAUCUACUACUAUUACUCCACACAUCGACCGCUAUCCAGCAUGCAUCUAGAGUAUUAAGUUCAUAAGAACAGAGUAACGCAUUAAGAAAGAUGACAUGAUGUAGAGGGAUAAACUCAUGCAAUAUGAUAUAAACCCCAUCUUUUUAUCCUCGAUGGCAACAAUACAAUACGUGCCUUGCUGCCCCUGUUGUCACUGGGAAAGGACACCGCAAGAUUGAACCCAAAGCUAAGCACUUCUCCUAUGGCAAGAAAGAUCAAUCUAGUAGGCCAAACCAAACCGAUAAUUCGAAGAGACUUGCAAAGAUAACUCAACCACACAUAAAAGAAUUCAGAGGAGAUUCAAAUAUUUCUCAUAGAUAGACUUGAUCAUAAAUCCACAAUUCAUCGGAUCUCGACAAACACACCGCAAAAAGAGUUACAUCGAAUAGAUCUCCACAAGAGAGAGGAGAACAUGGUAUUGAGAUCCAAAAAGAGAGAAGAAGCCAUCUAGCUAAUAACUAUGGACCCGAAGGUCUGAGGUAAACUAGUCACAACUCAUCGGAAGGGCUAUGGUGUUGAUGUAGAAGCCCUCCAUGGUGGAUUCCCCCUCCGGCAGAACGCCGGCGACGGCUGCAAGAUGGGAUCUCGCAGAUACAGAAGGUUACAGUGGAGGAAAUAUUUCUUCGGUGGCUCUCUUGAUGGUUUCGGGGUAUAUGGGUAUAUAUAGGAGGAAGAAGUACGUCGAUGGACGCCCGAGGGGCCCACGAGACAGGGGGCUCCCUCCACCCUUGUGGCGUCCUUGAUUGCUUCUUGACUUGCACUCCAAGUCCUCUGGAUCACGUUCGUUCCAAAAAUCACGCUCCCGAAGGUUUCAUUCCAUUUGGACUCCGUUUGAUAUUCCUUUUCUUCGAUAUACUGAAAUAGGCAAAAAAACAGCAAUACGGGUUGGGCCUCCAGUUAGUAGGUUAGUCCCAAAAAUGAUAUAAAAGUGUAAUGUAAAGCCCAUAAACAUCCAAAACAGGUAAUAUAAUAGCAUGGAACAAUCAAAAAAUCAUAGAUACGUUGGAGACGUAUCAUAGAGGAUGCGCACAGAAGAAGCAGAGGAGGAGAUGGACGCAGGGGAAGCAGGUGCCUCGCCCGUAGCAGCAGAGGUCGCGCGGGUCCUGGCUUGGUCGAGGAUGGCCGAGGCGUUGAGGUCGCAGCCUUGAGCGAUCAGCUUAAGCUUGCUCGUGGUGAGGGGCGUCGGGGUCGCAAUCAAAGGCAGCUCCAGGAGGCCGGCCACAGCUCACGCCUUGGCCCUGGUCUUCUUGCGGCGAUAGGAGGAGCCCGGACACCGAGAGGGGCCGCUGUUGGAGCUAGAGCCAGACUCCUUCGCCUUACGCUGGCGGCACGCUCCAUUAGGCUCACCCGAACUCCGUCAUUGGCCAUCUGGAUAUGCGGGCUACACCGCGGGGACGAGGCGGCAGGCGCCGCCACAAUCACUUGAGUAGCCACAGGACUGGGGGAGAUCCCGUCGUCUUCCACCAAAGGUUGGUCCGAUGCAUGCAGAUCCACACUGAGAUCCAGCGUGACUGGAAGGCCUAGUGGGUCGGCUGCAGAUCCAAGAGGGGGAGGAAGGAGCUGCAACACGGCCUUGGAGGCGAUGAAGUCGGUAGCAGUGGGCUCGCGCGGUGGAUCGCAGCAGUGAUACAUCUCCGACGUAUCUAUAAUUUUUGAUUAUUCCAUGCUGUUUUAUUAUCAAUCUCGGAUGUUUUAUAAUCAUUAUAUAGUCAUUUUAUAUCAUUUUUUGGUACUAACCUAUUGACAUAGUGCCAAGUGCUAGUUGCUGUUUUCUGCAUGUUUUUCACAUCGCAGGAAAUCAAUAUCAGAUGGAGUCCAAAUGCCACGCCAAUUUACGAUGAUUUUUUAUGAGCCAGAAGGAACACAACGGGCCCUGGUAGUACCUGGGGGGAGUCCUGAGGAGGGGACAACCUACCAGGGCGCGCCAGGAGGCGCAGGCGCGCCCUGGUGGGUUGUGCCCACCUCAGGUUCCCCUGGACCGACUCUUUGCUCUAUAAAUACCCCAAUAUUCCAGAAACCCUAGAGGAGUCGACAAAAUUUUCAUCCAGCCGGCGCAGAGUCUAGAACCAAGAGAUCCAAUCUAGACACCAUCACGGAGGGGUUCACCACUUCCAUUGGUGCCUCUCCGAUGAUGCCUGAGUAGUUCUUUGUAGACCUUCGAGUCCGUAGUUAGUAGCUAGAUGGCUUCCUCUCUCUCUCUCUCUCUCUUGAUUAUCAAUACAAUGGUCUCUUGGAGAUCCAUAUGAUGUAAGUCUUUUAGCGGUGUGUUUGUUGAGUUUUGAUGAACUUCGAGUUUAUGAUCAAUUAUAUCUUUUUAUAUCCAUGAAAGUUAUUUGAGUUCUUUGAUCUCUUAUAUGUGUGUUCUCUUAUAGCCUCGUAUUUCUUCUCCAAUAUUUGGGUUUUGUUUGGCCAACUUGAUCUAUUUAUCUUGCAAUGGGAAGAGGUGCCCGGUAGUGGGUUCGAUCUUACGGUGCUUGAUCCCAGUGACAGAAAGGGAACCGAUACGUAUGUAUCGUUGCUACUAAGGAUAAAAAGAUGGGAUCCAUAUCUGCCGCAAUAGAUAAACGGAACUUGUCUACAUCAUGUAAUCGUUCUUAUUGCAUUACUCCGUUUUCUCAUGAACUUAAUACACUGGAUGCAUGCUGGAUAGCGGUUGAUGUGUGGAGUAAUAGUAGUAGAUGUAGGCAGAAGUCGGUAUACUAAUCUUGGACGUGAUGCCUAUGUAAUGAUCAUUGCCUGGAAAUCGUCAUGAUUAUUUGUAGUUCUAUCAAUUGUUCAACAGUAAUUUGUUCACCCACGGUUUGCUAUUUUUCUCGAGAGAAGCCACUAGUGAAACCUACGGCCCCCGGGUCUUAUUUCUCAUAUAUUUGCCUUGUGAUCUACUUUUUUCUUGCAUUUAUUUUCAGAUCUAUUAAACCAAAAAAAUACAAAAAUACCUUCCUGCAAUUUAUUUGUUCCGUGAUCUAUUUAUCCCAUUACAAAUUUACCUCAUGUCCUUUGCCUAUCUUGAGGCGUCGUACCCCAAAAGGGAUUGACAACCCCUUUAACACGUCGGGUUGCGAGGUGUUGUUCUUUGUGUGCAUGGGCUGUUUACGUUGUGUUGCUUGGUUCUCCUACUGGUUCGAUAACCUUGGUUUCAUAUCCGAGGGAAAUACCUACCACCGCUCUACUGCAUCAUCGAUGUAGCUUCAAGCGACAUCAGGCAGCUGCAGAAGACGGUAGCCACGUGAGGGGGAGCGUCGCGCAAGCACCAUGAAUGAGGUCAGUGGCGACCACAGGAGAAGGCUGGUCUGUGGGGAGGAUCCCAGGCUCAGCCCUAGGAAUAUAGUGGAGAGGCCGGGUGCAGAUGUCCCUGGUAGUAAGAAUUUGAUGGGCUUGAAGGCGUGCCUGGGCUGGAAACUGGGCCGCGGGAGGGAGGGUGUUGGCAUCUUGGAAGGAAAGCAGUGGGCCAGCCGUUGGGAGGGUGCUGGCAGGCACAUUGGGUAUGGGCGGGUAUCUGGCCUCAACAGAAGGAAGCAAAGGCAGAGUGCGUGGGCAGAGCCCACCGCCCACCUCCUUGGGCCAGAAUUUGAAAAGCAGGGAACGACAGCUUUCCCGCGCCAGCUCCUCUGUGAGGUAAUUGAAGCAAGGGAAAAAACCAUCACUCGCUCUGCUUCUCCUUCAUGUUGGUUAUAGGUUAUAGGUAAUUGAAGCAAGGGAAAAAACCAUCACUCGCUCUACCUAUAACCUAUAACCAAUUUAUAAAACAUCUUGCAAGCCAUGCAAAUUUUUAUUGACAUGUUUUAUAAAUUGGUUAUAGGUAGUUGCAAUUUUCAGUGACGUGUUCUAAAGAUAUUUGGAUUGCACUCUUGCUGCUUAUUGAUUUUAAGUUUAUAGUAAUGUCCACCCAUCAUGUUAAAUCAAUUUCUCUGGUGCUAAAUCAAUCCCAAAUAAAUGUCACCAAUGUGUAAAAAACAAUCUGAUAAUGUUCUUCUAAGUUUUUUCUAAAUAUGAUUGUUAUCCCCAUUUGUAAACUGUUGACAUUUCUGUCCUAUUACAGUGCCCUAUUACAUGUACAGCAGAAGACUUCUCUUUUUGAUUGAAUCUGGAUCUAAAGAAGCAUGUAGAGGAAUCUGGUGGUCCACCUUGCAGCUACCAAUGGGCUACCCGAUUUUAUCCAUGUGUUGGACUUGAUGAUAUUUGAUGAUUUGAACCUUGCACCGGCAGGGUUUCCACAACACUAUGUAUGAUCUAAACAAUGGUUGAAAAUAUUUAUUGGAGCAUUUGUUUCAAACAAAAAAUGUUGUGUUGAAAGAUAUUUGUAAUAUUUUAGUGUGUGAUAUAUUUUAGAUAGUACUACUUCAAUAUUGUGUGCUUGACUUUUAUUGCAGUUAACAAAAUAUUUAAAAAUUUAGCAAAAAUGUACAACAUCCAAUAAUAAAACGUAGUUAUUAGCAUUUUUAAUGGUUAUUAAAAUUAAUAUUUGUCAAGACGUGUGCUUCACGUGCACGUUUACUAGUUGUACCAAACAGCGGAGGGCAAAUCCUUCACAUUGAUGCAUUGUUGGAUGAAGCUCAAGGGGCAUACCGUCUGGAUGAACGCCGUCGUCUAGGAUAGUGACUCAAAUAUGGUUGAAUUUGGGAUCGAUGAAUUUGAAUAACUUGGUGAACAUCCGGUCAUAACAAAUAAAAUAUUUAUAUUUAAACUAUUGUACUCGAAUUUUUGCAUGAUAUUUUGAUGAUUUUUCUAUUUAUAUAAUUAUUUUUAGUGCUUCGGACAUAGCAAAAAAAGGCGACCAUUUGAUGCAUAGGGUUGAAUGGCCGCCCCCCACUAUCCGAUGUCCGCGAACGCAUCCAUGGAAAUUUUGUGUCUCCGAUUUGAUGGUAUAUAUUGGAGUUUCCCUAACCCGUUAUUACUUUCCAUGCUGAAUUUCUGAUGCACAAUGCCACCGGCCUCACCCUCUAUGUAACUAUGGAUGCANNNNNNNNNNNNNNNNNNNNNNNNNNNNNNNNNNNNNNNNNNNNNNNNNNNNNNNNNNNNNNNNNNNNNNNNNNNNNNNNNNNNNNNNNNNNNNNNNNNNNNNNNNNNNNNNNNNNNNNNNNNNNNNNNNNNNNNNNNNNNNNNNNNNNNNNNNNNNNNNNNNNNNNNNNNNNNNNNNNNNNNNNNNNNNNNNNNNNNNNNNNNNNNNNNNNNNNNNNNNNNNNNNNNNNNNNNNNNNNNNNNNNNNNNNNNNNNNNNNNNNNNNNNNNGUCGCUGUUGGAGGAGGCCGUCGGGCAAAGCCACCGGCGGCUGAUGGCGGCGGCAGAGGCUCCCUUCCCUCGCGCGUUCUUUUGGGUGAGGCGGGUCACCCGGGGCGCAGGGGCCCUCCUCCCCGAUCUGAGCCGUCGUCAUGGUGGCGCGGCCGAUCUGAGGCUGCCGACGGCACCUUGGCGGCAUGAUGAUGGGAGGAAGCAGCAAAGCGGCGGGCUUCAUGGAAAAUCCGAUGGUGCCGACUGCUCGGUGGGCGUGCUUGGUCAUGGCGGCGUAGGUCGCAGUGGCCGGUGGCUUGGCCGGUUGGUGGCGGCAGAACAUGGCCGGUGGCAGCGGCGAUGUUCUGUCUGGAUCCCUGGGCCGCGGCCCUGGAGGGUGGCGGCUUGUGAAGCUAGGGCUUCCCGUGGGGGCACUACAAGAAAUAUGUCAACUAGUGACCUUCUGUCAGUGACCCUGGAAGAAUUGGUCAUAGAUCUAUGACCAUUUGAGACCAAUUGGUCAAAAGAUGUCCGGGGGGCUCCAAACCCUAAACCAUUGCGACCAUUUUGGUCAGAAAGGUCGUAAUUUCCUUACACGAAAUGGCCACAAAGCAAACAGUGCAGGUCCGCUGCCUUAUUUCUAGUUGUUAACGACCAAUAUAGAUGGUCAUAGCCUUGUAGAUUGUGGUGGGUUGUGAUGACUAGGCGCCAUCUCAUUAGUUUUGCCUAUGUGUCAUGUCCAUGUGUCAAUUUUUGCACUAGGUUGUGAAGCAACCUAUAUUUUUGUUAUUCCAAAAAUUCCCAAAAAAUUCUCAUAAAAUGCUUGGAUCAUAUCUUCAUCAAAUAUGUCAAAAACCUUCCUUGCCUAGUUCAAAAAUACCUCAACAAUAUUCAUUUUCCUAUCCUGUUCAAAGUAGCACUUUGUGAAGGAAGUGUUAUUUAUAUAUUCUUGAUUUCCCUAAAAAUUUGUGAAGACGGUCUUCUUAGUAACUGAUCAUCCUCAGCCAAAACUCACGCCCAUUAACCAUGUGCAUUUCCCGUACCGCAAAUCAAACACUUGGCUGCUUAUUCAUGUUUGAGCAUCGAUCGGUCUCCUCGUGAGAAUCUUAUGUUGUGAUUUUCUUCCUAGCACCUAACUCGGGAGUGCCCAACCCACUAGACAUGCCUAGGCCGCCCAGAACACAUGGCAAUGCCACGGUCACGCGAUGACCACGUGGCGGGCAUGCGAGCUUACGCGCCCUAGAGUUGGGGCCCUCGGCAACCGUCCAAACCUCAAUGUCUCGCCAUAAAACCAUGUAUUUCUGAUUAAAUAGAUACUUAUUUACCUAGAAAUGAUUUUUGGAAAAAAUAAAGAGCAAACGAUGAGGCACCUGCAGUUCAAAUUUGACCCGCUUCCAGCUGAAUCGACGGGAAUUUUUCUUUUUCACCAGAGAUGGAUCAAAACUUUUUACACCCAACCAUUUUGUCAAUUGUGCAUUAAAUAUGGCCUAGUAUUUUAUGAAAUUUAUUAGGUCCAAUUUUGCAACAAAUAUAUGGUAGGUCCUUCACGAAAAAAACUCAUUUCGGGCACUCGGAAAAUGGAAAAUGUAUUUUCCGUGAAAAGAAAAUGAAAAGUCUCGUAGGCAACAUUGUUUGGAAUUACAAGAUGCACCCUUGUGCACAAUAUGAGAUCAUUUGAACAAACUAUACCAUGAAUGUGGCCAUAAGAUUGAUCAUUUGGCUUGAAAGCCAUGAAUCUUCACACAUGAUAGCACAUUUCUGAGAACACUUUUUGAAAAUAAUUACCAUAUUACAAGAUUAUUAUUUUUCCUGGAAACUGGUCACAUAUAAUGACAUAAUGCGAAGGUUUUCCAAUUUUUUGAUUUUUUUUUGAAUUUUUUAUGCCCGUUUCAAAAUGUGGUCAAAACGGCGGGCUUGACCGUUCCUAGCUAGUGGUCGAAUCUUGGAAAACUUUUGAUGUUUCUCUGAUUAAAUAGAUACUUAUGUACCUAGAAAUUAUUUUUGGAAAAAAUAAAUAGCAAACUAUGAGGCAGCUGCAGUUCAAAUUUGACCCAUUUCCAACUGAAUCGGCGGGAAUUUGUCUUUUUCACCAGAGGUGGAUCAACAUUUUUUACACCCAACCAUUCGGUCAAUUGUGCAUUAAAUAUGGCCUAGUAUUUUACAAAAUUGAGUAGGUCCAAUUUUGCAAGAAAUAUAUGGUAGGGACUUCACAAAAAAACUCAUUUUGGGCACUCAAAAAAAUGGAAAAUGAAUAUUCCGUGAAAAGAAAAUGAAAAUUUCCUUAGGCAACAUUGUUUUUCAUUCCAAGAUGCAUCCUUGUGCACGAUAUGUGGUCAUUUGAACAAACUAUGGCAUGAAUGUGGCCAUAAGAUUGAUCAUUUGGCUUGAAAGCCAUGAAUCUUCACACAUGAUACCUCAUUUCUGAGAACACUUUUUAAAAAUAAUUACCGUAUUACAAGUUUAUUAUUUUCCUGGAAACUUGGUCACAUAUAAGGACACAAUGCGAAGGUUUUCCAAUUUUUUGAUUUUUUUUUGAAUUUUUUAUGCCCGUUUCAAAAUGCGGUCAAAACGGCGGGCUUGACCAUUCCUAGCUAGUGGUUGAAUCUUGGAAUUUAUUUGGUGUUUCUAUGAUUAAAUAGAUACUUAUGUACCUAGAAAUUAUUUUUGGAGAAAAUAAAUAGCAAACUAUGAGGCAGCUGCAGUUCAAAUUUGACCCGUUUCCAACUAAAUCGACGGCAAUUUGUCUUUUUCGCCAGAGGUGGAUCAAAACUUUUUACACCCAACCAUUUUGUCAAUUAUGCAUUCAACAUGGCCUAGUAAUUUAUAAAAUUGAUUUGGUCCAUUUUUGCAACAAUUAUUUGGUAGUUCCUUCACAAAAAACCCUCCUUUUGGGCACUCGAAAAAUGGAAAAUGAAUUUUCCGUGCAAAGAAAAUGAAAACUUCCUUAGGCGACAUUGUUUGUCAUUCCAAGAUGCACCCUUGUGCACAAUAUGAGAUCAUUUGAACAAACUAUGCCAUGAAUAUGGCCGUAAGAUUGAUCAUUUGGCUUGAAAGCCAUGAAUCUUUACGUAUGAUAGCUCAUUUCUGACAACACUUUUUUAAAAUAAUUACCUUAUUACAAUUUUAUUAUUUUUCCUGGAAACUUGGUCAUAUAUAAUGACACAAUGCGAAGGUUUUCCAUUUUUUUGUUUUUUUUGAUUUUUUUAUGCCCGUUUCAAAAUGCGGUCAAAACAGCGGGCUUGACCGUUCCUAGCUAGUGGUUGAAUCUUGGAUUUUUUUUGCUGUUUCUAUGAUUAAAUUGAUACUUAUGUACCUAGAAAUUAUUUUUGCAAAAAAUAAAUAGCAAACUAUGAGGUAGCUACAGUUCAAAUUUGACCCGUUUCCACCUGAAUCGAUGAUAAUUUGUCUUUUUCACCAUAGGUGGAUCAAAACUUUUUACACCCAACCAUUUUGUCAAUUGUGCAUUAAACAUGGCCUAGUAUUUUAUAAAAUUGAUUUGGUCCAUUUUUGCAACAAUUAUUUGGUAGUUCCUUCACAAAAAACCUCCUUUUGGGCACUCAGAAAUUGGAAAAUGAAUUUUCUGUGCAAAGAAAAUGAAAACUUCCUUAGGCAACAUUGUUUGGAAUUCCAAGAUGCACCCUUGUGCACAAUAUGAGAUCAUUUGAACAAACUAUGCCAUGAAUGUGGCCAUAAGAUUGAUCAUUUGGCUUGAAAGCCAUGAAUCUUCACGCAUGAUAGCUCAUUUCUAAGAACACUUUUUAAAAAUAAUUACCGUAUUACAAGUUUAUUAUUAUUCCAGGAAACUUGGUCACAUAUAAUGACACAAUGCGAAGGUUUUCCAAUUUUUUUGAUUUUUUUUGAAUUUUUUAUGCCCGUUUCAAAAUGUGGUCAAAACGGCAGGCUUGACCGUUCCUAGCUAGUGGUUGAAUCUUGGAGUUUUUUUGGUGUUUCUCUGAUCAAAUAGAUACUUAUGUACCUAGAAAUGAUUUUUAGAAAAAAUAAAGAGCAAACUACGAGGUAGCUACAGUUCAAAUUUGACCUGCUUCCAACUGAAUCUGUGGAAAUUUGUCUUUUUCACGAGAGGUGGAUCAAAACUUUUUUCACCCAACCAUUUGGUCAAUUGUGCAUUACACAUGGCCUAGUUUUUUAUAAAAUUGAUUUGAUCCAUUUUUGCAACAAUUAUUUGGUAGGUCCUUCACAAAAAAACCUCCUUUUGGGCACUCGAAAAAUGGAAAAUGAAUUUUCCAUGCAAAGAAAAUGAAAACUUCCUUAGGAAACAUUGUUUGGAAUUCCAAGAUGCACCCUUGUGCACAAUAUGAGAUCAUUUGAACAAACUAUGCCAUGAAUGUGGCCAUAAGAUUGAUCAUUUGGCUUGAAAACCAUGAAUCUUCAUGCAUGAUAGCUCAUAUCUGAGAACUCUUUUUUAAAAUAAUUACCGUAUUACAAGUUUAUUAUUUUUCGUGGAAACUUGGUCACAUAUAAUGACACAAUGCGAAGGUUUUCCAAUUUUUUGAUUUUUUUUGAAUUUUUUAUGCCCGUUUCAAAAUGCGGUCAAAACGGUGGGCUUGACCAUUCCUAGCUAGUUGUUGAAUCUUGGAAUUUUUUUGGUGUUUCUUUGAUUAAAUAGAUACUUAUGUACCUAGAAAUGAUUUUUGGAAAAAAUAAAGAGCAAACUACGAGGUAGCUACAGUUCAAAUUUGACCCGCUUCCAACUGAAUCGGUGGAAAUUUGUCUUUUUCACGAGAGGUGGAUCAAAACUUUUUUCACCCAACCAUUUGGUCAAUUGUGAAUUAAAUAUGGCCUAGUAUUUUAUAAAAAUGAUUUGCUCCAAUUUUGCAACAAUUAUUUGGUACGUCCUUAACAAAAAAACCUCAUUUGGGGCACUCGAAAAAUGGAAAAUGAUUUUUUGUGCAAAGAAUAUAAAAAAUCCCUUUGUCGAUACUGUUUACUAUUCCAAGAUGUAAACUUUUGCAUAGUAUAAAGAACUCGUUUUGAACAAAUAUAAAGAAUAUCAUUUGAACAAAUAUUUGGUAGGUCUUUUACAAAAAAGAACUCAUUUUGAACACUAAAAAAUGGAAAAUGAUUUUUUUCGUGACCUAUUUCAAAGGUCAUAAAGUCUUCAAAUUGUUUGUUGCGUUCUGAUUGGUCUAUAGGCAUAUCACGCGAAUCAUGCAUCCGACACCGUCGGAUGCUCCAAGAUCCAACGGCAGACCUCAUCCCCUCACCCUCUCACCCACAUAGCCCUCUCACCCCCUCACCCACGCAGCCCCCACUCCCCACCAUUGCAACCCUAGCCCCCACGCCCCCACUCUCCCGCACCCGCACCCGCUCACCAAACCCUAGCCGCCGCCGCCGCCCCCGCAUAAUGGCCAUCGACAGCGAGGAGCCCGAAUCCCCAUGCCUCCCAAGCGCCCGAAACCCUAGCCCGCGGCGCAGCCAUGGCGACCGAGCUAUGGAUCCGAUCCAAACCCAAACCAGCUGCCUCUCUCCCGGCUCCCUCCCCCGGUGCAAACCAGCCACCGCCCCCACCCCCGCCGGUGACCUUGCCGUCGUGCUCCGCCCUCCGCCCUCCGUUACCCUCUUCCCCUCCCCCGCCUCGUCCCCUCGCCUUCUCGCCCGGAUGGAGCAGUAGGUGAGGCGGCAGCCAGAUCCACCGCGGUGGUUCCGGAUCCGCCCCACCGUCAGGCGACAGAGGCGCUCGAGGGCGGCUGCGUCUCCCCAGCCGUCAUCCACCGUGACUUCAACUGCAGCGUCGUCCUCAUCGUCCACAUCGACUUCCGUAGAAGAUCCAUCCCAGGUGCGUCUGUUCUCCUUCUUCCUCGCCUCGUUGCCGCCGCCGCAUAAGAGCAUGCACGCGCGCGACGCCAUCCCUGCCUCGCUCGGUCCGUCGCGUCAUUCGCCUCGCCCCCCAUUCACCGUGUUGAUCUUAUUUUAAUUUCGCCGCGUUUUUUUGACAGGCCCGGGAGUUAGGGCGUGAUGGCGGCGCCGCCGGCCAGGGCUCGUGCCGACUACGACUACCUCAUCAAGCUCCUCCUCAUCAGCGACAGCGGUGAGCCCCCUGUUCCUUUCCCCUCCUUCAUCUCUCGAUCCGCGUGGGAUCUGGUGGCUUAUUCGUUAGGCGUUUGAUUUCCAUGCGCCAGUUGAGAUCUGGCGCCCUAGAUCAUUUUUUGCGGAGGCUGCUGUGUGCCCGUGUGAAAUCAGGAAGGGCGAUAAAAUCUAGCCUCUUGUGUUUAUUGGAUGGAUGGUGUGUGCUUUGCGAGAGGAGUACCUUUUUCCUGCAUGCAGAUUAUACAAGCAAUGGUAGCUGUGUAGUCAUAGAACUGAUGCAAGUGAGGAUGUACUUAGUUAGAUUGAUCUGUUGGGGAACGUUGCAGAAAAUUAAAAAAAAUUCUACGGUUUCACCAAGAUCCAUCUAUGAGUUCAUCUAAGCAACGAGUCAAGGGAGUGAGUUUGCAUCUACAUACCACUUGUAGAUCGCGUACGGAAGCGUUAGAUGGAGCGGUGAUGAUGGAGUCGUACUCGCCGUGAUUCAGAUCACCGGAGAUCCUAGCGCCGAACGGACGGCACCUCCGCGUUCAACACGCGUACGGUGCAUGUGACGUCUCCUCCUUCUUGAUCCAGCAAGGGGGGAGGAGAGGUUGAUGAUGAUGGCUCCAGCAGCAGCACAACGGCGUGGUGGUGGUGGAACAGCAGCACUCCGGCAGGGCUUCGCCAAGCAUGUGACGAAGGAGGAAGAGGUGUAGCAGGGGGAGGGGGCGCCAGGACUUCAGGGUGCGGCUGCCCCUCUCCCCCCUCCCUUUAUAUAGGCCCCCAGGGGGUGCGCCGGCCCUGGGAGAUUCAAUCUCCCAAGGGGGCGGCGGCCAAGGGGGGAGGAGUGCCCCCCAAGGCAUGUGGUGCGCCCCCCCCCCACCCUAGGGUUUCAACCCUAGGCGCAGGGGGUGGGCCUAGGGGGGCGCACCAGCACACUAUGGGCUGGCUCCCCUCCCACUUCAGCCCAUGGGGCCCUCCGGGAUGGGUGGCCCCACCCGGUGGACCCCCGGGACCCUUCUGGUGGUCCCGGUACAAUACCGGGUGACCCCGAAACUUUCCCGAUGGCCGAAAUACAACUUCCUAUAUAUAAUUCUUUACCUCCGGACCAUUCCGAAACUCCUCGUGACGUCAGGGAUCUCAUCCGGGACUCCGAACAACAUUCGGUAUACUGCAUACUCAUAUUCAUACAACCCUAGCGUCACCGAACCUUAAGUGUGUAGACCCUACGGGUUUGGGAGACACGUAGACAUGACCGAGAUGGCUCUCGGGCAAUAACCAACAGCGGGAUCUGGAUACCCAUGUUGGCUCCCACAUGCUCCUCGAUGAUCUCAUCGGAUGAACCGCGAUGUCGAGGAUCCGAACAACCCCGUAUACAAUUCCCUUUGUCAUUCGGUACGUUACAUGCCCGAGACUCGAUCAUCGGUAUCCCAAUACCUCGUUCAAUCUCGUUACUGGCAAGUCACUUUACUCGUACCAUAAUGCAUGAUCCCGUGACCAAACACUUGGUCACUUUGAGCUCAUUGUGAUGAUGCAUUACCGAGUGGGCCCAGAGAUACCUCUCCGUCAUACGGAGUGACAAAUCCCAGUCUCGAUCCGUGUUAACCCAACAGACACUUUCGGUUAUACCUGUAGUGCACCUUUAUAGUCACCCAGUUACGUUGUGACGUUUGGUACACCCAAAGCACUCUUACGGUAUCCGGGAGUUACAGGAUCUCAUGGUCUAAGGAAGAGAUACUUGACAUUGGAAAAGCUUUAGCAAAACAAACUACACGAUCUUGUGUUAUGCUUAGGAUGGGUCUCGUCCAUCACAUCAUUCUCCUAAUGAUGUGAUCCCGUUGUCAAUGACAUCUAAUGUCCAUAGUCAGGAAACCAUGACUAUCUGUCGACCAACGAGCUAGUCAACUAGAGGCUCACUAGGGACAUGUUAUGGUCUAUGUAUUCACACGUGUAUUACGAUUUUCGGAUAAUACAGUUAUAGCAUGAAUAAAAGACAAUUACCAUGAACAAGGAAAUAUAAUAAUAAUCCUUUUAUUAUUGCCUCUAGGGCAUAUUUCCAACAGUCUCCCACUUGCACUAGAGUCAAUAAUCUAGUUACAUUGUGAUGAAUCAAACACCCAUAGAGUACUGGUGUUGAUCAUGUUUUGCUCGCGAGAGAGGUUUAGUCAAUGGGUCUGCGACAUUCAGAUCCGUAUGUACUUUGCAAACAUCUAUGUCUCCAUCUUGAACAUUUUCGCGGAUGGAGUUGAAACGACGCUUGAUGUGCCUGGUCUUCUUGUGAAACCUGGGCUCCUUGGCAAGGGCAAUAGCUCCAGUGUUGUCACAGAAGAGUUUGAUCGGCCCCGACGCAUUGGGUAUGACUCCUAGGUCGGUGAUGAACUCCUUCACCCAAAUGGCUUCAUGCGCUGCCUCCGAGGCUGCCAUGUACUCCGCUUCACAUGUAGAUCCCGCCACGAUGCUCUGCUUGCAGCUGCACCAGCUUACUGCUCCACCAUGCAACAUAUACACGUAUCCGGUUUGUGACUUAGAGUCAUCCAGAUCUGUGUCGAAGCUAGCGUCGACGUAACCCUUUACGACGAGCUCUUCGUCACCUCCAUAAACGAGAAACAUGUCCUUUGUCCUUUUCAGGUACUUCAGGAUAUUCUUGACUGCUGUCCAGUGUUCCUUGCCGGGAUUACUUUGGUACCUCCCUACCAAACUUACGGCAAGGUUUACAUUAGGUCUGGUACACAGCAUGGCAUACAUAAUAGAUCCUAUGGCUGAGGCAUAGGGGAUGACGCUCAUCUCUUCUUUAUCUUUUGCCGUGGUCGGGCAUUGAGCCGAGCUCAAUCUCAUACCUUUCAAUACAGGCAAGAACCCUUUCUUGGACUGAUCCAUUUUGAACUUCUUCAAAAUCUUAUCAAGGUAUGUGCUCUGUGAAAGACCUAUGAGGCGUCUCGAUCUAUCCCUAUAGAUCUUGAUGCCUAAUAUGUAAGCAGCUUCUCCAAGGUCCUUCAUUGAAAAACACUUAUUCAAGUAGGCCUUAAUACUGUCCAAGAAUUCUAUAUCAUUUCCCAUCAAAAGUAUGUCAUCUACAUAUAAUAUGAGAAAUGCUACAGAGCUCCCACUCACUUUCUUGUAAACACAGGCUUCUCCAUAAGCCUGCAUAAACCCAAACGCUUUGAUCAUCUCAUCAAAGCGAAUGUUCCAACUCCGAGAUGCUUGCACCAGCCCAUAAAUGGAUCGCUGGAGCUUGCAUACUUUGUUAGCGUUCUUAGCAUCGACAAAACCUUCCGGCUGCAUCAUAUACAGCUCUUCCUUAAGAUACCCGUUGAGGAAUGCCAUUUUGACGUCCAUCUGCCAUAUCUCGUAAUCAUAGUAUGCGGCAAUUGCUAACAUGAUUCGGACGGACUUAAGCUUCGCUACGGGAGAGAAAGUCUCAUCGUAGUCAAUCCCUUGAACUUGCCGAUAACCCUUAGCGACAAGUCGAGCUUUAUAGAUGGUGACAUUACCAUCCGUGUCCGUCUUCUUCUUAAAGAUCCAUUUGUUUUCUAUCGCUCGCCGAUCAUCGGGCAAGUCAGUCAAAGUCCAUACUUUGUUUUCAUACAUGGAUUCUAUCUCGGAUUUCAUGGCUUCUAGCCAUUUGUUGGAAUCUGGGCCCGCCAUUGCUUCUUCAUAGUUCGAAGGUUCACCGUUGUCUAACAACAUGAUUUCCAGGACAGGGUUGCCGUACCAUUCUGGUGCGGAACGUGUCCUUGUGGACCUACGAAGUUCAGUAGCAACUUGAUCCGAAGUACCUUGAUCAUCAUCAUUAAUUUCCUCUUCAGUUGGUGUAGGCAUCACAGGAACAUUUUCCUGAGCUGUACUGCUAUCCUGUUCAAGAGGUAGUACUUCAUCGAGUUCAACUUUCCUCCCACUUAGUUCUUUCGAGAGAAACUCUUUUUCCAGAAAGGAUCCGUUUUUGGCAACAAAGAUCUUGCCCUCGGAUCUUAAGUAGAAGGUAUACCCAAUGGUUUCUUUAGGGUAUCCUAUGAAGACGCAUUUUUCCGACUUGGGUUCGAGCUUUUCAGGUUGAAGUUUCUUGACAUAAGCAUCGCAUCCCCAAACUUUUAGAAACGACAGCUUAGGUUUCUUCCCAAACCAUAAUUCAUACGGUGUCGUCUCAACGGAUUUAGACGGUGCCUUAUUUAAAGUGAAUGUAGCUGUCUCUAGAGCGUAUCCCCAAAAUGAUAGCGGUAAAUCGGUAAGAGACAUCAUAGACCGCACCAUAUCCAAUAGAGUGCGAUUACGACGUUCGGACACACCGUUACGCUGAGGUGUUCCAGGCGGCGUGAGUUGUGAAACGAUUCCACAUUUUCUUAAGUGUGUACCAAAUUCGUGACUUAAAUAUUCUCCUCCACGAUCCGAUCGUAAGAAUUUUAUCUUUCGGUCACGUUGAUUCUCUACCUCAUUCUGAAAUUCCUUGAACUUUUCAAAGGUCUCAAACUUGUGUUUCAUCAAGUAGACAUACCCAUAUCUACUCAAGUCAUCAGUGAGAGUGAGAACAUAACGAUAUCCUCCGCGAGCCUCAACGCUCAUUGGACCGCACACAUCGGUAUGUAUGAUUUCCAACAAGUUGGUUGCUCGCUCCAUUGUUCCGGAGAACGGAGUCUUGGUCAUCUUGCCCAUGAGGCAUGGUUCGCAUGUGUCAAAUGAUUCAUAAUCGAGAGACUCCAAAAGUCCAUCAGCAUGGAGCUUCUUCAUGCGCUUGACACCAAUGUGACCAAGGCGGCAGUGCCACAAGUAUGUGGGACUAUCGUUAUCAACUUUACAUCUUUUGGUAUUCACGCGAUGAAUAUGUGUAACAUUACGCUCGAGAUUCAUUAAGAAUAAACCAUUGACCAUAGGGGCAUGACCAUAAAACAUAUCUCUCAUAUAAAUAGAACAACCAUUAUUCUCGGAUUUAAAUGAGUAGCCAUCUCGCAUCAAACGAGAUCCAGAUACAAUGUUCAUGCUCAAACUUGGCACCAAAUAACAAUUAUUAAGGUUUAUAACUAAUCCCGUAGGUAAAUGUAGAGGUAGCGUGCCGACGGCGAUCACAUCGACCUUGGAACCAUUCCCGACGCGCAUCGUCACCUCGUCCUUCGCCAGUCUCCGCUUAUUCUGCAGCUCCUGCUGUGAGUUACAAAUAUGAGCAACGGCACCGGUAUCAAAUACCCAGGAGUUACUACGAGUACUGGUAAGGUACACAUCAAUUACAUGUAUAUCAAAUAUACCUUUAGUGUUGCCGGCCUUCUUAUCCGCUAAGUAUUUGGGGCAGUUCCGCUUCCAGUGACCCUUCCCCUUGCAAUAAAAGCACUCAGUCUCAGGCUUGGGUCCAUUCUUUGACUUCUUCCCGGCAACUGGCUUACCGGGCGCGGCAACAUCUUUGCCGUCCUUCUUGAAGUUCUUCUUACCCUUGCCCUUCUUGAACUUAGUGGUCUUAUUGACCAUCAACACUUGAUGUUCUUUCUUGAUUUCAACCUCUGCCGACUUCAGCAUUGAAAAUACUUCAGGAAUGGUAUUCACCAUCCCCUGCAUAUUAUAGUUCAUCACAAAGCUCUUGUAGCUCGGUGGGAGCGGCUGAAGGAUUCUGUCAAUGACCGCCUCAUCCAGGAGGUUAAUGUCCAGCUGGGACAGGCGACUGUGCAACCCAGACAUUUUGAGUAUAUGCUCACUGACAGAACUGUUUUCCUCCAUCUUACAACUAUAGAACUUGUCGGAGACUUCAUAUCUCUCGACCCGGGCAUGAGCUUGGAAAACUAGUUUCAGCUCCUCGAACAUCUCAUAUGCUCCGUGUUGCUCAAAACGCUUUUGGAGCCUGGAUUCUAAGCUGUAAAGCAUGCCGCACUGAACGAGGGAGUAAUCAUCAGCACGUGUCUGCCAAACGUUCAAAUCGUCUUGCAGUGUUGGGAGAGCAGGUGGGUCACCUAACGGUGCUUCAAGGACAUAUGCUUUCUUGGCAGCUAUGAGGAUGAUCCUAAGGUUCCGGACCCAGUCCGUAUAGUUGCUGCCAUCAUCUUUCAGCUUGGUUUUCUCUGGGAAUGCGUUGAAGUUCAUGUUGACAUGAGCGUUGGCCAUUUGAUCUACAAGACAUAUUUUGCAAAGAUUUUAGACUAAGUUCAUGAUAAUUAAGUUCAUCUAAUCAAAUUAUUUUAAUGAACUUCCACUCAGAUUUGACAUCCCCUUGGUCAUCUAAGUGUUACACGAUCCGAGUCGACUAGGCCGUGUCCGGUCAUCACGUGAGACGGACUAGUCAUCGUCGGUGAACAUUCUCAUGUUGAUCGUAUCUUCCAUACGACUCGUGUUCGACCUUUCGGUCUCCGUGUUCCGAGGCCAUGUCUGUACAUGCUAGGCUCGUCAAGUUAACCCUAAGUGUUUUGCAUGUGUAAAACUGUCUUACACCCGUUAUAUGUGAACGUAAGGAUCUAUCACACCCAAUCAUCACAUGGUGCUUCGAAACGACGAACUUUAGCAACGGUGCACAGUUAGGGGGGAACACUUCUUGAAAUUGUUGUAAGGGAUCAUCUUAUUUACUACCGUCGUUCUAAGUAAACAAGAUGCAUAAAACAUAAUAAACAUCACAUGCAAUAAAGUAGUGACAUGAUAUGGCCAAUAUCAUAUAGCUCCUUUGAUAUUCAUCUUUGGGGCUCCAUGAUCAUCUUGUCACCGGCAUGACACCAUGAUCUCCAUCAUCGUGUCUUCAUGAAGUUGUCACGCCAACGAAUACUUCUACUUCUAUGACUAACGCGUUUAGUAAUAAAGUAAAGUAGUUUACAUGGCGUUCUUCAAUGACACGCAGGUCAUACAAAAAAUAAAGACAACUCCUAUGGCUCCUGCCGGUUGUCAUACUCAUCAACAUGCAAGUCGUGAUUCCUAUUACAAGAACAUGAUCUCAUACAUCACAAUAUAUCAUUCAUCAUUCAUCACAACUUCUGGCCAUAUCACAUCACAUGACAAUUGCUGCAAAAACAAGUUAGACGUCCUCUAAUUGUUGUUGCAUCUUUUACGUGGCUGCAAUUGGGUUCUAGCAAGAACGUUUUCUUACCUACGAAUAACCACAACGUGAUUUUGUCAACUUCUAUUUACCCUUCAUAAGGACCCUUUUCAUCGAAUCCGCUCCAACUAAAGUGGGAAAGACAGACACCCGCCAGCCACCUUAUGCAACUAGUGCAUGUUAGUCGGUGGAACCGGUCUCACGUAAGCGUACGUGUAAGGUUGGUCCGGGCCGCUUCAUCCCACAAUACCGCUGAAGCAAGAUAAGACUAGUAGCGGCAAGCAAGUUGACAAGAUCUACGCCCACAACAAAAUUGUGUUCUACUCGUGCAAUAGAGAACUACGCAUAAACCUAGCUCAUGAUGCCACUGUUGGGGAACGUUGCAGAAAAUUAAAAAAAUUUCUACGGUUUCACCAAGAUCCAUCUAUGAGUUCAUCUAAGCAACGAGUCAAGGGAGUGAGUUUGCAUCUACAUACCACUUGUAGAUCGCGUACGGAAGCGUUAGAUGGAGCGGUGAUGAUGGAGUCGUACUCGUCGUGAUUCAGAUCACCGGAGAUCCUAGCGCCGAACGGACGGCACCUCCGCGUUCAACACACGUACGGUGCGUGUGACGUCUCCUCCUUCUUGAUACAGCAAGGGGGGAGGAGAGGUUGAUGAUGAUGGCUCCAGCAGCAGCACAACGGCGUGGUGGUGGUGGAACAGCAGCACUCCGGCAGGGCUUCGCCAAGCACGUGACGGAGGAGGAAGAGGUGUAGCAGGGGAAGGGGGCGCCAGGACUUCAGGGUGCGGCUGCCCCUCUCCCCCUCCCUUUAUAUAGGCCCCCAGGGGGGCGCCGGCCUUGGGAGAUUCAAUCUCCCAAGGGGGCGGCGGCCAAGGGGGGAGGAGUGCCCCCCAAGGCAUGUGGUGCACCCCCCCCACCCUAGGGUUUCAACCCUAGGCGUAGGGGGUGGGCCUAGGGGGGCGCACCAGCCCACUAUGUGCUGGCUCCCCUCCCACUUCAGCCCAUGGGGCCCUCCGGGAUGGGUGGCCCCACCUGGUGGACCCCCGGGACCCUUCCGGUGGUCCCGGUACAAUACCGGGUGACCCCGAAACUUUCCCGAUGGCCGAAAUACCACUUCCUAUAUAUAAUUCUUUACCUCCGGACCAUUCUGAAACUCCUCGUGACGUCAGGGAUCUCAUCCGGGACUCCGAACAACAUUCGGUAUACUGCAUACUCAUAUUCAUACAACCCUAGCGUCACCGAACCUUAAGUGUGUAGACCCUACGGGUUCGGGAGACACGUAGACAUGACCGAGACGGCUCUCGGGCAAUAACCAACAGCGGGAUCUGGAUACCCAUGUUGGCUCCCACAUGCUCCUCGAUGAUCUCAUCGGAUGAACCGCGAUGUCGAGGAUCCGAACAACCCCGUAUACAAUUCCCUUUGUCAUUCGGUACGUUACAUGCCCGAGACUCGAUCAUCGGUAUCCCAAUACCUCGUUCAGUCUCGUUACCGGCAAGUCACUUUACUCGUACCGUAAUGCAUGAUCCCGUGACCAAACACUUGGUCACUUUGAGCUCAUUGUGAUGAUGCAUUACCGAGUGGGCCCAGAGAUACCUUCCGUCAUAUGGAGUGACAAAUCCCAGUCUCGAUCCGUGUCAACCCAACAGACACUUUCGGAGAUACCUGUAGUGCACCUUUAUAGUCACCCAGUUACGUUGUGACGUUUGGUACACCCAAAGCACUCUUACGGUAUCUGGGAGUUACACGAUCUCAUGGUCUAAGGAAGAGAUACUUGACAUUGGAAAAGCUCUAGCAAAACGAACUACACGAUCUUGUGCUAUGCUUAGGAUUGGGUCUCAUCCAUCACAUCAUUCUCCUAAUGAUGUGAUCCCGUUGUCAAUGACAUCUAAUGUCCAUAGUCAGGAAACCAUGACUAUCUGUCGACCAACGAGCUAGUCAACUAGAGGCUCACUAGGGACAUGUUAUGGUCUAUGUAUUCACACGUGUAUUACGAUUUUCGGAUAAUACAGUUAUAGCAUGAAUAAAAGACAAUUAUCAUGAACAAGGAAAUAUAAUAAUAAUCCUUUUAUUAUUGCCUCUAGGGCAUAUUUCCAACAUGAUCGUCACAUGCAGUCAGGAGCAAGCUCUUGUUCCUGUAACUGUCUGUCCUGGUGUGAAGGAAAUCGCAUGGUUGGUAUGAAUUGUACAAGUAGGAUAACAAAUGGGCGAGGAAAUCUGCUAUUGCUUGGGACUUGAUAGCUUUCUUUGCCUUAAAUCUGAUAUCUAGGGGAAGAACUUCAAUCGCCCAUUUUGCCACUCGACCGGUUGCGUCUCUGUUGUGCAGAAUCUCUGAUAAGGGGGCGUCGGUGAUGACUGUGAUGAUAUGGUCAGAGAAAUAGUGAGCAACUUUCUUCGUGGUCAUAUAAAUCCCAUAUCCAAGCUUCUGAUAAUGAGGGUAUCGUUGCUUGGAUGGGGUCAGGACUUUGGAAAUGUAAUAUACUGGGCGCUGAACUUUGAAGGCUUUCCCUUCUUCUUCCCGCUUGACCGUAAGUACAGUACUGACGACUUGUCCUGUGGCUGCAAUGUAAAGCAGCAAAGGCUCUUUGCUGAUUGGGGCAGCAAGCACCGGCUGGGUGGAAAGCAGGGUUUUUAACUCUGCAAAGGAUGCGUCAGCUUCAGGAGUCCACUCGAACUUGUCUGACUUCUUCAUCAGUCGGUAAAGAGGCAAUGCCUUCUCACCGAGACGAGAGACGAAUCGACUUAAAGCGGCCAAGCAACCAGUAAGCUUCUGAACAUCGUGCACACGCAUAGGUCGUUUCAUUCGAAGUAUUGUGCCUACUUUCUCUGGGUUUGCAUUGAUUCCUCGUUCAGAAAUGAGAAAACCGAGUAACUUUCCACCAGGAACUCCGAAUGUGCACUUGGAUGGGUUAAGCUUGAUAUCGUACCUCCUGAGGUUGGCAAAUAUUUCAGCGAGGUCAGUCAGCAGGUUGGAACCUUUCCGUGACUUGACCACAAUGUCAUCCAUGUACGCUUCCACAUUCCGACUGAUUUGAGUGAGCAAACACUUCUGAAUCAUCCUCAUGAACGUGGCUCUGGCAUUCUUGAGGCCGAAUGGCAUGGUGACAUAACAAAAGCACCCGAAUGGGGUGAUGAAAGCCGUUUUGAUCUCAUCGGGUCCAAACAGACGGAUCUGAUGGUACCCGGAAUAAGCGUCCAAGAAAGACAAUCGCUCACAUCCCGCAGUCGAGUCAACUAUUUGGUCGAUGCGGGGAAGAGGAAAAUGAUCUUUCGGGCAGGCCCGAUUGAUAUGCUUAAAAUCGAUGCACAUGCGAAGCGAAUUGUCCUUUUUGGGGACCAUGACGACAUUGGCGAGCCACUCGGAGUGGUAAAUCUCUCAGAUAAACUCUGUUGCUAGGAGCCGAGCCACUUCCUCGCCAAUGGCCUUCCUUUUCUGGACGGCGGACCAUCGCAGAUGUUCCUUCACAGGUUUUUCCUUUGAAUCGACUCGUAGACGAUGCUCAGCCAGUCCCCUUGGUACACCCGGCAUGUCAGAAGGUUUCCAUGCAAAGAUGUCCCAGUUCUCACGGAGGAACUGGAUGAGAGCUUCUUCCUAUUUGGGGUCGAGUGUUGUGGAGAUAUGAGUCGGAGCAGCGUUAGGGUCGGUCGGGUGGAUGUGAACGGGUUUUGUCUCACCGGACGACUAGAACGCUGAUUCCAUAGAAGGCUUUUUGGCUCGCAACAAAUCACUCGGGUCUGCAUUCCUUUGGUGUUCCUGCCACUCUUCUGCCACCAUCUGAGCAUCGGCGAUCUUUGAGCCUUUCUGGAAGCACUCUUCUGCCUUCUUGUGGUUACCAGUGACAGUGAUCACGCCUUUAGGGCCAGGCAUCUUUAGUUUGAGGUACACGUAACAUGGUCGAGCCAUAAAACGUGCAUAAGCUGGCCUGCCCAAAAUUGCAUGAUAGGCACUCUGGAAAUCCACAACCUCAAAUGUCAGCUUCUCUUUGCGGAAAUUCUUUGAAUCACCAAAAACUACGUCAAGAGUAAUCUGACCGAGUGAUGCGGCCUUCUUGCUAGGGAUGACUCCAUAGAAACUCAUGUUGCUUGUGCUCAGCCUGGACAUCGGAAUGCCCAUCCCUUUUAGCGUCUCAGCGUACAGUAUAUUCAAACUGCUGCCGCCAUCCAUCAACACUUUGGUCAGUCGAGUGCCCUCGACGACUGGGUCGACCACCAGCGCUUGCCUCCGAGGGGUGGCUAUGUGCAUGGGGUGAUCAGAUUGGUCGAACGUAAUGGCAGUCUGAGACCACUUCAGGUAAUUGGGUGUUGACAGAGCAGCCAUAUUCACCUCUCGGUUUAUAACUUUCAGUCGGUUUUUGCUCUCAACAUCGGCAAAAAUCAUUAAGGUGGAAUUGACUUGCGGAUAUUCCUCGUCACUAUCCUCCUUGUCCUCAACCUUGUCCGACUCUUUUUCUUUGUCCUUGGGAUGCUUCCCUUGGAACUGCUCUAUCAGGAGUCGACACUGUCGAGUGGUAUGCUUUGGGUAAAUGAAAUUACCCUCGUCGUCUUUCUUGGUGUGGAUGUGACAUGGUAAAUCCAUCACGUCAUUUCCUUCCUUAUCUUUUACUUUCUUGGGGUUCCAAGGCCCCUUGGGUUUCCCUUUGAAUUUUCCUUGAUUCAGGGCCAAGGCUUCUCCAGGAGCGGCUGGCUCGGCUUUAUGCUUUUGCUUCCGACUGGAAUUUUCGCCUCUGGUGUCCUGGGCGACUGACUUGUGCUUGCCGCUCCGGAGCCGAUCCUCUUCCUCACCAUUGGCAUAUUUGGUGGCUAUUUCCAUCAUUCACUCAGAGACAUGUCUCUGGUUUGACCGAAUUUCAGGCUUAGCUCUCGGUACUUUACGCCCUCCUUGAAGGCGCAAACUGCCUGGUGAUCAGAUACAUUCUCUACUGUGUGAUGCAGUAUGAUCCAUCUCUGGAUGUAAUCCCUCAGAGUCUCAUUCGACUUCUAUACACAAGAUUGCAGCUCUGUCAGUCCCGCCGGUCACUUGCACGUUCCUUCGAACGUCCUAACAAACACUCGGGAGAGGUCCUCCCACGUGUAGAUGCUGUUGGGUGUCAAUUGAUUCAGCCAUGCCCUGGCUGACCCUUCCAACAUAAGAGGCAAAUGCUUCAUGGCCACCUCGUCAUUUCCGCCGCCGAUCUGAACAACCACUCGGUAGUCCUCAAGCCAAGUAUCAGGCUUGGACUCACCGUUGAACUUGCUGACUCCAGUCGCCAACCUGAAGUUGGGAGGAAUCACCGCGGCUCUGAUGGCUCUGCUGAAACACUCUGGUCCGGAGACGUGCACUCGGCUGCUAGUGGGUACAUCUCUGUCAUUACCCUCUCUAUGGGCCCUGUUCCGGUCGACCAGACCUUGAACGAUGAUGGAUCUCGCAUCAAAGCCUGGUUCCCUGGGGUCGACUGGAAUUCUUCGCCCGCCACUGUGCUGGCGUCUGUCAUCCUGCUGUCGAGGCAUAUAUGAUCCAUCCCUCGGGGAAGGAGUGGGCACUCGACGUCGAUCAUUGCGAUCGAAUCGGUGAUCAUACUGCUCAUAUUUCCUGUACUGAUCGUGCCGGUCGCCAUGCCCUUCAUGCCUCGGAGGUGAUCUGGGGCUAUGAGUCGACUAGACCGUAUUCGCCGCCACGGAUCUGCUAUGAAUCAUGUUCCGCGACUGCGACACAGCCGAAUUCUGAUCUCCUGCUGCCCGGAGCAAAUCCCUGAUCUGCAUCAAGCCUCUGCCAGCCUCCAACUGGGAAGGCUGAAUCGACUCUGCUAUACGGGUUGCAGCUGCCAAAUUCUGGAUCGGAGUGCGGUAUACCUGAGUCGGAGGUUUAAAGAGUUGGCGUCGACUGGAGUCUGGAAUCCGUUGCCGCGCGCGCUCGUUGAGUGCCCGCUGAAGGUUCUCCAAUCGAGUGCGCUCAGCCAGGUUGGCCAAGCGUGCGUCCUCUAAGGCGCGAGCCUCAGGGGUUUCUCCAACGAUCGGAGUAUGAAGCACAUCCAUGUUCCGGCGGCGAAACUCUUCCCUCUGCUGCGAGUCGAGGGGCUCAGGGCGGUACUCCUCAUGGUCGUGUGACGGAUCGCCUCCGCCGUUGCCUCCCUCGGUGCCAGGAAAGCUGGGGGGAAUGUGCGGCCCAUUGACCAUCAGGACCUCCGCCGCCGGAUCACUGCUGUCGCACUCGGAUGCAGUCUCUGCGGAGCCAGUCGAACAGGCCCUAGAGAGAUUCGUCGGGCUCGAUUGCCGCGACUUGGACAGUGGUCGACUGGCGAGCCACUGCGUGCCUCACCCACCGCUGAAGCCUCGACCGACCGGAGCGCUUACGCGGGCGGGAAGCUGGGAGGGAGGAUGACACGAAAACCGGCCGAUACUGAGUCGACGGUUGCCGCAGAAGGACGCCGCGGACGCAUGCUCGAAAGUGCGUAGCUCCGCGGACUGGGAGCGCAUCCACGUCGAGCGGAGCCUCCUACAGCCAGGCAGAGUCGUCGGCGACGAAUGUGAGCGCGCCGAGACGGAUCUCGCGUCCCUCAACCAAAACUCCACCUGAAACCAUGAUGAUGGGAAUUGGAAAGAUUGCAACUUCUCCAAUAAGUCGCUAAGACACCUGCCCAUGGUGGACGCCAACUGUCGUGGUUCUAAGUCUGACAGUAGAAUAGGGGGUAGGUAUGGAGAGGCAAGAUCCUAGCUAUGGAGCAGUUGUGCACACAAAUGUUUUACGAGUUCAGACCCUUCUCGAAGGAAGUAACAGCCCUACGUCUCGGAGCCUGGAGGCGGUCGACUGGAUUAUGUGUGUGAGAGUUACAGGGGUGCGAACCCUUCUACCAGUGGAGGGGGUGGCUUAUAUAGAGGACGCCAGGACCCCGGCUAGCCCACGUAGCGGAAGGUUAAAGUACAUUAAGGUCUGGCAUUACUGGUAACGCCUUACAUAAAGUGUCAUCAUGACCAUAAGGACUACUUAAUUACAGACCGUUUGGAUUCAGAGUAGAUCUUGAACUCCUGUUGGUCGAGUGAGUCUUCUUGGUCGAGUGUCUUCAGGUUCGUCGAGUGUCUUCUAGUCCGCCGAGUGGAGUUCCUCUUGGUCGACUGGAAGACGGCUUCUUCUAAAAGAUGUUCUUGGGGAGGGUACCUUGGACAGGUCAUGACCCUACCCUAGGUACAUGACUUCAUCAGUGACAAGCGCGCGGGAUCCAUCUCGGCGGCUCUCGCAGCUUGGUGAGGCGGGGUGGGAGCCCUCCUCCUAGGCUCCAGUGGUGGCACACUCAGCCUAUGGCCGGUGUGCAAGGGCUCCUAGGGUGGCACUGUUGUUGCGGUUGGUCGCCGGAUCUAGGCGGUUGGAUUUGGGGCUUUGAAGGCGGUCGAGACGGCGCACGUGUUGUCGGGUGGAUUUCUUGGGACAGAUCCAGGUGAAAACCUGGUUUUCGGUCGAUGGCAGGAGUCGGUGAUGACGAUGACCUUAUCAUCAUUUCCUUCAUGAAGGCAUCAUCGAGGUGAAGCUCCCAACUCCACUCAAUACCUCCAGGGGAAACCCUAGAUCAGGUGAUCGGAUGUUGGCGGCAAGCAUGUGUCGUUACCCUGUUGGGGGCGGCAUUCUUGGAGGUGCACUCGGCUUCAUGGGACCAGCGGGCGGCAUCUUUGAUGGAGCGGUGCUUCAUCCUACACAUUGAUGGCGACGGAUCUCGUCGGCAUGGCGCAGUGCAGAUUCGGAGUUCGAUGUGCAAGGUUGGACUUGCGCAGGAGGACGACGCUGUCUAGCGUCGUGGUGGUGUCGAUGGCGGAGAGACCUGGCACAAUAGAUGCAACAAUACAACUCUGAAGAUGGAUUUGUGGCAGGUGGCUGCGGCGGCCUCAUACCCGGCAGGCGUCCUGGUUGAGGUGUGCGCCAGACUGGUAGGUGCCCUAUACCCGGCAGGCGUCCUGGUUGGGACCUCAGGUCUUAUAUGUUUAGGUUUGGCUGCGAUGUCUGUUUGGUAUUAGGCCCAGGAUAUCAGCGGCCCUUCAUCAACUGGAUAAGAGUAGCGACAGUUGUUGCUUAGACGAUGGCUUUAGUCUUACUAUUGUAUGACUUUGUAAGGUCUUAUGAGAAUAAUUAAUAAAGUGGCCGCAUGUAUCGACCAGAUGCAGAGGCCGGGGGACCUCCUCCUUUUCUAAAAAAAAGAGAAGUCUAGCCUUGUAUCUUGCUGCGGAUUUCCAUCUAGGUAACACCCGGGAGUUGAGCGACUUCUGAUGCGAUUUUGUAGAAAACCGUUUCCUACAGGCGCUCUCAUUUCUUUCACAUAAAAUUUCCUCACAUGCCAACUCCUUGGCAAGCCUUGUUCAUUUGAAUCAAUCAAUUUUAUGUUCCUUUCCUUCACAUACUUUUACCCUCAAAAGGCUUGUGCUUCUUUUUGAAUCCAAUUCUAUCUUCUUCUAAUCUUCAUCAUUCACAGAAGGCCGAAAGAAGAAAACUAGAUGCUCGCAGCCAGGGCAAAGAAGAGUGAGUGACACGAGAUUCUGUUACAAAGAUCUUUCCUGACUCUUUCUAAGAAUGAAAGCUAUCAACGCCACCUGAUCUUUCCAGAAAAAAACAGUGCAUGAGCUUUCUAACAUGUAACAUCUAUUCUUACAGAUACGCAAGCGUUUAGCAUAUUCUCUGAAAAAAAGGCAUCCAUGUUAGAAUAAAUCCAAAGCAUACCGUUGAUUAUUCGUGGACCAAGCAAUCGCACGAGCACGACACCGAGAUUUGUUAACGAUGUUCACUGAUAUGGCUACAUUCCGGGGCCUGAUUAUGGGCGCUCCUCCCCAUGACACCACUACAAUACCGCACCCGGUCGCCCUGGACGCCGGCACAAGCCGUCGGCAUCUCCUGCGUUCAUGUGCUAUUAUGUUGAAUCAUGUGUCUACCCUGCUAUAUAUGAGGCCUAGGAUACAAGUGUCCUACUAGGACACGACUCCACAUCCUAUGUAAACACAAUACAACUCAGAGUCCAUCUGUAACCUACCUUGUACAUAAUAUUCGACACAACUCUAACAAACUCCACCUUGGCGAAUAUUCCUUACCACAUUGAAUUCGCUCAUGCGUCAAACUUCCAUUUACAUUGGACUUGAGUUUAUCACAUGAGUACCGCAGCUACUCCAAAGACUCCAUAUGACUCCACCUACAACUUGUAGUCCCUUCUUUUCUUAACCACGGUCAACACUCGAGCAAAAUUAAGUUCCUUGUUACUCAGUUUGUACUCUCAACUUCCAAAGUAUCCGCCCAACGCCAUCACACACUGAUCACCGACCUGCGUGAAAGUGAACGACUCACAUAUUGGGUGUCACACAUAAGAUUUAGCCGAACUCAACAUCACCGCUCCUUUCUUGACCGUCUGUCUGAAACUUGAAGAAAUUUCACCGUUGCUUGUAAUCAUCCCGAGUCAAAUUUGCAGUUGUCUCACCACAUGUAUGGCCACCAGAGCCCUGACUCGUCUCACCACAUGUAUUACCGCGUCGAGCCUCCGCUGUCCCGGUCGAGUCUCAAGGGUCGCGAACCCACACCAAUCAACCCUCACUGCAGAGUACCACCAAUCAUCACCGAUCGAUGACGAGUUUCACGCUUCCAUCAGACCACUGGGCUCCAGUCCAAACUGCAUGUCACUCGCUUUCCCCCCUUGCUAAAUCGGCUUUGGUUCCCUGGAUCCUUACACUGUAGUCCCUCAAUCCAGCUCCACCUUCAACAUGACUCCAUGAUAGAUGAUCAGUCCACCAUCGCGCCCCGUCAACGUCAAGCUCACAUGUGCACCGUCUUAAAUCAAACCCGCGCCAUAGUCUUGUCGAAGCCACACAAGCCCUCAAGCCUGCGCCACAUGUUUCCACGCCCAGAAGCUGGUCACCAUCAGCAUCACGAUCCUAUGUCGUCAUCGUUGAUCCUACCAUCGUCUUCUGUAUGAACCGACUUGUGUCGAUCCGUCAGACUGACAGGUCCAACCCAGCCAAACAUAUCCAGCUGCACGACACACUCCAGACUCCUCAAGCCGUCAUCGUGACCAUCACCAUCCAUACACAAAUGUGCAUACCAACGAAGAAAACCAAAGCAAAGUCCAAAUAGCCUUUCUGUGUGAACAUACCAAAUCAGAUCAACAAAGCUAACUAGCUAAAACUCCUGAUUCAUCACACGUCUGUAGCUGGCCUUUCUUUUUCUUUUCUUUCUCCAUGACAACGCCAUGAUUUGACUAAGCCCUUGUGUGGUAUUUUUCUUCAAACAAAUCACGUGUCCUUUCAGGUUUUGCAUGCUCUAGCAAUAAGCAUCAGUAGCUGCAUGAGCCUCCGCAACGCGUCAAACUGUGUCCUACCCGCUGCCCGCACAAGCCUCCUGCGCGAUUGGUGUUGCCCUGCCACUUCACGCGCACCUCGCUCCAAGCGCGUGGCUACCAUACAGCUGCUUCUGCCACCCGUGCGCACCUCUGACUGCACCGACUUGUGUCCAUGUUCCUUCGAUCGAUUGAUCUUGCCGAGACCGAGUCAAUCUGAAACACCACGACACACACCUGCUCGAUCCGAUCUCGUUGGGUAUUUUCGCCCCAAAACACGCCGCUUGUACAUGCUCGCCCGAUCGAUCCACUGAAUGAUCACCGCACGUCUUGACUGCUUGCAUGACCGUCUGAUUUCCGCUACUCGCCGUGAUUGCUCAUCGCCUUGACGUCUUUCCAUCGAUCUCAACUGUGUUCACCGCGAUACCGAUCAAAACAUCAAACCUGCCUCUGAAUUGACAAUCCAUGAUCUCCGAACAACCUAGCUUUGAUAUCACUUGUUAAAAUAAAUCUGAGGCAUACCGUUAAUCAUCCGAGGACCAAGCAAUCACACGAACACGACACCGAGAUUUGUUAACGAGGUUCACCGAUAUGGCUACAUCCCCGGGGCCUAACUACGGACGCUCCUCUCCAUGACACUACUACUAUACCGCACCCGAUCGCCCUGGAUGCCGGCACAAGCCGCCGAUUUCCCCUGCGUUCAUGUGCUAUUAUGUUGGCAUAUGUUACAUCGUGUGUCUACCCCCGUUAUAUACGAGAGGCCUAGGAUACAAGUGUCCUACUAGAACACGACUUCACAUCCUAUGUAAACACAAUACAACUAAGAGUCCAACUGUAACCUACCUUGUGCACAAUAUUCGACACAACUCUAACAAUCCAGAUGUGAGUGAGAAUCCAUGGCAUUUUGGCACCUUAUCUAUCUCUCUGCAGAUACAAAAAAGAGAGAUAGAUAAGGUGCGCGAAAAUGCCAAGAGGAAGCAUAUGCAAAGCAGCCACAUGCCACAAGGAUCUCAACAUAACCAGAUGCGAAGUAGCCACUAGACACAAGGAUCUCAACCUAACCAAAUGCAAAGCUGCUAAAACCAAAGCGCCACCAACGUCUGAAUCAACUUAUUGUAUAACAAACCAAAUGUCUGUCACUCAUGAGUCAUUUGUACAAGAAGUUGCGCGCAGAAUUAGCAGCAAAAGGAGAAGUGUUCAAAAACACACAUUACAGAAGAUAUGCUUUUCCUUAUUUCAUUUACUUUUGACCCAGGCAAGUUGAAUGAAUCCUGGGAGCGCCCCGCUCAGCCCGAUUUCUUACAUCUGAUCUCGAUGCCCUGCACAAUGAGGCCACUCUUCCACUUCCCAC